rnacentral:lncRNA from 1 species
AGAACACUCACUUAUUGAAUACAACAGAUAGAGUCUCGAAAUUCAUUGUAUCCUCGACGAAGAACUUCAACUCUGCAGCUCUCUUUGCGCUGCCGAACCUAACUACAGGAGCUCUAGUCAUCCCAUCUCUAAACAAAACACUGGUAGCGCCACCGGAAACAUAAAUGGCUUUACAACCCCUGUUAGUACUAGCAACUAAACAUCCUUCUGUGGUUGCCAUUGGCACAGAAAACUCAUUCCCAUUAAGCAGCAAAGGUCCAGCUAUUCCCACUGGUAUUUGAAUAUACCCAAUUGGCAUCUCACAACACUGUCCAAGAAUUGAUUCAUAAUCAAAUCCAUCUAAUGGUAACCCAUCCAAUGACUUCCCUGAACUCCUCUGUAACGCCUCUUUUCGAAUAAAAGCAGCUCUUUUACAGUCACCCAACUUAGAUUCCAAUGAAUAUGAUGGUAUUCUCCCUUCCACCACCGAUUUGAUAAUCACCUCAUCGUCCUCUAACGAAAAUGGUGUGAUUAUCUGAGCAUCUUUUUCAUCAACAGGUACAGAUUUCAUUGGGAUAUUUCGUCGAACAGGUGGUGAUGUAACAGUUGUAUCAAUAAAUUGUUCUGGGGUUUCAUCUUCAACGUCCCAAGAAUCAUUAUUUCCUUUAGAAACGAAAGAUUGAACAAACCCAAUACCAAAGAACCCCAACAGAUAAAUAACUGAAGCGAUCAACGAAAAGAUAGCAACUAAUUCAGAAAAGUUGAGCACGUGGAGUGGAAUUCCAUUACGGAUCUUCUCACGCCAUCUGUGUAGAAGAAAAUACAUGACAGAGAAAAACAUGGUGAAGAACAAACCAUUUGUAAGAUACAACGGUAAUGGAAGAGCAUCUGAAGCUUUAACAGAGGAAUCUUGAUUAUGGGGUCUGAGAGGUUCUCCGGAGGAAAUGUGUUUGGAAGCGUCAAGGGGUUUUACAGCUCGCCGGCGAACGUCCAUCGUGAAAAUUUUCCGGUCGCCGGAAUUUACAGAGAAGAAAUGGAGAAAUGUGAGGAAGUAUUGUGAGUGUUGAAGCUGUUGUAUCGGAAAUGCAUUUAUAGCCCAAAAAAACAUCGGCUGGAGUUCUUGACUUUUAUGGCCACACUUUAAAUUAAAAUUUUUACUUUUUUUUUUAGAAAAAAAAAUAAUUUUGUCUAUUGGUAAAAAAAAAAAUAUUUUUUUCAUAAAUUACGUUUGCCUAUCAAUUUUGGCGUCAACAAUUUAGUUCAUUAGGUCUUUUAGUUUUGUUUGUGAUUUAUCAUAUAUUGAAUCUAUUUAUCUAUAAUAAUUCUCACAUCGGCGUUACCUCAUUCUGACAAAUUAGUAAAUUUUUUUUUUCUUUUUCUUCUUCAUUUUACUGCUUAAUGUUUAUUAUCGUUAAGGUUAUUUAUAGCUUUAUUAGUUUACAGAAUGUCUUUUUUUAUACAACCGAUGAUCUUUACUUAUAUUUAACUACUUUUAAGCUAAUUACUUUCAAUUGUAACCUUAGUGAUGAUUCCUUCUAUAUUUACAUUCACCUUCACUACCUACAUAUGUUAUUAUACUUUCAAUUAAUUGCAUGACGUUGAAUUUAUGGCUUCUUUGUUAAUUCUCUCUUUUCUUUUAUUGUAUAUGUGAUAUCAUUCGAGUUCGCUAUGAACUCUCGCCUUCCCUCUGCAUUUCGAGAGAGAACUAUCAAGGCUCGAAAUUCCUUAUCAAGUCAAUCUGUCACCCAAACCUACGAAUGGAUGUCAAAAUGUUUAGAAUUUGAAGAAUUCAAAACAAGUUGGAAGAGUUGAAAAACUUGGGGCAAUUAACCCAAGUUUAUUUUUAAAUUAUCGCAUUGUAUUUAUUUUGGGCAUAAGCCCUUGUUGCUUUUCUAUAUUCUCUAUUUUUUUAUUAUCAUUUAGUCUAGCACAGGUACGAAAGAAAGUCAAAUGGGUCAAAAACCCAAAAUAGGUGGGUCCAAAAUUCUGAUCAAGGCGAACAGAAAAUCAAGAUUUGGACCCAAAUCUCUCUCCCUCUUUAUAUGUUUUUCAAUUAUUUGUUGUUUUGUUUGUCGCUAGUUUAAAGUUAGAGUAAUCCGUAUCCCCACAAAACGCCACUUUAGUUUUAACGAUUCGAUCAAAUAAAGUAAAUGGCUUAAAAGAUUUUACAAAUUAAAACUCAUUUAGAAAAAUAAUUUUUCACUUUCAAAACAAUCUUAAUGAUUUUUGACAUUCAUUUUCAAACAACUCCAAGAAAUAUCUGAUCACAAUUUUAAAUUUUAGCCAAGUUAAGUUAGUUAUCGAUAACCGCAAGUUAGCGGAUAUUUUAGGGGCCUAACACAUUCCUAAAAUAUUAAUGUGAAUCCAGGACUCCCCUAAAAAAUGUUUUCAAAUGAUUUUAUCUGUAUAAGUCUUUUAGAAACGUUAUUUUUCUUGAUUUUUCUCAAUAAUUAAGUGGCGACUCUAAAAGUAAAAAAUUUUCAAAACAAAUAAUAUUUUUCGAUAAAACAGAAAUGGCGACUCUGCUGGGUAGAUUGGAGGAUUCUAACUUUAAAAACUAACUUUAUUUGGCUGUUUGUAAUAUUUGUUUAUUUAUUUACUUUACCUUAUUGUUUAAUUGUUGCAUUUUCAUGACAUUUUUCCGUCAAAGGACAAAUAAAUGCAUUAGGAAAACGAAAGUUAUGUGGCUUUCCACGGCUUUCUUUAGAAAUACACAAAAAAAUUCAUUUAGAAGUAUCAAACAAAUAGUUGGAAUGCGGUCAUCCGACAUUGUUUGGUAGCUUCACCCCGAGGUUUGUCCGACUCGGGUAACCGUCAACUUGAAAUCUAUUCUAGUAAGACUAAGCUAGAACGAAAUCAAAACCAAAAAUUAAGCAUUAGCCUAAGAUGACUUAAUAUCCAAGCUGUAUUAAGUCUAUUUAGUAGAAACCCACCAAAAUUGUAUCUAAGGUCUCCGACCUAACGACACAUCAUUUUAUCUAACAUUUGAAUUAUGUACGUGUGAAAAGCAAUUUGGGGUGGGUAAACCUAACUAGUUUCUAUUUUGUUGAUAUGGAUCGUUUCCCAAAGUUUGACGUGGUCAUAGCAGCACCACCUCAACUCACAAUGUGGUAUAAUAAUCUCGAUGUAAAUCAUAAAAAAACUCUCAACAAAUACGUGGAUGCAUUGACAGAAUUGAUCAACAUGAACGGUUGAUCAGAAUUAGUUGAGGUCCUCACGGGAUAUUGGGUGGGAUAGCCAACGAAUGGUGUUCUAAUUUGGAACCGUUGAAAUUACCCUGACUUUGGAGGAGAUCAGAGACUGCAUAGACACAGUAAGUACUGGGAUAGAAAGAAAGGCAAGGAAACAAGAAGACAUUGUCAUCCCUAAUAAACCUUUUAUAGAAGAUAUUGCGGACCGACUCGAAUCGGAGAAAGACUUUGUCUACUAGUGCCAAGAAUCCCACAUAGCAUUCAGAGAUCUUUAUAUCACAUUUGACAUGCGAGCUUCUACGCCAUUUAUAACCGAGAGUUCAAGGUCUCUUACAGAGAAUGGAACAAAAUUUGUCCUCUAACAUUUGUUGUAGCGUUGUUAGGAACGAUGGUCUUUCCGCAUGGCCCAAGUCUGAGUUUCAAUACUCGAGUUAUAACACUCACGCACACUCUAUUCAAAGGGAACGAGAACCGAGGAAUAACAAAAUACUACCCUAUAGCUCUGGUCAUCCUGUCCGACAUGUAUGGAGCCUUGGAAAAGUGUAAUGAGGGACAUCGAAUGCAUCCUUUCGAGUCUUGCAACAGUUCGGGAGGAGACAAACUGUACCCAAGAAGGCGUACUAUGGAGCUUAUGUAUAUGAUAUUAGAGAUGAUAGAGUGCACGACACGUCUGAAAUGUUCAGGGAAUGGAAAAGUGCCAAGCGAAUGGAUAAAACUACCAUCUCCCCAGACUGAUCCAAAGCUGGAUACGAUGAGGGUUACAAAAAAUGGUUGAAAAAAGACAUACAAAGUAUGUCCUCCCCAACCCCACGCAGCUUUUGCAGCAUUACAGACAAAGAAGCCAAGGCAGUGGCUGAGCUACAACAGGUAAAAAAGAGGCCAAGAAGUGUGCGCUAAGUUUGUCGAGAACCAAGAUACUCUUGAGAAGGCGACUCAAGAGGUGGAAAGACUAAGGCGCGGUUAUGAUGAUUUCGAUACCUGGGUUAAGCAGAAAAUUGAGAGGAUGCAAUACGAAAGCUUGGUAGACAAAGGACGCCUGGGUGGAGGAUUCUUGCUGAUGCUAAGUUAUAUGUUUCAGCAAUACAAAACUCAGGGGGACGGCGACGGAGCGGGACCAUCAGGCACAGCAUAGAGAAUUUUUGAAUUUCUAAGGAAGAAGAUGAAUAAUCCCCCAAGGGAGGAAGAAAAGAAGAGAGAGAAGAGAGGAAGGAAGAUGAAAAGAUUUUUUUCUUUUAAAUGAUUUGGUUUGAGUUAUAAAAGUGUGUUUUUUUGUAUUUUAUAAAAGAUUAGAAAGUUUUGAAAAUGUUAAUUUGAUCUCAUAAUUAGUUAAUUACAUUUUAAAGAGGAUUUGACCAGCUCUUGGUCAAUCUGUCAUCAAAAACAAAAAUGAGACUUAUUUGAUACCUUUCCUUUAAUUUUCUCGAAAAAAUGUGCAUGCAUUUGAUUAUUUAUGCAUUUUAUUUAUAUAUUGUUUGGUUUGUAAAUAGAAAAAAAAUUAUGCAUAUAUUAUUUUCGUUCCUCCCUUGAUUCUUCUCUCAUAAGAUAUUUAUCUCUAUACCAUAUUUGUUCAUGAUUUGAGGUUCGCUUAUGGCGUAUUUCUCAAAUUAGAAUAUUUGAUUUUGAUCUCUCUAUGUAUAUUUCAUAAAUUUAUAAAAUAUUUGACAUUUCAAUCUCUUUAUGAAAUUACAAUUAAUAUCUAUUCCAUAAUUAUAGUAAAUUUUCUCUACAUUGUUUAUAUUCAUCAUAUAUAUUAUCAAUAAUAUAAUAUAACACACUAUUACUUUCAUGUAAUAUAAUACUAUUAUAGUUUUCAUAAUAUGCUUAUCUAAAUAAUUUUAGAAUAUGUAUUUGGCUAUAUUCAAUGUACAUAAUUAUAAUAAUAAUAAUAACAAUAAUAAUAAUAAUAAUAAUAAUAACAAUGCACAUUAAAUUUAGAUACACAUAAUAUUUGAGUUGAGUUCAAGUAACAAUAUCCUAAUUUAUUUAGGAGGUUAAAAUAAUUCUGAUCAUAGUAGAAUAUUGAAUGAUCAAACACGCCCCCACCGUCUAAUCAAUACUAUUUUGAGGAUAUCAAACCUUUACAAGAUAAGGGGAAAAAGUAGCUGGGUUGUAUGUGUUCCAAUCAACCUGUUCUGUAGGACCAAAUUUUGGAAUAUUUGGACCACUCUCAAUUAUGAUGACAUGUUGUAGGGUUACAAUCUUAGCAUUUUGAAGCAAUUGUCCAAUAUAUUACUAUAUUAUAUUAAUAUUAGAAAGUACCAAACUUAUCACAAUAGGUGACAUUUGAAUGAAAGUGAUUUUCAAAGGCAAAGGAAGUUUCCCUACAAAAGAAAAGUUUGUUCAAAUAAUGACUCUAAUUUAAUCGAGAUAAAAUCACUAAAUAAUUUUUUGUACCAUAAUAAUAAUAUUUAUUCAAUAAUUUUUUGUUCGAAACGAAAAAUGGAUAAACAUGCACUUGUACUCGAAAGUAAUAAAAAAGUAACAAAAAAAUACAUAAUGAAUACAAAUGGAAGUUGAUGAAGAGGAAAUGAAACAUCCUGGUAUAAUCGUGAUGUAGGAUGCUUUGUGGAUCGGACUUUUUCCUUUUUUUUAAAUACCAAUAUGGACCACAAUAUAAUGAUCAGCCAAUAUAUAUAUUUUUCCAACAAUUAUUUUUUUAUUUUGGCUAGUGCUACUAUAAUCUCCUGUCAUAGUUGUCCCAUGGAAAAGAAAAUUUUCUUCCCAUCUUAAUUGGAAACUUUAAUCCAAUAUUAUACACUAAUAAAAAGUAAGUGUGUCCAACAUGCUAGACUAAACUUGUUUGAUACAAGCAGUACAUGUAUACUGUAUUGGAACUAUUAAGAUCGUUUGUUCAAAAGUUACUCAUUAGUCAAUGAUAUCUAGUAACACCUUUCGUCUUUUUUUUUUUUUCUGACUUAUAGUUGCUAAAGACAUUGAGAAAAGUCUACCAAAUUGUCCCACAUCGCCAAUAUAUGAAACAUUUUUGUGUUUAUAUGAAUUGAUAACUUGGUGUAAGAAUGUGUUCGUAGAAAGGAGAGAUGGUUGGCAUCUCCCCCGACAGGGACGGGAACAGCCUUCGGGCUUUACCUGUUAUCAGACACAUCCGGUUAAGGCUACCCACUUUGGUGGAUCUUACCCAAUUUUUUGGUGUUAGAAACUAAUUAUAUCAUAUCAUCACUCGUUUAACGUUUUGGUAUAUCGCUAAUUACAUAUUCAAUGUAUGCUUCGAGAUGUAUUUUAAUAAAUAAAUGACGAUAAUUAAGAUAAAAAGUACUUGUUAACUAUCUAUUUUAAAUGUUUCAAAUAAUUAACACCGAUUUAGUAGAGUCAUAAAUGUGAAUUUUAAAUUAUAUGGUGAAUGAACUGAAUGAUUCAUAUAAGUAAUGACGAAAUCAAAAUUUAUGUCAGAAAAUUCAAGUAUAAGAAAAUAAUCACGAGAAUAAGAAACUAAAACAAUUAUAUAUUUAUACACACAUUCAAUCCUAGAUGAUUUUGUCAAACUCAUGCAUGGCAGCACGUUUAAGGUAGUCUUAUAAAAAUUAUGAUUUUCUGUAUUUAAUUUAUUUAAUUGACAUCGAUUUAUUAAAAAAAUUAUAUUAUACAUACAAAUAAUAUAUUUAAUUACAUAAAUUAAAUAUAGUCGAUUUUCAAUACGAUAAUUGUCAAAUAAUGGGGUACAUUUCAAUAAUGAAUUUUAAGUAAAUAUUAGCAUUUUUCAAGUAUCUGACAAGAGAAAGUAUUUUUAUUUAAAAAGAUAAAAACACUACGUGCAAAGCAAAACAAUACCAAUAUUGAGAUGCCAUUUUAAUUUUUGGCCCUAAAUUACAAAGUAAUAGUACACAUAUUGAAACUUAAUAAUACCAACUACUUUAUCCCCACACAUCUUUUUUUUUGAAAAAAUAUUUGCAUAUAUUAAUACAUACAACAUAGCAUACAGAUCAUCUUGUCUCCAAUAAUAUGAAAAUAUUAAUCCUUAUUCAAAGAUGAUGAUGAUUAUAUAUAUAUUUCAAGAAAAUCUGUACAAUUUUGAAGCAUUAGCUGUGUUGUUGCAUAUUACUUUGUGACAUCUUUGCAUGAUCUAUUGUAUUUCAUGUGGCUCUUAACAAGUUGCCCAGCUGAGAUAGCUGACAUGAGGGAUAGCUCACCCGCGAGAACCGAACCUGCUACUAUUGUGGCCAAAAGCCUUGCAUUUGACCCUGGUGCCUCUCUGUUGGCACCUUUCACUCCUAAUAAGUUCAAGCAAGCUGAUUGCGAUGCUAGUUGAGUUCCUCCUCCUACUGUACCCACCUGAUAAAUCACAACGACAUGCAUAAUAAGUAUCACGAAGAAACUCAUGCUUCCAUGACCUAGUUUUAGUAGUACCAACAACAACAACGACAUACCUAGUGUAGAGUGUACACAAACUUAGGCGUAGAGAGGUUGUUUUCGAUAAAGGCAUAAAGGACUCGUAUAGACAGCUAUAACUUCCUUGGGGUUUGACGCAUAGUUGAUUUAAAACUCCAUUAAAUGAUAUCGUUAAAACCGUCACAUGUAAAAGUUUGGGGUGGAAAGACGGUGUACCAAGAAUAUAACGAUAAGUAGCAAUAUGUUUAAUGCGUACCUCAAUUGAAGGCAUGGUGACGGAUAUAUGGAGGUCCUUGCCAUCAUUUACAGCCUCCAUCAUAGUGAUGCAGUGCGAGCUUUCAAUAUUUUGAGCCGGGUCUUGGCCAGUGGCUAAAUAUACAGCUGAGACAAUAUUGCUGGCAUGGGCAUUGAAGCCACCAAGUGCACCAGCCAUGGCAGAGCCAGUGAGGUUUUUAAGCAUGUUCAGCUCAACUAGAGCAGCAACCUCAGUUUUCAGAACUUUCUUCACCACCUCUUCCUUGAUGAUUGCCUCACAAACUACCGACUUUCCUCUCCCCUCAAUCCAAUUAACUGCUGCUGGUUUCUUGUCCGAGCAAUAGUUCCCUGUCAUAGUUCAACAAUUCCAAUUAAUAAGUGUCUAUAGAUCAUGGGAAUAAAAAGAAGAAAAAAAACUAGGUGUGCAGUAGUUGAGGCUUGUUGUUACAUUACAUUGGCAUUAGGUAGUAUGUAAAUCAAGUAUACAUGAAAAACCAAUUGACGCAGGGUAUCAAAAAGGAUUUUUCUUUUUAGAAAAAGGUAGGUGGAGUACCAGAUAUGCCGAUGAUGUCCAUGUCGGGGUACUCAUUCUGAAGGUAAUCAAGAACGUUUUGUACACCUUUGGAAACCAUGUUCAUUCCCAUCGCGUCACCAGUGCUACAGCUAAACCUCAUGUAUAGAUUCUUUCCAGCUAUUGCACAUUGAAUGUUCUGUAAUCUGGCAAAUCUGCUUGAUCUGUAAAGUCCAAAUCAAAAACAAAGUUAUACAACUAGUAUUGGAUGUCGAAUGAUGACAGGCUGAUUCCAAAAAUCAUAGAUUUAUCCAAGGAAACGAAAAUGACAGAUAUUGAAGUAACAGACAAAUCUAAUAAAAUCAUUAAGAAACAAAAAAUGGCUCCAUUCACUGAACACAUCAACAUCAAUCGAUCUUCAAAAGGAAAACGCAUUAAGAAAAGAUGUCCGAGAUAUUAGUCAACAAUAGAAGAAAGAAGGGAAGAUUCAGAUGUUCUCAUCUACCAUACUGUUUGAACACUUCCGUGGUAACUUUCAUCAACUACAAAGCAAAAUACUACUCUCUUUCAAUUCGUUUGCUUGAUUUUGACUAACACGAGUUUAAGAGAGAGAAAAAGAACUUAUAAAUCACGUGAACUAAAGAAAUGUCGAAUGUACCAAAAUGCCCUUAGAAUUAACGAGUUGCCAAAAAAUGAAAGAGCCGUUACAGACUAAAUAGGAAAGCAAGACAAACAAAUUGAAAUGUAGGGAGUAUAUACAUUUUACUUUAUACCAUUUUGAAGAUCAACUCCUGGACUUGAAUAUGAUGAUAUUUCUAUACUUUUAACCAUAAUUUAAUACUUUUUCAUAACUAUUAUGAUAUAUAAGUCAAAUUUAAGGGAUUACUAUGAUUCUAUUAGCUUCAUAGCAAAAGAUAAAUUCAGUAAAAUGAGUAUAAUCAUAUUAAAAAUCAAAACUUGAACACGAAGAAGAACGAGAACACUCACUUAUUGAAAACAACAGAUAGAGUCUCGAAAUUCAUUGUAUCCUCGACGAAGAACUUCAACUCCGCAGCUCUCUUUGCGCUGCCGAACCUAACUACAGGAGCUCUAGUCAUCCCAUCUCUAAACAAAACACUCGUAGCGCCACCGGAAACAUAAAUGGCUUUACAACCCCUGUUAGUACUAGCAACUAAACAUCCUUCUGUGGUUGCCAUUGGUACAGAAAAUUCAUUCCCAUUAAGCAGCAAAGGUCCAGCUAUUCCCACUGGUAUUUGAAUAUACCCAAUUGGCAUCUCACAACACUGUCCAAGAAUUGAUUCAUAAUCAAAUCCAUCUAAUGGUAACCCAUCCAAUGACUUCCCUGAAGUCCUCUGUAACGCCUCUUUUCGAAUAAAAGCAGCUCUUUUACAGUCACCCAACUUAGAUUCCAAUGAAUAUGAUGGUAUUCUCCCUUCCACCACCGAUUUGAUAACCACCUCAUCAUCCUCUCCAGAAAAUGGUGUGAUUAUCUGAGCAGCGUUUUCGUCAACAGGUACAGAUUUCAUUGGGAUAUUUCGUCGAACAGGUGGUGAUGUAACAGUUGCAUCAAUAAAUUGUUCUGGGGUUUCAUCUUCAACGUCCCAAGAAUCAUUAUUUCCUUUAGAAACGAAAGAUUGAACAAACCCAAUACCAAAGAACCCCAACAGAUAAAUAACUGAAGCGAUCAACGAAAACAUAGCAACUAAUUCAGAAAAGUUAAGCACGUGGAGUGGAAUUCCAUCACGGAUCUUCUCACGCCAUCUGUGUAGAAGAAAAUACAUGACAGAGAAAAACAUGGUGAAGAACAAACCAUUUGUAAGAUACAAAGGUAAUGGAAGAGCAUCUGAAGCUUUAACAGAGGAAUCUUGAUUACGGGGUCUGAGAGGUUCUCCGGAGGAAAUGUGUUUGGAAGCGUCAAGGGGUUUUACAGCUCGCCGGCGAACGUCCAUCUGUAAAAUUUUCCGGUGCCGGAAUUUACAGAGAAGAAACGGAGAAAUAUGAGGAAGUAUUGUGAGUGAUGAAGCUAAUGUAUCGGAAAUGUAUUUAUAGCCAAAAAAACAUCGGCUGGAGUUCUUGACUUUUAUGACCACACUUUGAAUUAUAAUUCACUUUUUUCUUGGAAAAAAAAAUAAUUGUCCAUUGGUAAAAAAAAAAAAAAUCAUAAAUUAUUAUUAAUUUAAUUAAAUUUAUAUUUCCUAUGUAGGAAAAAAAUACUCUUUUUCGAACCUUAUUUAUAAAAUUAUAUCGAAUCAGCACAAUUGAAAUAAUGAAGGUAUAAAUUCAAUUUAGGACUUUAGAAUUUUAUAGUGACAAUUUCAAGUGAUAAUAACUCGAUUCUAAAUUUAAAUUUGUGUACAUAAAAUGAAAUGAUAUGUUAUUUGCGAAAAAUUUAUUAAAUUUGGUGAACCUAAGUGUGAGCUACUAACUCUCCCGAUAAAGCUCGAGUAUUUUUCUCUCUCAUUUAAUUACUUGAUUAAUAUUGAAUCCUACAAAAAUAACUUUCUAAUUUCGUGAGAUAAUGAAAAAUUAUGCAUAUAUUUGAUUAUUUAUGUAUUUAAUUUUAUAUAUUGUUUGGUUUGUAAAUAUUAAGAAAAAUUAUGCAUAUAUUAAUUUUAUACUAUGAUUAUCCUAUAUAGCAUUAGGAAGAUCUAUUUUACAUUAUGCAACAUCUUAAUUAAGUUUAAUGACUUUGCAUCCUUUCAUAAAUGACAUAACUAAUAUCAAUUUUAGCAUGUGUUAAAUUUUAUUAGUGUAGACUAGUCAUUAAAGGUGAUCCCAUAAAAUAUGAAUUUAAUUUUAUACAGCUUUUGAUUAAAAAAUAAUUUUUUUUAAAAAAAAUAUGAGAAAUAUAAUUUUAUUGAUAAAAUUAUGUUUCUCCCUUGAUUCUUCUCUCAUAAGAUAUUUAUCUCUCAUAUAAUAUUCGUUCAUGAUUCGAGGAUCGCUUGUAACGUUUUUUCGAAUUAGAAUAUUUAAUUUUGAUCUCUUUAUAAAUAUUUCAUAAAUUUAUAGAAUAUUUGACAUUUCAAUCUCUUUAUAAAAUUACAAUUAAUAUCUAUUCCAUAAUUUUAGCAAAUUUUCUCUACAUUGUUUAUAUUCAUCAUAUACAUUAAAUAAUAUAAUAUAACACACUAUUACUUUCAUGUAAUAUAAUACUAUUAUAGUUCUUCAUAAUAUCCUUAUCUAAAUAAUUUUAUAAUAUAUAUUCAAUGUACAUAAUAGUAAUAAUAAUAAUAAUGCAUGCUAAAUUUAGAUACACAUAAUAUUUGAGUUGAGUUCAAGCAACAAUUAUCGAUUUGUUUAGGAAAUUAAAACCAUUCUGAUUAUAGUCAUAUUGGAAGUUGAGGUUGAUUAUUUGAAUUUUUUGAAUUUUAAUUUUAUUAUGCUCGUUUUAGAAAAGAUUAGUGGUGAUAGUCCUUUAUUAAUGUUAUUUUAGUUAAAUGAUUCUAUUAGGACGGUCGGAAUAAGCCUAAAAAUAAAAGACUCGCUUAAGUUAUUCAAAUUUUAUGAUCUAAGCUUGAAAUAUUUAAAAUUAGGUUAAAGUUUCAUCGAUUCAAUCUUUUAAGACGAUUUUAAUCAGCUUAACCUAAUUUAGUUGAAAAUUUCAACUUGUUUUCUAUUUUCACUAAAUCGCAAUUAUUAUUAUUAUUAUUAUUAUUUUUAAAUAUGUUUCAUUAUACUCAAUAAGAUCAGGUCCUGGGUCUUGGGUCUCGAAUCACAUGUCUCAAGUAUUACGUCCUAGGUCAGGAUUGAAUAGGUCUCAGAUCACGAGUACAAAAAGUUCUAUAUUAUCAAGUCUUGAGAUUUGAAUUUUAAUUCGACAUUGAAAAUAGAUCCUAGAUCUCAAAUUAUGAAUUAAGAUUGAAUUCCGAAUUGCAGUCAUGUCUUAAAUUUGAGUCAUGCAUAGCUGGAUCGGGUAGCGGUCAAAGUAGGAUCCGGGGGGUAAGGGGAAGUUGGUCAUUAAAAAAAUCAAGUUAAAUUGGCGGAAUCAAGACACAACUCAUUUCAACAAAUUAAUUAUACUUUAAGUGAUAUUUUAUUAAUUUAUUACAUUUCAGUUUGUUCAAUAACAGUUCCCUUCCAUUUGACACAAUUAAAUCUAGCAGAAACUCACAUAAAUGGAGUGGAAAUUAAGUACUUAAAUAUACAAAAUAAUAAAAAAGCUUGAUUUUGGUUUAUAUAGUUAAGUUGACUACAAAUUUGGAUUGUUGGAGUAAACACAAAAAAAAAUGGAUAUUUAUAUAAAUACAUUAUAUUGUGAAAAUAUAUUACAUAUUUUUUUUUUUGGAUAAAUAUAUAAUUGGAUAAGCUUGUAACGACAUAAAUUAUAAUUGGAUAAAUUUAUAAUAAGACAAAAUUACAAUUGGAUAAACUUAUACUCAUCUUUCCGUUUUAAAAAAAAAUGAUUUCCUCUACUUUUUAGUUUGUCUAAAAAAAGGAUCUCUUUUUUUUUGGAACGUUUUAGUUUCACCUUUUCAUGUGGCACGUUUAAGGCCACUAGAUCAAAGGACAAUUUUGUACAUUUAACUAACUUUAAUUUAAGAUCACAAGAUACAAAAGUCUUUUUUAUACUGCUAAAUUUCAUGUCAAAUCAAAUCAGGUUAUUCUUUGUGAAAUAGAGGGAGCAAUAAGAUAAAAUUACAACCAGAUAAACUUGUAAUUAAAGAGAAAAUUUAUAAGUAAUUCAUACAAAAAAAAUUUAUUCCGAUUCAAUUCAUUUAUAAAUGAUAAAUAAUUUUUAUCAAAUUACAAAAAUUUGAUAUGAUUUUAUUUUUUUUAAAAAAUAAUCAAAUGGCCAAAGACUACUUUUUUUUUUCUUGAACUUGGAAAUCUAGAUGUUCACCAAAUAUAUUUACUAAAUAAUAACAAAUUAUAAGGUCAAACACUAAUUUCUAAUUUUUUUACAAAUAUAUUUGUAGCCAAAUAAUACCUUAGCUAUAUGUCACUAUUUUGAAACCAAAAUAUUAUUCCCUUUCGAAAUUAAAUAAAACCUCCCUAUAUAUAAAAAAACACAAUGUAUUAGGGAUUUACAUGAUUAAUUCUAUUAUUCAUUUUUACAUAUAUUAACGCAUUAGUCGAUUAUAUCUUUUUUAUUUUCAAUAUUAAUUAUUCACUGUUGAAACUAUUUCUCAAAUCCAUUUAGACUUUAUAUGAGUUAAUAUAAAUAUUAUUUAUCGUGGACACGUAGAAAUGAACAAACGAGAAAUAUAUAAACAAAAAUUACUAUAAUGCCUUAACACAAUGAUUAAAUUCAUUUAAUUCUCCAUACCGAAUUUAAAAUUUUCAUAAAUACUACUUUUUUUCUCUAUUUUUUUUUUUAAAAAAUAAACAAUAAAACGUGAAGUCUGCAUGUAGAUUAUUAUUAUUUAAUGAGUUUAUUGGAUAAGAUAAAGGCAGCCAAAAACGAAGAAAUGGGCAGUCAUGCAUCGACUCUCUUACGUUUGUACACAAGUGAAAUUAGUAUAGAGGCGGAUUUAAAAUAUAAAUUAUAUGUAUAUAUUUAAUAAAUUUUUUAAUAGAUAUAUUAAGUCGAUUGGAUUGACGUUUCAGUAUUUGCACGAUGUACAGUUCCCCUUCCUAGCUAGCAUCAAUUAUAUUUUUCUUAACAAUUCGUAAAUUUUGUGUGUAUAUAACACCUAUCUUGUUGUGAAUGAGACAGGUCUCUCAUAAAAUCUAUCGGCCAAAAAAUUUUUAAGAACGAAAAAUUUGAUUAAAAAAUUAUUUUAUAAUUGAUUCUUAUUAUAGAGUCGAGGAAAUGAUCAACCACUUGUUUGUAAGAAGAGGGCGGUUAUCUAAUAAUAAAUUAAAUUUUAUUUAUUUUAUUUUUGUUAUCUAGAAAAAAGGUACAAAUAAUCUUUCUAUAAUAAAUAAAUAAGAUUAGUAACCUAUAAUUAUAAAAUGGUAAUGUUAUUAAACCACCCCUAAUUUUCAAGACUUAGCUUGUUCCACAUUCCAAUAUACUAUUAUACAUUUGACAUUUAUUUAAUUAAUUUAGUUAAAAUAUUGAUUUCCUUAUCUUAACGGAAUGAAUUAUAUGUUAGUUGAGUUAUAUUUCCUCUAUUCUUUUUUCUUCUUGUAAAUUUCAAAGUCCACUUUUCAUGAAUAACAUUUCAAUAAUUUAUAUAAUUAUGGCACAAAUAAGUCAAAAAUCAUAAUUUUGAUAUGAUUAAUACGUUGGAAAACAUACAUGCAUAACGAAAGUAUAUCAUGAUAUUUACUGUUUACAUGAAUAAGAGAUAGUCAAUAUCGUUUAUGCUAAAACGUAUAUUAUGAUAGAACACAUAAACAUAUUGAAAUUUAAUUCAAAAAUUACCUCUUGAAGCAUGAGCGGAUACCUUCAAGCGAAUCCCCAGGACAUACAGACCUUCAAGCGAAUCUACAAGAUAGACAACAUCUUCUAAAGUAAUCCCAAGUUCACAUCCGAACUAUCUCAAUACUUGGUGGACAAGUAUCGAAUAGAAAACUAAUUCCUCUAUUUUCUAGGUUGGAAUUUUAUUUUUUUUUAAGAGUUUUCUUGCUAAUCCAAAAAGGACUAGAAAACCUAGUUUUUUUAGAAGACUAGAAAAACUAUACUCCCUCCUUCCAUUUUAUGUGGCAAUAUUUGACCUGGCACGAAAUUUAAGAAAUAAUGAAGACUUUGAAAUGUUUACCAAAUUGUCCUUCAAAAAAGUAACUCAUUUUCUAUCUCCUCAUAAAUGUCUUGGAAAAUUAAGUAGGACUAGUAAAGGUAAAAGAGAAAUUAUACCUUUAAAUACUUACCAUAUAAGAAAAUGUUAUAUUAGUUUUGAGACUGACCAAAAAGAAAAUAUGGGACGGAGGAAGUAUUAUUCUUCCUUUUUCCAUAGAAAUAGGAUUCUGAGUUCUAGUUAAAUAUGGGCACUAUAGGGACCACAAAAUUAAUUACCGAGCAUUCCAAUCAUGGAAAUAAUUCUAAAUAAUUAAUUUGAAUUAUUCUUACCAUAAUAAAUUACAAAUUGUUCCACUAGAAAUCCGUAAUUGCACUCCACUAUUUAUAUUUCGUAAUUCUCCAUUAAACACUUGUGUAAUUCCCCAUAUUAAGAUUUCAGAUACUACUCAAUAAAUUAAAUUAUUGACGAAUUUAACUUAAUGAUUAAUUUUCUUUAGAUCACUGCUUAACUUAUUUCAUGUGUCGGAUUCAUAAAUCCACUUGCAAGAUUUGACACGAUGAAAACUUAUAAGUUUCUCAAAAAGGCAUAUCAAUCUCUAUAACGAGACAUAAAUUUCAUAAACUAACUUGUUAUUUCACCAAUAAAUAUUAUUAUCAUCCAACUUAACAGGCAUAUUGACCCAUCUCAGAAUCUCACCUUCUAAUAAAUCAAAAUGAUUAAGAAUAUAAGUACAUUUAAUAGUUUAGAGUAUAUGUUUUUUGUCAGCCAGUCUAAAACAAUUAUCUCUAUUCGAUCCCGUUCAAUACAUACAAAAUGCACCAGCACAAGUAGUUGGAACUAUAUCGUUCUCAUAAUCAAGAUAAAUUACAUAUAAUCUUGUGCUACAAUCAUAUCGAUAACAUGUCCAAUUUUCAUCCUAGAUUGUGAACAAAAAAACUUUAUACUUAUAAGAACCGAUGAUUUAAUCCUCUGUAUAUAAACUAAAAUUCUACACACUAAAUAAUCAACUAUAUAAGUAAAUAGAUACCAUAAACGAACAUAUGAUUUAUUAAAACUGACAAAUAAUUAGGGAUAAUUGUAUAGAAUGACAAACUAAUAAUAUAAAAUAAAUAUAGUAGCUACCCUUUGAUUUAUUUGUGUACCAUAGCAAAUUGUUUGUCAGUCAGUCUCUCCCUCAUAUUCUUGUUCUCCACUCUCCCUCUCUCGCUCGCUUAUUCAUGUCGCUCGCCUGUCUCGCUUUAUACAAUAGAAUUGUAUAAAUUGUGUUUCUUAUUGUAUAAAGCGAGAGAAAAUUAUAUAAACGCAUGCAAAUACAUAUAUAUCUUCGUCCUGUACAUUUAUAAUUAUACAAUACAAAUAUUUCCCUGCCCAAGUCUCUUUUGUCUUUCUCGUUUUAUACAAAUUCAAAUUGUAUAUAAUUUCUCUCUUUCUCGUUUUAUACAAUUCGAUUCAAUUGUAUAUUCCCUGCACAAGUCUCUUUUUGCUUUUCUCUCUUUCUCAUUUUAUACAAAUUCAAAUUGUAUAUAAUUUCUCUCUUUCUUGUUUUAUACAAUUCAAUUCUGCCUUUCUCGCUUUCUCGUUUUAUACAAUUCAAAUUGUAUAUAAUUUCUCUCUUUGUAGUUAAAUACAAUUCGUCUUAUACAAUUCGCUUCAAUUGUAUAUGUAUAGCGAAUUAUACAUAUAUAAGUUUGUUAUGGAGCGCAAUUAUGUAAACUUUGCUACAGCAUAUAAAUAUAAAUUUUAUGUUUGUUAUAUAUGAAAGUUACCCAAAUAUUUAUUCUAUAAUAAAUAUUAUCUCUUAACAUAUGAUUAAUAGUAUGUAUCCCAACAUAAUAUUCUCUAAUAUUAUUUGCAUGUUACGUUAAUUCUAACACUAGUAAUGAGCUUAUUAUAGCUCCAGGCAACUCUAUCGUUAAAUAAAAGACUCGAAUUUAAGGUUAAAUCAAGAAAUUUAUUUUUUUAUAGAGUGUUUUUUAAUUAAGCGUGUGCAUUCAAUUCAUUCAACUUUUUGGUUUGAGAUCUUUAAUUUUCGGUUUUGAAGAAGUGUAACUCAAUCCAAACUGAAAUAAAUUUGAUUUGAUUUGAUUUUUCUAUUUUAGUUUGAUUUUUUCGAUUUGAUUAUUCGAUUAUGUCAAUGAUUAGAAACAAAAUCAAAGUUAUAUUUGCAAAAUGAAAAAAAUAUAUACAUUUAUACAAGGAGGAGUAACAAUAUUAAAUCUCUUGAAAAUAUACUUUCUAUUAUAAAUCAGAAGUAAAACGUAAAACACAAUAUUAAAAGUAUAUCAAUUAUAGAUGUCCAAACAUAAUACAUGAAUUAAAUAAUAAUGAAAGAAAAAAUAACUAAAAUUAUAUAUAUAUAUAUAUAUAUAUAUAUAUAUAUUAUUUGAUUUUUUUAUUUUUAUUUUUAAAUCCGAAACCAAACCGAAUAACCAAACAAAGUAAAUUAUUAAUUCAAAAUCAAAUCAAAAAAUCAAUCCAAAUAAAAAUUUAAUUUAAUUUAAUUUAAAAUUUUAAUUUAGUCCAAAUAAUACACACAUCUAUUUUAAACCCUACUAAUCAAAAUAAAUUAGAUAAAUAAAUUUUGAAUAUUCUAUGGUUAUUAAGUUGAUUGAGUAAAGUUAUUAGUUAUUACUCAUGUGAGUGUCAAAGUGAAAUGAGACUUUUGAUAUCCAUGAGGAAUGCAUGCAAAUUGCAAUAUGCAUGCAUAUGGCGGCUAUCCUCUUGUUCUCUCCAUUCGUUUUUAAUUGUCGUGUUAUAUCUUUUGAGAGUUAAUUUGAAUAAUUUUUAAAAUUAAAUAAAAUUACUUUAAAUUGAUAUUUUAAGUAUAAAAUUUUAGAAAUUUAAAAAUUACACAAGAAAAAUACUAUACAUUACAACAUUUUUUCAUAUAUGAGGAAAAAAAACAUCUUCAAAUGUUAAUCAGAAUUCGUAUCGCGUUACGUUAAAAAUGAUUUUUACUGGCAAUUAAGUAAUGACAAUAGCUUAAUUGCUGCUAAAUGUAUGUUUUUUAACACUCUUUGUAUAUGUCCCUAAAACCUUUAGCGACACUAGAUCUAAUGACACUUAACUAAUGUCGUUAAAGAUUUUAACGUUCUUUAUUAAUGUGUCUGUUUAUUACUGCUAAAUCGAAAAACUUUAUUCUUCUACCUAAUUCUAAAUGUAUCAAAGUCCUGGAUAGUAAUGGACGGAGGACAUAUUAUGUAUAAGCUAUAUAUACGGAAAAGGGUCUAAAAUAGCCUUGAAGUAUUGGAAAUGGUACAAAAUUACCCUUCAUCCACCUAUUGGCUCCAAAAUGCCCUUCUCAUCUACCUAUUGGCUCCAAAAUACCCUUGUCAUCCAACUUUGGGUUAAAAAUUGACCAAUUAUUUAACUAUGUUAAAAUUAAACUAUUUAAAUAUUUUUUAAAAUACUUGGCGCUCAACUAUUGGUUAUAAUUUAAUUUAUUAAUAUAAUUUAUAAACCAACCUACUACCGACUCAUUAUUAACUAAACCCCACCGAAUUAAUAAACCAAUAAUAAUAUCAAAAUUGUGAUAGACACUACUAAACACGAUGGAUUCCUGAAAAUGACAUCCAAAAUUAUUCGACUCUGAAUCAAAGCCCCAAUUAAAUUUAGGUUGAGCCCUUAUUUAGAAGGACACUUUCAAUAGGAUUCUAUUUCAAGCUUGAAGCCAAAAUCUAUGAUUAAAGUUAAAGAAGUAGUACAUCCGAAUUAAUUAUGCACUUUUUUAAAAUAUAAAUUUAUAAAUAUAUAUGGUUUGUUUUAAAACCUUAAUAUAUUAUUUUAAAAAAAAAUUAUCUAUGAAGUAACAUCACAUAAUUCAGACUUUUAAGUUUAUCAUCAAUUUUUAUUUAGACACUUGAAUGUAUGAUAAUUUACUUCUAUAGAUAUUUUCGCCUUAAAUUUUCAAAAACUCUCAUUGGAAGUAGCUUUAUUGUUGUUGCAUUAGUAACGUGACGGGUUUAUUAUUUUGAAGGAAUUUAAUUAGUAAUGGGUGGGUAGUGGAUUGAUUUAUAAAUUAUAUUAAUAAGUUAAAUUAUAACAAAUAGUUGAGCGUAACAUAUUAAAAAAAAAUUAAAUAGUUUAAAUCUAAAACCGUUAAAUAAGUGGUCAAUUUUGAACCCAAAUGUGGAUGACAAGGGUAUUUUGGAGCCAAUAGGUUGGUGGGGAAGGUAUUUUGGAGCCAAUAGGUGGGUGGAGGGUAAUUUGUACCAUUUUCAAUACUUCGAGGGUAUUUUAGGCCCUUUUCCGCUAUAUAUAUUUGUAUAAGCAAAUUUUAUAUUAUCAUAUAGAGGCGACAAUAUCUUAAUUGUCGCUAAAUAUGUAAUCGUUAACGGCAAUUAGUACUCUUUGUAUAUGUUCAUAAAGUCUUUAGCGACACUGAAUCUUGCCGUCUUAUUUGAUAUGAGUUAGUUUGACUCAACACGAAUUUUUUUUUAAAAAAAAUAGGAUCUUUGAAACCUGUGGUUUAAAAUAGAGGAAAAGGGUUCGUAAAAUAUUCAAACUUUGACUAAAAUUGUUGCAAUAAUUUCAAACUUUGAGCAAAGACAUAUUAUCCCUCUGUAUUAUUUAGUAGUGUAUUUUAAUGUUAUAUAUGUGUCCAUGUACAAAUUACUAUUUAUAAUGAUACAAUAUUUAUGAUGUCCACGUGGACAUAUAUACCAUUUAAAAUACACUAUUAAAUAGAGGUAAAAAAAAUUUCAAAGUUAGGGACUGUUACAACAAUUCCGGUCUAAGUUCGAAGAUAAUUUAAAUUUUUUCCCUCUAAAGUUAUAAUGACCCGCGAGGUUAUUUUUGAAAAAUUUAAAUUAUUUGUAUAACUUGAGUUAAUCUUUUAUAGUUAAUUGUAGAUAAUGAAAUUAAUAAAUAGUUAGUGAUAUAAAAUGAACAUUUAUCUAAAACAAUAAAUUAGUGGUUUUGAUCAGUUUAAUAAACAAUUAAUUUAGAAAAUGAGAGACAGAAACAAUCACUCGUACUUCGUUAUAAUUGAUUUGGUUAAUUGAUUAUGGAUUAAAUACAAUAUUAAAUUUAAUAAAUGGGUUUGAAAGUGCAAUUAGGUCCCGUCUGAUGCAAUGUGAGUAUUUAUAGUUGGGGUAAAUUGAUGCCAUGUGAAGAAAAAAUGGUUAGUUUGCAUAUAUAUAUAAAUAAUAAAAUUAAUUAGGUGCUAUUGGAAUGUGAAUUCAUUCGAGCGUAAAUUUCAAAGUCUCUGUUAUUAUAUUAUGAUUCAAGCUUUGAUAUAUAUUGGUGUGUAUAUUAUUUAAAUAUUGGGUGAAUGAUAUUUUGUGAGUAUCAUUUAAAUUAUGAUAUUGGAAAAAAAUUUGAGAUGCAAUCUUAGAUUUAAAACUUGAAAAAUAUGAUAGUUGCCAUCAAGAAUUAAGAACUUGAUUAUACAUCUGGGCGAAUUUUUAGGUUAAGAUUAAACACAUAAUAAUAUGAGUGUUGUUAGUUCUGAAACCUUAUUAUGAAUAUAUAUGCUUGAAUAGAUUCCAUCGAUUCGGAAGCUCAACGGAAAGGGAAGGCUCAAGUUCCGGAGUAAUUAUUUGAUUGGCUAAGGCAAGUGGAUUUCUAAACCCUUGUUAAGCGUAUGAAAUUCGUGUAUUUCUUUUUGUGAUGUUUGAGAAUGAUUUGGAGUCUUAUUGCUUAUUUGUAAAUGUUGUGACAAUUGUUUCUUGUUAUCAAAACGGUAGUUUCCUCAUUAUUUGUUUGAACUUGUCAUUUGCAUUGCAUCUGACAUGGCUGUGAUAAGUACUAUGUGAUAAGAGGAUGUACCAUUUUGAGGGUCGUGUCGCGCGCUGCGAUGGUUACUAUUAUCGAGGGUUGUAUCUCACGCCGCAAUAGAUGCUAGACAGAUAUAUCCCCCAUGGGUCCCAGACUGAGAGACAGCAUGUGCGUAUCAUUAGGUCAGACAUGCAUCACUGUAUUUGACAUAACAUUUUAUGACAUUGCACAUUUUGAUCAUUAAUGAACUUGAACUUGUGUUUUGCUGAUCUUAUGAGUGUUUUUUUUGUGAAACUUGUGACUGACGAAUAUUAAGCUGUGUUAUUGAGAAUACUAAUCGAUUAACGUGUUGUUAUUGAGUUGUGUGCUUUGUGAACUAUGAACUGUUAGCCUGUAGUGUGGAGGUUAAUUCAGUAGGGUGUAAGGGGUACCCGUAUUUUGUUCACUUAACUUGUAUUUAGAGGUUUACUUGUUGAGUACCGUGUGGUUUGGUAUUCACCCCUUGCUUCUACAAAAUUUUUGAAGGUUACGAGCACGGAUCUUCGUGAUACUAUCCAUUCUCUUCGUUUCCAAGGCAUCUUGUGGAGGAUUGUGAGGUAGUUGCUCGUCAUCUCAGCGAACCUUCCUACUCCAGUUUAUGACUUUAUUUUUACUUGAAAGACAACUUCAUUCUAGACUCGUAUUUUAUUUCAAUUCUAGUAUUCACAUUAGAGGCUUGUGCACGUGACAAUCUGAUUUUGGAGAUUGAAUUAAGUUGACUAGUUUUCGUAAAAGAAACUAUUAUUGAACUUCUGUUUAUAUUCCGCAUUUUGUUAGAUGUUGGGUUUUAGGCUGACUUGUCUUGGUAGGAUAAGACGAGUACCAUCACAUCCAUUUUUGGGUCGUGACUAGUGCUGGCAAUUUAAGCCCAUUUUUCAUUGACCCGCUCAAAUAGUUCAUCAAAUAUGGAUUGAAAGAGUGAUUUUAAAUAUGGGUAAUAUUUGGGACUAUACCCAUAUUUUACCCAUUAAAAUAUGAGUAUAUUAUGGUUAAACUACGGGUCAAAUAUGGAUAUUGCAAGUUUUCUCCAAAUUUUCAAAAAAUCUUCUGUUACCAAGGUUUAGAAUCGAUUUUUCAAAACUUUCAUAUAUGGGUCCCUAUUAAUAUUUCAACUCUCGACCUCCACCCCAUGCUUCCCAAAAAAGUUAAAGUUUAUUUUUAAAAAAUAUUUUAAACUUCAAAUUUUAUUUUUUUCACCCUACCCUAAAAAACAAAACAAACCUACUUAUUUUUUAAGAAAAUAUUUUUGAAUCAUAUAAAAAAUCUCUUUCAUACCAAACUCAUGACACCAACCUUCAAAUUAAUUUUAAUAACCUAGUAUUUUUUUUAGUGAUGAUAAGGAUUGUGCAAAUAUUUAUGGACACUAGUAAAUAUUAAUUUAAUUAUUAUUGCCAUUUCAUGCUAAUCAACCAUUUUUAGUUGAUGAAAAAUGUGCGUAGUAUUGUCAUAAUGUGAUUUGAAACAACUAAGCCAAAUGUAGUUACUUGAUUUGUAAUAUGUGGUUGAUAUUAUCCUUAUUUAUAUCCAAAAUAAAAAUCUAGAGGCAAAUUUUUCACAAUUUAAUUUUAUGGAGAACCUUUUAUUCAUAAACUAUUUAAUAGUAUAUUUUAAAUGUAUCUAUAUCUCGUUGAUAUAUUAUUAUUAAGCAAUAUCUUUUAUAUCCACGUGAACACAUAUGUACCUUUAAAAUACACUAUUAAAUAGUGUAUGAAUAAAUUGUCUUUUUCAAAAAUUGAUAUCGUAACAGCAAUUUCGAUCAAAAUUUUAAUAUAUUUCAAACCUAUUUCUCAAAUUCUAAAAUAUAAUCCAACUAUCACAUGAUUUUUAUAAAAAGGCCAAACAUACAUUGUUUAGUUAUGGAAAAAUUACAUGAAUUAAUACAUUUUAAGAAAUAAUUACUGAUUUUAGCGAUACUUUUUAUUUAUUACCAUUUAUAGCAAUAUUGUGAUGAAUCUGUAAUAUAUAUUAAAAGUGAAUUAUUUAUGCAAUAUAUUUAAAUUAUAAUUGUUUUUGAACUAUAUUGUGUUUGUUUGGUAAAAAAUGGUCACAUUGUAUUAUAAGUGUAUUAAAAUGUGUGAUAAAUGUAUUAUCCAUCAUUAAAACUUGUAUUAUAAGUGAAUAAUAAAUUGUUCUUUGUAAUAUAUAUUAAAUUUGUAUUAUAAAUACAUUAAAAGUGAUCAAGUGAAAAAAAAUAUUAUUGCUAUAAAUGAUAAAUAUUUUUUUAUUAUAGAAUAUUUAUGUAAGUUUCCCAUUUAGUUAAUUGAAAGUUAGGCCAAACUUGUGUGGUGGAUAAUUAUUUUCCUUUGAUAACAAGUAUAUAUAUAUAUAUAUAUAUAUAUAUAUAUAUAUAUAUAUAUAUAUAUAUAUAUAUAUAUAUAUAUAUAUAUAUAUAUAUAUAUAUAUAUAAAAACUCUUAUUGUUAUUUCAAGCUACCAACGGGUAAAACUACUCGCAUCAGGUGUUUACACCAAAUCAAUACAUGCGUAAUAUGUAUUUAAAUUUAUAGUUUAUUUUACUUGAUCAUAAUUAAUUAACAUGUAUUUUACUUCAUUAAAUCACAUAAUAAUGAAAAUUAUAUUAAUUUGAUAUAAACACUCGAUGCAGGUAAAUUUUUCCUAAACAAUAAUGUGAUUUAAAAUAACAAGCUAAAACUAAAUUGAUAAGUAUGUUUUUUUCUCAUCAAAGAGUAAUAUGUGGCUUAUAUUUUCUUCAUUCCAAUUAGAUAUUCCCAAAAAUCACAUUUGAAGUCAUUUUAAAUGUGGUAAAGAGUAAGAAGCCAAAUCGAAAUUGAUAUUAUUAUUAUUUUUGUAAAAGAACCUAAAUAUUUUGUACUCAUAAUUAAUAUUAAGUUUAUGUUGAUUCUCAAGCAUAUAAUAUAUAUGAAAAUAAAAUACUAUUAAAAAAAUAAAAACAUGACUUUCAAAAUCGAUCUUCAGAGGUCAAUUUAUUUUCUUUAUUCUAAAUUAUUUUACCGUAGUAGGAUACAUUUCUACUACUAAACCAUUGAGAUUUGUUGAUUUAAAACUUCGAUUUUUUUUCUUAUUAUGCGUUUUAAAUUAUUUUAUUUACAAAAAAAAAAUGACCUCGCAAUUUUUAAUUGAAAAAGAACAAAUAACGCUACAAUAUAUUAGGGUCAAAUGCAUUUUGCAGAUAUUUAUUAGCAUUUUAAAGAAUUUUAAUUUUUUAAAAAUAGUUUGAAUAGUGUCAUCUAGUUGAUGUUAUUGUAGUAGUAAAAUCAUAUUUGAUCAAAAUUUGAGAUUGGUAUGCAUGUAAUAUAGAAUUGUUUAUUUCAUUAAACUUGGUCAUUCUCGUAUAAUCGUCUCUAACGAUUUAAAUUUUUAAAUAAGAUGGUUAUUCGGUUCAACAUGAUAUCAGAGUUGACAAGAGAUUGUAUAGUAAAUUUGAAGUAUCUCAUUGCAACUCGAAAAGUAAAAUAUAUUUCCGCUAUUAUUAAAAGAAAUUUCUACGAGGCACAUAAAGGGACUUGUUGAAGAGUCGUAGGUUAAAAUGUCAACGAUACAUAUCAUCAAAAAAAAGUUUUACAUGCUCUUGGCCAAUGAAAAGUCAGGCUAACACGUGAUCAUCCGUCAUCGUUCUAUUUUUCUUUUAUCAUCUCGUCUCUUUUUGGGCUACAAGUACAUAUAGGGCACUUUGAUGCAUUAAACUUUGGCUAUGCUCGAAAUUUCAAGUAGAAGCUAAACCACAAAAACGACUCUAUAUUUUUAUAACAGACUAUCUUUUUUACAACUCGAACUCAUAAUUUUUUAUCAUUCAGUCACAUAAUAAUAACUUUACCAGUUCGCCAACGAUGCAACUUCUUGGACUACUUCACCUAUGGCAUAAUCUUUCUUGUUUUUUCCCCAAUUGUAGGGUUGUAGACAUAAGUGCUCAGCAAUACCGUCAUCAUUAAUACUUAUGACCUUUAUUAAUGAUGUCAAUUUUGACUCAUAUUUUGGAAGACGUAAAAAAAAAAUAACGUUUACCAGCCACUUUUUAGCCGUGUUGAACAAUAGUCAUCAUCACAAAGUUCCAAAUAAUGCCGAAGAAAUUUCCAAAAUAUUUCAAAUUUUACUAGCGAAAUUUUGAAACUCCAAGACAAUAACUAUUUCUCAAUUAACUCAAAAUUUGGCUAUUUGCAAAUUUUGGAAAAUAUAGUUGAAACCUCUUGGAAAAACUGGUGUCAGAUAGAGACCUCAAAGCUAGAGAGGUUGUUUCGGUAGACCCUCGUGGAAAAACAACUCAAAAACAGUCUCGAGAAAACAGAAGAGUACAAGAAACAACAGAUAUAGCAACGGAAAGAAAACAAAAAUCGAGAGAUAAGUAACAGAAAUCAAAGGAGAAAGAAGCUAUAGGAGCAAAAAUGCCUUUUAUGCAAUAUCUUCACAAAAUGGAUUCAAAUAACAAAAACAAAAAUUAACAAUAAGGUGCUCACUUGAGCAGAGCUUUGAAAUCAUAUAAAUCAGAUGAGUUCAUCGCGCUUAUUAUCAAAAUUCCGGCUCCGCCACCAUAAACUGAGAAGUCAAAAUUUUCCAGAUCGAUACCGUAAGCUGACAUGUACUCAAAAACAGUACACAAACAUUCUGAGUAACUAUGGUUCUAGCUAGUGGAGUCUCUAAAAACCAUUGUUGAGUAACUAUCCGGGCCACAGAUACAACUCCUGCGACGUUGUGUAAGUUAGUGCAUGACAGAGAGAGAACCUCUCUUCUCGCGAUUUCACCUUCUUCAGACAGCUUAAAAGAAAUCUGUCCCACUAUAGAGCCAGUAAGCAAAUUGAACUAUUUGCUGAUAAAAAAUGGCCUGUAUAUCGAUUUAUUUGCUGAUCAAGCAUUUCCGGGAAACAGUUAAGAGGAUCGCUAAUUCACCCUAUUAGCUAAACUAGGUGCACGAGUAUUCUCGUGCUAAUUUAAUUCAUGUUGAAUGACUUUGAGCCUUUUCAUCUUCCUCUAUAUCUUUGAUUACAUGUCCACUGGUUGGCCUACAAAAUAUACAUUUAACACAUCAAGCCAAGCAUUUAAAACAAUAUGAAAGGCAAAGCAAAUGCGAUUUUGUUCUAUUGAUUCAAGGACAAUCUCGGACAGUCAUCCAAAUCGAUGAUACACUGAUAAUAGCUUAACACGUAUUACACAAAGAAUUGGACAUUCUCUUACUUGUUAUAAUGAAAUAGAGAAUGCAGGUGACAGGAAAAUUCAGAAGAAGCAGCGAAACAAAUAUCCUAGUGGAUUUUCUUACUAUGAGAGUCAACCUAGAUAAUGUAUUCCCUCUAGUGCUUUGACUUUGCGAGACUCCAACCCAAAAUAUUAAGGUAAUGGGUGGAAUAGUUCAAAACUUUUAUAAACCCCACCCAAAGCACUUACACAACUCACGUAGGACAACCAUGUAACUCAAUACCAUCCUGCAACGUUACUUGAUUUUGGCGCUUAUGCGGCAACUUUCAUAUAAUUUACAAGUGUAAGAAUGAGCUUACCAAAAGUGGACUCUGAUAUAUAUGAAAGAAUCUGAUAAUACAACCUAAUACCUUAUAGUAAUGGAUGGAGUAGCACAUCCACCUUAACACUUCACUCAAAAGUCACCAAGUCAUCCUGAAGCGAAAUAAAAACAUGGAGUCCCCCAUCACUAGAACUUUCAGGCCAGAAUUCUUCUGUAUCUCCCAUCACAGAAAAAUUCCUCCACGGAAUAAUAACUCUUCCAAACAAAAUUUUUGUGAUUAGCUACUCAAAGGCUUAACACAGAACGUGUGAUCUUCGAACUAUAAUAGUGUAAUGAAUUUGAAGGAGGGUAGUGGUAAUUAGUCACAGUUGCCCCUUGUCAAAGUGAUGGAGUACUGACCUUAACUCUCUUUUUUAUGAUUGUGGUGUCCAGACCAAGUCGUACACACCUUGACCAAUUCGAUGGGUACCUUUGUACCUAUUUUUUCAUGUUAUGUUAUAUUAUAUGUUCUCUAAAAAAAUAUUUUGGUAAACAACCAAACAAUAUCUGGACAAACGACGGCUUAUACAGAGGUUAGACUGUAUCUACCACAAGCACCAUGUAUUGGAUAACUCUGCCAAGGCUAUACCAGAUGGGAAGAAAUCACUAAGUGCUUUUUUUGCCGGGUUUAAACCUAAGACCUCAUAGUUCCCCCCUCAUUCACCACUAGGCUACACUACUACUACGCCUCAAUCACAAGCAAAUUGAGGCUAAAACCAGUACUUGGACAAUGUAUUUGGCUACUGCUCUCAUGUACUUGAACUAAUUAAUUUAGAUAGAGAAACUACCUUUAAAAUCAGACUUGGACAAAAUUUGGCUAUUGCCCUUUUUUUAGAAUAUCUAGGCAGCCAAUGCGACCUCCCUGAAAGCAGCCAAACCCCCUUUUGCUGUGUUGAUAGCCCACUAAGUAUCCAACAUAUAAUACUUAUUGUAUACGGGCAAGCCUUUGCCCUUCUCUAGUGAAAUUUAUUUCUUCAAAAAAAAAGUACAAAAUCACAUGCUGAAGGUAUCCGGGGCUCCUGAUCAUGAAAACUAUAAUCUUUUGUUGAGUUUUCCUGUUUCUUUUUGCUUAUAUUUCACUUGCACGAACACUGAGUUGUUUAGAUAAAGCUCAACAUGAAUGUCAAUUAUGCGUGCUUGAGUGUGCACAUAUGCCUGGUGAGAGCAAUUGUUAUCAUUUCUCGAGUUUCUGUGGCUCUUCUAUGUCUUAUAAUUGGUCAAGAAUCCUAUAAUCUAUCCAAUUCAUGAGAAGCAAGAAAAGCAAUUCACAUUGAUAAUAGCUAUGUGUAACUAAUAACUCUCAUGACUUCCAAUUGGCAGAUGCAUGUCCAAAUAACAAGAAAUCGUAUGCCAAUAUUCAUGCAAAACAUGCAACAAUAGAAAAGUGUGUUGAAAUUGAAUCACACCAUGUACCAAUUAGCUAUAUGAGUAUGGAACAGAACUUACAAUCCACUUAAUAUUUUAAUGGAGUCGUAGAACAACCACUGCAAAGUCACAACUGGUCCAACAAGCAUUAUCCUAAUAGGAAGACUUCUCGUAAACAAAUUAAGAAACCCAAUUUUCUUCACAGCCUGAAAAGGUAAACAGGGUAAAAUUAGAAAUGAAGCAAACAUGAGAAUCAUUGUAGUAGACAUUUCUUGUUCUUUUUGUCAGUACUUUUUGUUUUUCAAUUUUGUGUUUAUAUUAUUUUAUUCAUUUUAGGGUGUGGGAAAACAAUAAGAGAUUUUACCUGCUUUAGGCUACUGGUCUUCUUGUUGUUAAGAGAAGCAACAAUGUUGUCAGCGGGGUUAGAGAUAAUACUACCAACAGAUCCAGCGGCAUAUCCAGCUAAACAAGUUACACUGAGCUGCUGAGUUCUUGAACAGUCUUCCCUCCUUUUCUGGAUUAACUUUUUAUAAAGAAAAUUCACUGUAUGCUCAAAGGUUGAGAACAUAACUAUUGAGACUGCAACGGGAAAAACAGUUACCAACAUUAAUUUUAUCGAUACCUUUCAACUGAAAACUCCUAAAGCAUUACAAUAUAGCAGCACAUCUAAUCUAUGUUGGUCGGGACUCUUCAAAAUUUUCAGCGGGUGCAGCAAUAAUUUUGGAGAGUCCGAACAACAUAUCAGCUAAUAGUCAUCAAUUGCUUCUACAAAUACACCAUUCAACUAGACCAAGAUUAGAAAUAACAGAUGGUAGAGUAAUAUUUGAUCUAUAGAACAAAUGAUACUAGUAUUACCAUUGCAACGCAUUUCAGCUAGAUUUCAACUAAAGCCAAUAAUGCUGCCUCAGACAUUACAAAAACAGUUCUAAGUGGCCACAAAAUUCUGAAUAAUAACUACAGCAUACCCAGUGUAGUCUCACAAAGUGGGAUAUGAGGAGGAUAGAGUGUACGCAAACUUUAACCUUACCUCAGAAGUAGAGAGGUUGUUUCCGAACCCUUGGCUCAAAGAAAGACGACUCAAAGCAGUCCCAAACAAGAUGUAACGGAAGUACAAGAAAAAGAACAGAAACUACAUCAAAGCAAUACGAUAAUCGCAGUACAAGGAACAACAGAUAGUAAUAGAAAUUGAAGGACAUGAGACUACAGGGGCAAUACUAAAAGUCUACAACUACUAAUAUGAAGAACUCUGAAUAAUAAUUUUAAUUAUUUAUCUAAACCUCAAAAGAGAAGAGUGCCCACAAAUGUUUCAUAGGUAUCAUAUAUAUGUAUGUACAAAAUUUUAUAAGAUAUAUACAAAUUUACAUCAACUGAAUAGAGUGUCAAAGACUGAGAGAUACAUGGUAUAUUACGACCCAGUAGCGGAAUAAGUCCCCUGUAAAACCUGAAGUCAGAAAAAGGAGUUGUAGAGAUAGUCAAUAUGAAGAAACGUUAGACCAAAGGAGAAAAGAAGUGCAACAGUUGGACUCAUACCCAUGGAGGCCUUCUGAUGCAUAUAUUCUUGGAAAGCCAUCAGAAAGGCCUUUCGCAAAAUGAGGCUGAGCUUGCACACGAACUUUAAUGGCCUCAAAUGGACAGAGAGCGACAUUAGCAAUUACUUCAGCUGAUGCGCUGCUGGCGAAAAAUAUCAAACUCUUGUUCUGAUCCACCAGUACAUUUGAGUAUACUUUCUUAAAGUAUUCAUACAAACCAAAUCUACAAGCACCCUGAACACCAUAGCCAAAAAACUUACCAGCCCAUCCUCGCCAAAAUGCUGAGGGACCUUGUUCUCUCAACAAAGUCGUAAAACAUGUGGAAAUGCUACUAUACUUGAUAGGAUGCACCUACAAAUUACAAACAGUAAUUCAGAAAGUCCAUAAAUGAUUGAGCAACUAUACCAACCAAAAGGGGAUUGAUGUGUACAUAUAUCAUUUAAUCAACUAUGCAUCAAAAUUCCAAAUUAGUUCGGUCAGCUUAAUAAUGCUUUACAUCCAUACCACUCUAUUGAAGCAUCAUUCAAAAUGCUGAAUAAUUUAACUUUCUAAUAUUUAGACAAUUUAAAAAUAUAUCAUUCUGCGACAUUAGCCAACUCUUAUCUUAGCAUUUUGUGUAUAAGGAAUCAGAAAUGCAACACUACAUUUACUUCUGACUCAUUCUGGCCAAAUGACAACCCAAAAUUAUUUUCUCAGCCUUAAGAAGAAAUACACCCCAAAUCCCGGGAGAGGGAAACAUUAUUUAUUGAUGCAAAUCUAGCAAUAAAGACGCCAAAGAAAAUCUUAAAAACUACGUAGCAUAAUCUUAAUCAAUCAAUUGAUAGGAAAACAUUAUCCCCCAAAGAUUACAGUCUUGAUCAACCCCACACAUGUACAAGCUUUCUCACAUUACUACAAGUUCCCACGUCUGUAACAUCAGUUUUAUUUAUAUAAGAAGCGUUGAUAAAAUCCAAAUAAAGUUGGGUUGAACAUUGAAAAUCACCAGUAGAAGAACCCCAUAUUUCCUCUUUAGAGAAUCUCAUAAUAGUAUCAUAACAACUAAAAAUAGAUUCUUUAACCAAAAAGAAUUCGGUUCAGAUAUAGAAUAUCUAUCCAGAAGUAUUCGUAACUCAAUCAUAGAUGACGGAAUCAUCAAAGCACGCCUGAGUACUAUGUGGUUUAUGCAAAUGGAGGGAUGCGUAGUGCUGAGAUUACUCAUCUUGUUAUCACCCCUCUUGAUGUUUCAAAGUUAAUAUGUAGGUACAUUUAUCACCAUUCUUCUAAUAACAACUAAUACCCCUUGAUACCAAUCUGGUGAGUUAGAGACAAGUUUGAAAAAGGUCAAAUGAAUUCUUCCCAUAUCUUCCUCCAAAUUAAGCUACUACUACUCAUGUUUAAUGCAUCACUCUUUUUUUUGUUCUACAGAAAAACUUAGAGAAUCUCCUAAUAGUUCAAGAGCAACUAAAAUGAGAUUGAUUAACCAGAAAGAAUUCAGUUCAGGUAUAGAAAACCUAUCCAAAAGUUUUCACAACUAAAUCAUAGAUGACGGAAUCAUCAAAUAUUUGACCUUUAAGCUACUGCUAAUCAUGUUUAAGAAUCACUAAACCCCACUUCAGUUUUUCUUCUAGAAAAUCUUCUAAUUGUUCCAAAGCAACUAAAAGGAUUUUCUUUAACCAGAAAUAAUAAAACCCAAUCAUAGAUGACGGAAUCAUCAAAGAUUUGACCUUUAAGCUACUGCUAAUCAUUUUUAAGAAUCACUAAACCCCACUUCAGUUUUUCUUCUAGAAAAUCUUCUAAUUGUUCCAAAGCAACUAAAAAGACAUUGUUUAACCAGAAAAUAAUAAAACUAAUCAUAGAUGAGGGAAUCAUCAAAGAUUUGACCUUUUUGAACUCUUGUAACUAACUCACUAGAUUUAUAAAAAAGAGAUGAUAAAUAUACCUGCAUAUUAACUUUGAGUACAUCAAGAGGGGUAAUAACAACAUGAGUAGUUCCAGCACUAAGCAUCCCUCCAAUGGCACAAACACCAUAAUAACCAGGUGUAAAUUCUUCACAAACUUUUCCUCCAAUUAAUUGACUCAUAUUUAAAGAAGCAAUCUUUUUGGGGUUUUCCAUGAAAACGAAGAAACCCCACUUCGUUUUUCUUCUUCUUCUUCAAUCCAUAAGUGCACCCAAAGCUUCAACUGCAAAUAUGAUGGAUCUUCCAAAGAAUUUGGAGAGGGUUUUGGACAGGGUUUUUGAAAAGGAGCUAAACGAUGUCGUAAUAUACUGUUUCCUUAUUUGUCUUGCAAUAAAAAAAAAAUCAAAAAACCUUUGAAAAUUGUGAUCUAAUAUUUUUGUGGUGAAAUUAUUUUAUUAAAGGUAAAAAAGAUUUUUAAAGCCAAUUUAUUUCUAGUUAAAAAAUUACAUUCUUUUAGAUGGAUUAAGGAAAAUGAGUUUUAGGUUUAGCAAGCAGAAAAAUUAUAUUUAUAUGUCAUAGUUGUAUAAUUGAACUUUAUGCUUGUGAUGGCUAUUAAUCUCUAUAUUUUAGUAUAUAUACAUAAAAAAUAUGUAACUCGGUGUAUUUGUAUAUUUUGUUAUACAAAUGGAUCCUGCAUUUGUAUGUUUCGAUUUAUAUGUAUAUUUUAGUAUACAAAUGACUCCUGCAUUUGUAUAUAUCGAUCUAUUUGUAUAUUUCGAUAUACAAAUGGGUCAUGCAUUUGUAUAUUUCAAUUUUUUUAUAUGGCCAUGCAUUUGUAUAUUUUGAUAUAUAAAUAAGAUGGCAAAAAAUCAUAAAAUAUUUACUACGAAGUACAAAUAAAAAGAUUAUACCUAUAGCAUCUAAUAAUUUUGUAUUUCAUACAAUUUUCUCUUUUUUAGUUUGGAUGAGACAAGUAAUUAGAUAAACAAAUAACUUACAGAAUAGCAAUGAUUAUGUGUGGCUUUCUAAAAGGACUUGAUGCAUGUAUUGCAUAUCAGAGCGGAAUAAAAAGUGAAUACUAUCCGUAUGUAUGGAGAAAUCAAUAUUAAAAUAAUGUGAUAACUGAAGCGUACAUAACAUUUAAAACGAAAUAAUUUAAUAAUUGAAGCACCUAAAAUAUCAAGCUAUAACUUACAUCAAAGAAUAACAAAAAAUUUAAUCCCACCAGUAUGCAAGAAGAAAUCAAAUCGAGCUUCAAACUAUCACCAAGCCUAUGUUUGCUUGAAAACCCCUCAAACUUCUCUAAUCUUAGCUCUACCCUAAUUCGCAACCGUACACUCCUAUCUACGUUCAUAUUCUCACUAAUUUGGAAAUGCAAUAUACAAUACUAUAAUUAUCUCUUCCCGCUACUUCUUCGUUCAUGUGUUAUUAUUUCAUUUUAAUUACACAUGCAUGUCCAUAAAUUUUAAAUGCAUAUACAUAAUUCAAAAUUUUACAAUCUAGAUUAAAUUAUAAGAAAACAAAAAUUACUUUAAUUUUCCUCAUAUUGUUUAUAAAUUCUUUGUCUUGCUCCGUAUAAAGUUCUUUAGGAAUAAGCUAUGUUUAUGUGACAUAAUUUGUGGGUUCUGAAGCUGAAUUUUUUGUCUCGCUCGAUAUAAAUUUUGUAGGCAUUAGACUAUAUAGUAUACCAUAACUUGUUAUGUCUUUUACGAAAUAACUUAGAAAUUCUUAAAAUGAAAUUUUAUUUCGCUCGAUACAAACACUAUAGCAAUAAAGUUAUGUAGUAAAGCAUAAUUUAGAGAAUUUUAUAUCACGAAAAUAUAAACUUGUAUCCCGCAAAAAAUUAUUUAUACUUCGAUGUUAGAGAUAUUCUCAACUUUUUUUUUAAUUACUUAAAUAUUAAAAGACAAAAAAGUAAAUAUCAUUUGUGAAUGACCCCAAUUAAGUCAGAUCAGUAUUGUUAUUGGACCUUUUAAACCAUGGCCUUAUUUGCAAUAUGAAAUUGGGCAACUUUCACGUACAGCAAAUAAAAAAUUUAUAUUUGUAUGUUAUAUCAAAGUUUGCAUAAUUACACUCUAUAGCAAAUAUAAAAACUGUAUAAUUCGCUAUACAUAUAUAGUUGAAGCAAAUUGUAUAAAACGAAGUGUAUAAAACAAAAAAGAGAAAGACAGUCGGGCAGAGAACCAUAUAAAAACGAAUGUAUAAAACGAAUUGUAUUAUUAUAAGUCUAUAAAGUGAUUAUAUACAAUUUGAAUUUGUAUAAAAUGAGAAAGAGAGAAAGACAAAAGAGACUUGACAAGGAAUAUACAAUUGAAUCGAAUUGUACAAAACGAGAAAGAGAGAAAUUAGAUACAGUUUGAAAAUUGUAUAAAACGAGAAAGAGAGAAAGGCAAAAGAAAUUGGGCAGGGGAGUAUUUUUAUUGUAUAAUUAUAAGUGUAUAUCACGAGAAUAUAUGUACUUGCAUGUGUAUAUACAAUUUUCUCACACUUUAUACAAACAGAAACACAAUUUAUACACUUCGCUUCUGUUUGUAUAACUGAGAAAGGCGAAGGUGGUGAGCGAGAUCUGGAAGAGGGGAGAGAGGGGAACAAAAAUAUAUGUAUUUAUAUAAUUUUCUCUGCUUUAUACAAUUAGAAACAAUUUUUAUACACUUGUGUUUGUAUAAAAAGUGAGGAAGCGAGCGAGAGAUUGGAGGAGAGUGGCGAGCGAGAUAUUUGGGAGAGAAGCGUCUGGCAAUCUUUUGCAAACGUUUGCUAUGGAGUACAAUUAAAUCGAACCCUAACUACUCCAUUUAUUUUAGGUUAUUAGUUUGCUAUUAUAUAUAAUUUUCUCUACAAAAUUUUCUAUUAUUUUGAAGAUAUAUUUAUGAAAUUUUAUUUUUUUAUUUUAUUGAUUUUCUUCAAAAUACAUAAUGCCACGGUGAGGAAGAGACACAAUGAUAUAUAUAUAUAAAAUAUAAUUUUAUCGUCGUGAAAAAAUAUUUUUAUUAUAAUAAUGGUAUUAUAUAUACUUUUUCCUCUUUGAUUUGUCAUUUUUUUUUUUGUCUUUUUUCUUCUGUUUCUUUUUCUGAUUUUUUGAUAAUUCUUUCGUUUUAAUUUUUCACAUGUUUAUGACCAUGGUCCUUGUAUUAUACAUACAUUUUUUUUAUAUAUUUUUUCAUAUCUUUAAUUUAUGAUUAUAAUUUUUAAAAUCUUAAUUCACUUUCUUAUGAAACAUAUAGCAAAUCAAAAUUACACAAAUAAAUAAAACAUAGAAAACUUCUUUCAUUAAACAGGAUGUUCCAUAUUUAAUUAAGGAUGUCUUUUCUUUAAUUACUUUUUUUUUUCUUGUCAUUAAUUAAAGAAUAUGACACAUGUUCACGUCUUUUUCAGUAGUUUGUCACGAUCUAUAUAUACAACAACUUCAUUAUUAUUAAAAAGAAGAAUCUAAUUUUACUCUUUUCGUUUACAUUUAUUUGUUAUAUUAUUUUAAGUUAGAUUAUAUAAAUUUUGAUUAAUAUGAAAAGAGAUAAUUACUAUUAAUUUUAAUAUAAUUUAUAAAUAUUUAAAUUUUAAGUAUUAUUUCUAAUUAUUGAUCGAAUUAAUUAUAAUAAAAAUAUAAUUAAAUAAAACGAAGAAAAGUAAUUAAUUAAUUUAGUUAUGUUUACAAGUCAGAGACAUAGUCAAAGAUAAUGGUCAAGAUCGAUCUGCAUCCUUUAAAUAAUAAUAGUAAUAUAAACUUUUAUAUAUUUUUACUGGUCACACAAUAAUCGUAAAAUUCAAUAAAUAAUACUAUGAUUAUAAAUUUAAGUUAAUUAUGUAUUUACGUUAAUUGAAUCAUUUUCAAGUAAUUACAGAUAAACUCAUAUAGGCGUAAAAGGUAUGUUUUAAUUUGUCUGUGCAUUUUAGUUUGAUAUAAAGUUUAAGAAAAUAAAAAAUAAAAAUUAAUUUUAUGAUCUUAAACUACUGAUAUGUACAAAUGUAAAAAAUAUUAAAAUUAAUAUUGUGAUCUUAAAAAUAUCAUGUCACAAGUUAGACUUAAAGAAUUCUUAUAACGAGAAAGACAUGCUUUUUUUAUAAAAAAAAUGACAAAAAAAAGUACGAUAAAUAAAUUAGAAUGAUAAUUUUCACCAUAUAUAUAAAAGUAAUAACUAGGCAGGAACUAGUAUUAAGAAAAAUUUAAAAUAUAAAUAAGUAAAUAUUUGAAGAAGCCUAUGAAGAUUUAAUGUAUGUACUGUGCAAUUCUCAUCAUAUAUAAAUAAUAUAAUUUUUUAUUAAAAAAUAAAUAAAUCCUUCGAUUCUAUCUAACUCGUAGCCAUUCUAACUCGUAGCCAUUACUUCAGGUUAAUACUAUACCUGUUAUAACUUAAAUAAAUUCAUAUAUAGUUAGUAUAUAGCAACAAAGGUGAUGAAUGUUGAACACAACACUUUUGUUUUUACUGAAUAUUAAUUAGUUAGUCAUUUUGUUGUAUGUUAAGAUUUUGUAUUUUCUAAUCUGUCUUUAAGUAUUUGGACAUUAUAUACACAUAUUCUCUAGAAAAAGUGAUAGAUAUAGACAUCUUUGAAUGUUUAUAUUAAAGUUUGGCUCUACGUUAUGUUGUUCGUAUUUUUUUAAAAAUGUUAGUAAUAAAUAAAGAAAAAGUUUAAAAAAUAUUUCGAUGAAAUAAUUGCUAUGAUAUUAAAUUUUAUAAGACUUUUUAUUUUUUGCACUAUUUAAUAGUGUAUUUUAAAGGUAUAUAUGUACUUACAUGGAUAUACUAUUAUUUAUAAUUAUGAAUAUUUAUGAUGUUCAUGUAGGCUAAUAUAUACCAUUAGAAUACAAUAAAUAGUGCAAUGAGUAAAAAAUUCUUUUCAAAAUUUGAUAUUAUUACAAUAAUUUUUUAUCAAAAUUUGAAUAUAUUUCAGACACUGUUUUUAAUAAAUAUGAAUUAAAUACUUUAAAAAAUAAUACAUCUUAGAAAAUUUAAUGUGAAUACGAUAAUAAUUCUGAAGGGGGCAGAACAAUGUAGAUAGAUAAGAACAAAGUUAACUUCAUAUUAUAUUUUUUUUUAAAAUAUGUAGCAACAUUUUUUGUUUCAAUUAAUAAUAGAUUUUGAUUAAAUUUUAUGAUUAUCUGACUAAGCAUAUCUCGCACAAGAUCACCUUUUUUUGUUGUCACGGAGUUGAUCUGUGAACAAGAUAAAUUUAAUGAAAAUAAAAAAACGAGAAGUAUCGCUUUGGGCAGAAGAUGAUUCAAAAAGCGAAGACUCACCCAGCUGAAUGAGGGUGAGAUUAAGACUGGACAACAGAACGGGAUAUACUGGUAUCGGUUCGAUACCGUUCCGAUUCGUCCUGAUUCGGUUGCCUACGGGACGGCACGAACCGGUACACGAAAUGGGACGAAACUUAGGUACACCGGUAUCGGUUUAUUUUGGGUCCGAUUCGAUUCCAAUAAUUAAUAUUAAUUAAUUAAUUAAUGUUAUAUAUUUAUAAAUUAUAAUUUGUAUAAUUGUUUUAUCCUUAUUUAUUUAAUUUUUUAAAAUUACAAAUUUAAAUUAUUUAAACUACAAGUUAUAAAUAUAACUUAUUCAUUAUAACAUAUUAAUAGUUAAUAACUCAUAAACUCAAAAGAUUUAAGUCUUGAAAACUUAAUUAGACUUAACUUGCAAGCUUAUUAUUAUUAUUAUUAUUAUUAUUAUGUCAUCAAUUUCAAAUCUAAUUAUUUGGUACUAGCUUGAUUGUGACGUUGAUUCUAUCAUUCCAUGUGUGCUUGACAUAAGUAUGAGGGGGACAAUAUAUAAGAUACGUUGAAUAUAAGUUUCUUUUUAUUUUAUUAAUUAGUUUUUUUUCGUAAAUAUUUAUUAAAAAAAUAAAAAUCUUAAAAGAUGAUUAGUACUACUAUUGUGCACGAUGGUAUGAAAUCUAAGACAUGCAGGCCAGCCUCUAUUUAGAAAUGAUAUCUAAUAUUAAUUAAAUCUAUAAAAAAAGUUUCAUAUAUUUAUAUAUAUAAAUUAGUGUUAUAUAUAAUGGUAAAAGAAAAUGAUAAUUGUAACUCACGCUUAAUAAUACUGAUGAUUGAUUGUGGUGAUUUGUAAUAUAUAUAUAGUUAUAAACUUAUCAAUAUAAGUCAUAUACGAUAAAACUUAACAAUGGUCAAUAGCUAUAUUAACGAUCGAUAAUGAUAUUAUAAAUAAUAUUUAAUUGUUAAAUUCUAAGCUAAUAAAGAGAAAAAUCUUUUUAAUGAUGGAAAUAUUUUUUUAUUAAUUAUCAUAAAUAAUUUAAUAUAUCAAAAUAUUUGAUCUCUAGAACUAUUUUUGUGAUAAAGAUUCGGUAAAGUAUACUUGAGUCAAGUAAUGUUCAAUAAUCUUAAAGAUUCACGCCAUGUGUACUGUAUAAUAAUUUAUGGUUGAGAACCAUCUAAAUUAUACACUCAUUAAUUAAUAAUAAAAACAAAAAAGUUGUUAACUUUUUUAUUUUUUAAAACUAUCAAAUAAAAUAAACAUGUGUACCCAAGAUAAUAUUUUUAAGAAAAAAAAUUAAAAUUGACGGAAAUAUGCAAAUUUUCUAACUUUUUACACGACAAACUUGUUCAUGAGUAAUUUUUAUACAUGUUUUCUCCAAAUUCUGAAGUAAUCUCCAAGAACAAAUCAAAUUUAAAAAAUAUAAUUGAGUUUAAAAUAAUAAUUUAACUAAGGAACGUGAUAAUAUAUUUUUUUUAAAAAUAAACUUAAUGGGAGGUUUUCAAAUAAUUAUUUAUUCAGAUUUUAAAAAAUAUCAAAUUCUUUAAAAUCAGUAUAAUAAAAAAACUUCAAUACAAGUACGAGGUUUGACAUGUAAAAAAGUCGGGAAGUCCACAUAAUUUCGUCAAUCUUAUUUUUUUCUUGAAAAUAUUAAUUAGGGUACACCUAGUUGUUUUAUUUGAUAGUAUUAAAAAAUAAAAAUAAUUGCCAUUUUUGUUGUUUUUAUUAUUUAAAUGAAUAUAUAAUUUAAAUAAAUCUCAACCAUAAAUUGUUAUACAAUACACAUGGCAUGAAUCUAUAAUACCAUUGAACAUUACUUGACCUAAUUAUACUUAACCUGAUCUUUGUCCCUAUUUUUGAAUCAAAGAUAUUCUAUUUCUGAAAAGAUAGUUAAUUAUUACCGUUAUAUUAUCAAUUUUUUUCUAAAAAUAAAAUAGAUACUCUAAAAAAGGUAAUUUUAUAAAGAAGAAACAUGUUAUAAAAAUAAUUAUUGUUCUUGUAGCUAAAACUUAAUAUAAAGGUUAAAUAUAAUACAAUAAUUUUUUUAUUGUUAAUUUGUUACGGUGAAAUGAUAUUAUAUAAAUAUAUUGGUACAAAAUAUUUUUGACUGUACAAAUAAAUGACUCAAUCUAAUAUUUUAAAAUUUUAUUCAACAAAUUAAAAAAUAAAUAUUCAUUUUAUCACAAUCUAAAUUAUUUAAUUUUAAAAUUCAAAAUAAUAACAGAUCCAUUGACAUAAUAAACCAUUAUCAAAUUAGUACCCUUUUUUUUUUAAUUUUCUUGACAUGAUGUGAUGUUAAUGUAGAUUUUAUUUGUCAACAUCCUUUUAGAAGAUCUGUAAGUUUUGUUUCUUUUCGAAGACAUUUUUUUCGUUUUAAAAUACUUGUUAUAAUUUUUUAGAGUUAAAUAAUAUAAUUUUUAAUUAAAAUUUUAUUAUAUUAACAUGAGGAAUUUAUUGUAUUUUUUAUGUACUUUUUAAAUAUGAAAAUUUUUAAUUUGUAGAAUAUCAAAUUAAUUUAAUUAAGCUAUAAAAAUUAAUUAAAUUGAUUCACAAAAAGUAAUAUAUGAUAACAAUUUUAAAACGGAGAAAAUACUUAAUUUUCAUAUGAAGUUCAUAUUUCAAUUGUCUUAUGUCCAGCAAAAUCAAUUUUUUUAUGAGUUCUGAAACAUGUAAUGCUUUAUUUAUUCUUGUAUAUUAUGUUUUUCGAUAAAAAUAAAAAGCGAAACUUAUGUUACUAAAUUUUAUGGGAAAAUAUAUAAGUAUCCUCUCAAUUUAUGUCCAGAAUUUCAGAGACACACUUAUAUUAUACUAAGAUCUUAUUACCCCUGAACUUAUUUUAUAAAUAAUUUUCUACCCUUUUUCUGUCUAUAUGGCACUAACUUGAAAAAAAAUGUCAACACACGCUAGACCCACAAGAAUGUCACGUAGAUCGAAAAGAGGUAAAAGAUUAUUUAUAAAAUAAAUUCAAGAAAGUAAUAAAACUUUAAUAUAAUACAAAUAUAUCUUUGAUAUUUCAUACAUAAAUUAAGAAAAUACUCAUAUAUUUUUCUAAAUUUUAUCAAAUUUAUAAUACAAUAAUACCCUACCUCCACCCCCCACUCACCCUACUAAAGACUUCAUAUGAUUCUUGAGAGGGGCAAAAAGGUUAAUGGGACAACAAGGGGAGCAUUGAUUUCAUCAAUUAAUAGGGAACUUUUUUGGUCAUAAUUCAACAAACAAUUCCCAACAAACAAAAAUAUUUUCCAAAAAUACUUUAUGAUUAAAAGAAAUGAUUUGAGGUGAUUUUCAGGAAAAAAAAAUAAUUGUUUAAUAUAAAGCGCUAAAAAAUAACUCUAUGUGUUGAAAUUAAUUUAUAGAUAAAUGUUUGUAAUUAGAUAAGUAAAAAGAUUUGAUUAUUAUUCCCUCAAUUUCAAAUUAAUUAAAUUAUUGAGGUAUUUCAUAUUUUUUAAGAAAAAAAGAUUAAGAUAUAAAUUCAACAUAACUUUUCAUUUUUAUCCUUAUUAAUCAUUGUCAAACUUAUGAUAAAAAAUAGUUUUAACACUAACUAAUGAGGAUGAAAUUGAUAAUAUAUUUUUAAAAUAAUGCUGAAAAUUAUACAAUUAAGUUAAUUUGAAAACUGAAAUAUGUCUCGAACAAUUCAAUUUAUAUGAAAUGGAAGGAGUACAAAAUUUGGAUUCAAAUUUCAAUACCAUUAAUUAAGUUUAAGUCUCAAUUUAGUUAAGUUAGAAACUUAUUGGGUAAUGUUAUAUUUAAUAAAGGGAAAAUAAACAAGUACCCCCCAGCCUAUGUUCGAAAUCCGAGAGACACACUUAUAUUAUACUAAAGUCCUAUUACUCCCCUGAACUUAUGUUAUAACUAAUUUUCUACCUACGUGACACUAACUUGAAAAAAAAAGUUAACCAGCGUUGGACCCACAAGAUAGUGUCACGUAGACCGAAAAAGGUAGAAAAUUAUUAAUAAAAUAAGUUCAGGAGAGUAAUAGUACCUUAAUAUAGUAUAAGUGUGUCUCUGAGAUUUUAGACAUAGGUUGAGGGUUACUUGUGCAUUAUCUCUUUAAUCAAUAUAAAGUAACUUAUGAUAAGCUAGUAACAUAUACUCCUUUAUCCAACAAUACUUGUAUAAUGUUCACUUUUUACAGUUUUUUAAGAUAUUUACAAAUAGAAAUAUAAUUAUGGGAAGUGGCCAGAAAAUUUAGUCAUAAAAUUUUUAAAAUUAUAAUAUUUUUUUAAUUUAAAAAUAAACUUUUUUUGAGUCAAAAGGCAUUAAAGUUAAAAUGGUAAACAUGUUUAAAAAGGUAAAAUAACAUAAAUAAAAUAUCAUUCUGGCCAAAUUCGGCCAAUUUUUUUUCCUUUCACUAUAUCACCCAUGAAAUAUAAUAAAUAUAAUGUCUUGAAAAAUGUACUCUUUCUUUCAACAACAGUUAUCUACUAUUGACUUGACACAUCCCUUAAACUAUAAAUAUAAGAAUAAUUUUACUAUAUCACUCUUUCAGUAUAAUAAAUACAAUGUCUUGACAAAUGUCAUAAAAAUGGACUACAAUUAAUGAUAAGGGGAAAUUAGAAAAUAAGUGUAAAUUUAUUCAUGAAUUCAUAAAGUGGACAAGUAUUGUUGGACACUUACUUUUAGUAUAGUGGACAAGUAUGUUGGGCGGAGGAAGUAAUAAGAAAAUAACAAUAAUUAAUGAUAAGGGUAAAUUAGUAAAUAUAAAAUUAUUCAUUUUAAUUUUAUAAAGUGGACAAAUAUUGUUGAACAUUCUAAAAUAAUACAAUGAACAACUAUUUUUGGACGGAGUGAAUGUAUAUACUAGUAUUAGUAGUUAAUAAACACAUAUUUAGGAAAUGAUGAACAACCCUGAUAAAAUGGACAGGGAGUAGAGGUUUAUUUUGAAAAUAUAUAUUUCAAAAAUUAUAAGGUUGCUUCUUCGUUAAUCGGAAGUCUCGAAUUGAGGAAACAUAUGUUGCUAGUGCAUGACUUCAUUACAAUUUCGUCACAGAUAUUAUCAGGUAAAAAUUGUGAAUGACACUCUCAAACCUCCUUAAGAAAAUAUAAUAGUGAAAAAAAUUAAAUUUAUUUUUAUUCUAUUUGAAAUUGCUUCAUUUUAUCGUCUAUUAUAAUUUUGACCUAAUCUUUUUUCCGCGAAUAGAAAAAGUUUCUUUUUGUCCAUGACCCUUUGCAAAGCACCAAUUUUAGAAUAAUUUUAAAUUAUACUCAAAAUUUGAAAGAGGUAAAUUUUGAUUUUGUUCUUGAAUAAUUUGAAUAUGUGAAGGUCCUCGAAAAUCCUCUUUAAACAAAGAUAAAUAUAAAAGAAUAUGCUAAUAAUUCAAUGCACAUGAGCAAAUUUGAAUCUUUACCAUGUGACUAUUUAGUACUAAAACACAAAACCAUGAAGGUUUGUGAUUCUGCGAACGAUAUAAAUUCUAUUAUUCUCAAAUUUUUGAAAUGAAAUUAUGUUAAAUAUAUCAAUAUUUUUAUUGCUUAGUCAAAAUUUGUAAAGGUAAAUUCUAAUUUAUUUAUUUUUUCAAAAAUAAUACAUACAUAAAGUUUAACUCAUUUAUGACGAUUGAUUUUUUUAAUAUAUAACAAAGACAAAUAUGAAUAUAUAUGCUAAAAAAUCUAUGUGCAUUAGCAAAUUUUAUUUUUUUUCGCGUAAGAUUACAGUGAGUAUAUUGAUAAUAUUAUUUGUUUAAAUAAUAAUGAUAAUUUGAGAGGAUAUAUUUUAAUUUUUUCUUUGAAGAAUUUGAAUACAUGAAGUCCAGAUGUCCAACUCAUUUAAGGACUGAAGAUCCUUUUAUAACAAAGAGAAAUACAAAAUAAUAUCCUAAAAUUUUUAUGUAAAUUAGCAAAUUUAAAUUUUUUCCGUGUAAGAUUACACCGAAUAUGUUGAUAAAUUAUUGUUUAAACAGUAAUGAAAAAUUGAGAGGAUAAAUUUUUAUUUUUGCCUUGGAGAAUUUGAUACAUAAAAUUUAAAUGUCCAACCCAUUUAAGACAGAAGAUCCUUAGAUAACAAAGAACAAACACGAAAGGAUAUUCUAAGAAUUUCAUGUACAUUAGAAAAUUUAAAUCUUUUCCACGUAAAAUUACACCAAAUAUGUUGAUAAUGUUACUGUUUAAACAAUAAUGAAAAUUUAAGAGGAUAAAUUUUGAUUCUUUUUCUUGAAGAAUUUGAAUACGUGAACUCUAGAUGUCCAACUCGUCCAAAGACUAAAGAUCUUUUUAUAACAAAGAUAAAUACGAAAAGAUAUCCAAAAAAUCUCAUGUAAAUUAGCAAAUUUAUUUUUUUUUCGUGUAAGAUUACACUAAAUAUUUGAUAAUGUUAUUGUUUAAACUAUAAUGAAAUUUUGAGAGGUUAAUUUUUUUUUGUGUCUGAAAGAAUUUGAAUACAUAAAGUUCAAAUGUCCAACUCAUUUAAGACCGAAGAUCCUUAUAUAACAAAGACAAAUACGAAAGAAUAUCCUAAAAAUUCCUUGUACAUUAACGAAUUUAAAUAUUUCCACAUAAGAUUACACUAAAUAUGUUGAUUAUGUUACUGUUUUUAAACAAUAACGAAAAUUUGAGAGGAUAAAUUCUGAUUCUUUAUUCCGAAGAAUUUGAAUAGGUGAAGUCUAGAUGUCCCACUCAUUCAAGACAAAAAAUCCUUUUAUAACAAAGAAAAAUAUGAAAGUAUAUCCUUAAAGAUUCCAUGUAAAUUAGCAAAUUUAAUUUUUUUCUGUAUAAAAUUACACUGAAUAUGUUGAUAAUGUUAUUGUUUAAACAAUAACGAAAAUUUGAGAAGAUAAAUUUUAAUUCUUUUUCUCAUAGAAUUUGAAUACGUGAAGUUCAGAUGCCCAGCUCAUUUAAAAUCGAAAAUCCUUGUAUAACAAAGACAAAUAUGAAAGGAUCUCCCAAAAAAAUUUCCAUGUAAAUUAGCAAAUUUGAAUCUUUCCGUGUAAAUUAGACUAAAUAUAUUAAUAACAUUAUUGUUUAAACCAUAAUAAAAAUUAAAGAAGAUAAUUUUUUUUUCCUCGAAAAAUUUAAAUACUAAAGUCUAGAUGUCCAAACUCCUUUUAAGACGAAAGAUCCUUGUGUAACAAAGACAAAUACGAAAGGAUAUCCUAAAAAUUCAAUGUACACUAGCAAAUUUGAAUCUUUUCUUAGUGUACUUUUAAAAACAUCAAAUAGAGUAAACUUUUUUCCCCCUAAUAUUGUCUAAAUGGCUCCAAAUCAAGAUUUGAAGUAAAAUAUAGGUAAUAUGGGAAGUGAUGUGUGCUAAGAAUAGAAAAGAAAUAUUACAGAUCCUCACUGUCAUGUCUACUCACCAAAAUUCUGAAUCUUUCCAAAAGAUAGUAUGAUAUAAUAAUGAAUUAUGGCUAUGGAAACAGAUCAGCUAAGCACGUUCCUUGGUCACAUCACACAUUAUCAGCCCCUUUUGAACUGGUUUUAAGAUCCCAUCUCUUUUAUCAUAUGGUGUCUUAUUCAAAAGUCUGUCAUUUUACUCAGUUUUAAUAAAACCCCAUUUACUUGCCCUUUCAAUAGAGCAAUUGGGGUUUUCUUAAAGAUACUUUCUUUGAAUGUUUCUAUACUCAUUGUCUCUAUAUAAAGUUUCAAUCUUUCAUGUGGAUUUUGCAAGAUUGGCCAGUUCUUGUAGCCAUUAACUGAUUCUUGUUCUCUCUGUUUCUCUCAGGUAUCUUGAAUUCUGCUUUUGCCAUUCUUGUCUUUUAUGCCUGCUACAUUAAUGUUUACUCACUUUUGGGGUUUGUCAUGUGGGGUUUAUAUAUAAAGUUUGAGUCUUUCAUGUGGAAUUUAGCAAGAUUUUUCUAGUUGUGGUAGUAUUUUAACUGUUUCUCUGUUUCUCCCAGGUAUCUUGAUUCUGCUUUUGCUAUUCGUAUCUUGAAUUCUGCUUUUGCCAUUCUUCCCUUUUUGUGCUUGCUACAUUAGUAUUUGCUCAGUGUUAACAAACCCCAUUUUCUUGUCCUUUGAGAAUUGCAAUAGCAAAUGGGGUUUUCUUAAAGUUUCUUUCUUUGAAUGUUUCCAUACCCAUUGUUUCUAUAUAAAGUUGCAGUCUUUCUUGAAGUUUUAAGCUUUACAUGUGGAAUUUAGCCAGAUUUUCCAGUUCUGUUUAUUUCUGUGUUUUUGCUUGGUAUCUUGAUUCUGCUUUUGCCAUUCUUUUCUGUUUCAUCAUUUCUUAAAUCUGUUAUUGGAUUAGUUGUCUUUGUUAGUUUAAAAGUAUCAUUUUGGUAUGAGGCUGUGACGUUUCGUUCAUUCAUAUCCAGUUGAGUAAUGUAGUUUAUUGUUUGGUUUCUAAUCCGAUGUCCGGUACCUACAUUGGGGCCCUACAAAAUCCGGAUUUGCGCGGGAAGUCUCACAUUGGGAGUAAAGCCCUCCCUUAUAAAAGUAACUUUGUACCCCUCAGGGCUGGAUUUCGAGUGAUGUAAUUAGAUCUACUCUUAAGGGUUUGUUGGGUCUUUUAAAGGCAUACCUCUGUUUUCUUUACACAAUUCGGGUCCCCUUAAAAGUUCUUUUCUUUGAAUGUUCCAGACCAAUUGUCUCUUUAUAAAGUUUCUGUCUUUCAUUACAUUUUAAGCUAAUACAUGUGGAAUUAAUUAAGAAUUUCCAGUUCUGAUACCCUUUAAUUGUUUCUGUAUCUGUAUCUUGAAUUCUGCUUUUGCCAUUCUUUUUUCGAAGUUCCCUAAUCUGUUCUUGGAUUAGUUGUCUUUUGCUAAUGUAAGAGAAUCAUAUUGCAAUGAGGCUGUGACAUUUCCUUUCUUCCAUAUGCUGUUAGAGUAAUGUAGUUAGAUCUGUUAAUCUUACUCUUAAGGGUCUAUUUGCAGAUUCAUGACUACGCGCUGUACAUAUGCUUUUAGGUUUUUUCUCGAUCGAAGUAUAUAAUUUCUUGAAUCUUUAUGGAAGGGGGUUUCAAAAGUUUAUCAGUUCGGUUUUAUGGUUGCAAAUGUAGCACAGGAAACUUAUGGUAGUCUUAAGUUUGGAUCUUUCUGUUUGUUCUUGUAAGAUAUUCAGGAACAUGACCGUGUGUUUUGCAUUGACUGUUUAUAUUAAUCAUGUUGAUAUGCUGCGAUUAUGCUUCUAUAUAUACACAGGGCAUAGCGGUGUUUCUCAAGAUUCAGUCUAAUCUACUAUCAUGUCCUGAUGACAGGUGUUCCAAUUAGGAGAAGUUGAAAAUUCAACAUAAAAUCAAGAAUCUGAUUUAUUAACGAUGAGAGGAGCUGUGCUAAUUGCACUUGCUGCUGCCAUUGGCAACAUGUUGCAAGGAUGGGACAAUGCGACGAUAGCAGGUUUUACCUCAGUCCAUUCUUGUUCUUUGAUUUGCACAUACAGAACUUCAGCUCUUUUGAAAUGCUGGAAAUAUUAAAAAGCUUGGCAUAGUUUUUACUCACAAAUCUUCAACUUGUUCUUUUCAAAUGAAUUUCUUGUUGAAGCACAACUUAAACAGUAUCUUAUUGAAAGAAAAUGUAUCUAAUAUGUUUCAGGAUCUGUUCUUUACAUCAAGAAGGAAUUUAAUUUACAAACACAGCCAACCAUGGAAGGGCUAAUUGUUGCGAUGUCUCUAAUUGGAGCGACAGUGAUCACGACAUUCUCGGGACCUGUAUCGGACAUGCUUGGGAGACGUCCAAUGCUUAUAAUUUCAUCAGUACUUUAUUUCCUCAGUGGAUUAGUGAUGUUAUGGGCUCCAAAUGUUUAUGUGUUGCUUUUAGCAAGGCUCUUAGAUGGAUUUGGAAUUGGUCUUGCGGUGACACUUGUUCCUGUCUAUAUAUCCGAGACUGCCCCACCAGAAAUAAGAGGGCAAUUGAAUACAUUUCCACAGUUCACCGGUUCCCUUGGAAUGUUUUUGUCAUACUGCAUGGUUUUUGGAAUGUCACUGACACAAGCACCAAGUUGGAGGUUAAUGCUUGGGGUUCUAUCAAUUCCUUCUCUUGCUUACUUCUUUCUUGCAUUGUUUUACUUGCCUGAAUCUCCAAGGUGGCUGGUCAGUAAAGGUCGAAUGAAGGAGGCUAAACAAGUUUUACAGAGACUACGUGGCAGGGAAGAUGUCUCAGGUUUGUCUCGUGGUUCCUUUCUUUGUUCACAAUUAGCUCAUCUCUUUGUUGUAUGAGAAAAUAUAUUUGCUCCUCAGAAUAGUUUUAACAGCCAAAUGAGCUAACUCUGUGAUCACCUUGGUUUUUGUGUAAACAGCAAUGUUUCUUUGAAUGGCCUAUUUCACUAGAACCAACUAUGCAUAAGUUGUUUUGAAGCCUUACUUAUCAGAUUAUAUGUUGGUUGUCAAAUCUUUUUUUGUUCAUUAGCAUCUAUUUGUUGACAAAUAUACAUAUUUCCACUGCUCCCCGAGCUUUGGUCUAGUGGUAAGAGGCAAGUGUGAUGUAAGGGUUAGGUGGAUGUCAUGAUUUCAAACUUCACGGCAGACAAAAGACUGGUAUUUUAAGUGGAGAAGUUUAUUAUUCAUCAAGUUUCAUACACAUACACCAACAACACUCGGGAUCUCUCGGUUGUAAAAAAAAAUUGUGUACAUUAUUUCCAUUGAAUUAUUGCAACAUUUUUCUUUUAAGUUUGUUCUUAAGUUCAGGUUACACCUUUUCAUACUUGAAGUUAAUUAUCUAUCAUUUGGUAUUAACACUCUAGACCAGGAUUCUUAUGUCUAAUGGAAUUUUUUCAACCUACAGGUGAAAUGGCAUUGUUGAUGGAAGGUUUAGGUGUUGGAGGUGAAGUAUCUAUAGAAGAGUAUAUAAUUGGUCCGGACAAUGAACUUGCUGACAACCAUGAUGAGAAAGAUCAGAUCAAGUUAUAUGGAGCUGAAGAGGGUCUUUCAUGGAUAGCAAAACCUGUCACUGGACAAAGUACUCUAGGCCUGGUCUCCCGUCAUGGGAGUAUGGCAAACCAAAGCAUGCCUCUUAUGGAUCCGUUGGUUACUCUGUUUGGCAGUGUUCAUGAGAAGAUGCCGGAGAUGGGAAGCAUGCGAAGCAUGCUCUUUUCUAAUGUUGGCAGCAUGUUCAAUAUCACAGAGAAUCAAGGAAAAACUGAUAAUUGGGAUGAAGAAAGCCAAAAGGAUGAGGAAAAUCAUAUGUCUGAUGGUUCUGGGGCAGAAUCUGAUGAUAAUCUGAGAAGCCCGCUGCUCUCACGUCAAGGUACAAAUGCAGAAGGAAAUAUGGGACCUCCAACAUCGUUAAGCAUGAGGCAAGGCAGCAAUUUCAUGCAGGCAAAUGGUGUCGGUGAGCAAGCCAGCAUGGGUAUUGGUGGUGGUUGGCAGCUAGCAUACAGAAAAGAUGAGAAAAAGGAGGGAGCACUCAAAAGGAUCUAUUUACAUGAAGAAGGAGGCAGUGGAUCACGACGGGGGUCCAUUAUUUCUCUUCCAGGAGAUGCUCAUGCAGAUCAAGCUGAGUUCAUUCAUGCUGCUGCUUUAGUGAGUCAGUCUGUUCUUCGUGCUGAGAGCGUCUUGGGUCAACAGUCUAUAGAAGAAGCAAUCGAGACACAAUCUGAAACUGUUACAAAGAAGUCAGUCUGGAAAGCACUUCUUGAGCCAGGAGUCAAGCAUGCACUGAUUGUUGGAGUUGGACUCCAAAUACUUCAGCAGGUAAAAGUUGUUCUAUGAACUUGCUGUUUGGCCUUGAUAAUUUAAUGAGGUUCCGGCUUAGUGACAUCUGUUAGAUGGUGGUCUACUUAUGUGGACUUGGGCAGUCCUCCCCGAUCCAUUUCUUUACAACAUCUAAAUUGUCAUUCUUUUGAAGACUAGAAAUCUUUGAAGUUAAAGCAAUCCUACCUUACAAAUCGGAAAAGCAACUUACUUCCCAUUUGGUUAAGAUAAAUCAUCAGCCAGUUGUAAGUACAUAGAAAACUAAGAUCAUGAGCAGGUUCUCCUGCAUGACUAUGUCAAACAAAACAGUUAUAGUUCAUUAGUUAUUCUACUCGACAAAAUAACUUCAUUAGUUUUCUUACCUUCAUAUGUUGUGUUUAAUAUUAACUCCCUUUUGUCACCUUAUCUUGCAUAUGAACUAGACUAUUUACUUUCAAUCCAGCUACUGAUUUGCUUUGGUGGUCCUUGUACAGUUUUCCGGAAUCAACGGGGUUCUUUAUUACACUCCUCAAAUUCUUGAACAAGCAGGCGUUGGAGUUCUCCUAUCGAAUAUGGGCAUUGGUUCAGACUCUGCGUCUUUCCUCAUAAGUGCUGUUACAACUUUGUUAAUGCUUCCCACCAUUGGUGUUGCAAUGAGAUUAAUGGACUUGGCUGGCAGAAGGUAUUCAUGAUUCUAUUAAUUGUAUAGUUUAUGAAACUAUGAAAAUGAUAACAUAUCAACCCUUGCUCAACCGUCUACUCAUCGUACACCAUAGUUAUCUCCUGAGCAGAUCAGCUUUUGUUACUAAAUCAAUCUGGAGGAUCUAGCGUUUGAGGUUGAGUUAGGCCUAAGAUCCGUUCUUUUCAUGACUAAAUCUUUGAAUUUCAAACAAUUCUACCCUUACAAAUAGGAAAAGCAAAUUACUUCCCAUUUAGUUAAGAUAAAUCAUCAGGGGAGUAAGUUAGUUCACGAGAUCAGGAUUGUUCGGAGCUUCAUAAUGAUAAUAAUCAACUAUCAAUCCUCUCAACUACUACGGGACACUUCAUGAUAAACUUAUUGAUCACGACUUUUGUUCAAUUAAUACUUGGACUUUGACCAUGUUGAAGUUGAGUGAACUGUAUAUAUGAGAGUAUCUAAAUCUUUUAGAAGCAUGCAUUUUUAACUCUUCUGACUUUCCGUCUAAGAGAAGUUUUACUGUCUGUUUAUUCUCCAGGUGGCUUUUGCUGGCUACAUUGCCCGUCUUGUUAUCGUCACUUAUUGUACUAGUCCUUGGCAAUGUUAUUAACAUGGGUGAGGUCAUGCAUGCUGUGAUCUCCACCGCUAGUGUUGUGGUAUACUUCUGCACCUUUGUUAUGGGCUUUGGUCCAAUCCCAAAUAUCCUCUGCUCUGAGAUAUUUCCCACCAGCGUUCGUGGAAUCUGUAUUGCUAUAUGUGCUCUUACUUUUUGGAUCGGAGACAUCAUUGUCACCUACUCGCUCCCUGUCAUGCUCAACUCCAUUGGACUUGGAGGUGUCUUCGCCAUCUAUGCUGUCGUGUGUGCUGUGGCUUGGGUAUUCGUUUUCUUGAAAGUUCCUGAAACAAAGGGCAUGCCCCUUGAAGUCAUUACAGAGUUCUUCGCCGUUGGAGCUAAGAAAGCUGCCACAGAAUAAGUUACCUAAACUACAGAUUUGAUAAACUUACUGUUUUCUUUCCCUGAAUAUGAGGUCUGGUCCACACAAUGCAUCCAACUGUAUUUUUUUUCGUGACGCGAAGCAAAUCAUGUAAGACCUACAGAAAAAUGUUGGUGAUUUCCCAGAAGGAAGUAAAGUAAUCAGUUAACAAGAUUGUAGCAAUGGACUCAUCUCUUUCAUAGUUUCAAGAUUUUGAUGUCAGUUUGUAAUAGCACCAUCUAAUGUUUAAGUUUUGAACAUUUUAUUGAUAUACUUGCUUAUUCCCCGUUCUUUAUAAUCUAUGUAGGCGGUUUUUCGCAAUAUUUGAAGUUGGAAAAAGUAAUUGGAACUUAUUAGUAUAUUUUACGUAGAUACUUGAACUAUGACAUGUUUUAAUUAAGUAUGUGAACAUAUUGUUAGCUCAAAUUUUGGAGAAGUUUUUGUAGGUGUCGUUCAUUACUUCCUUUAAUCACUUAAAAUAUGUCACCUUCUUUAACUAUUUUCUCAGUCCCAAUGUCAAAAACUGCGAAAAGUACUAAAAGUUAUAAUUUUGCACAUAUCAAUAUGGUGAAAAAAAAAUAAAUACAUAAAGAUGUAAAACCACAUAUAUUAUACUAAAAAGGACAACUCGAGCGUUUUCACGGCGAACACGAUAGAGACUAACUUUACUGUUGCUCCAACACUCCCUUCUAUAUAUGUAAGUGAUUUAUUGAAAUUAUAAUUUAUAUUUUAAUUUGACCAUAAUUAACACUUUGUUUGGAUGGUUGUUACUCAUUUUGUGUUGUAUUACAUUGUUGGUUUAAAUACAAUGUUUGGUUUGAUUGUUAUUUAACUUCUGUGGUACCUUAAAUUCAUCGCUAGGUAACGAUGAACAAACCUAUUUAUAUAACGAUCAAUUUGGCGUGAUUGCAUCAUUUCCUUAAUAAUUUUUUUUUAUAUUUAUUAUUUCAUAAUCAUAUUUAUCAUUUAUCCUACUUUUUCAUUAUAUCUCUACCUCGUAUCUUUCUUUUCUAGUAAAUUUAUCAUUUUAAUUAUGAAUAUAUGACAUUUCGUAACGAUAAAAAAUAAUAUAAUAUAACAUAGAUACAUUAUAAAGUAAUAGUAGGGAAAGAAGUAUAAGUAGUUUUUCUUAUAUAUAAAUAUUGAUUUGGUAAAAUAUUUUGAGAGUAAAAAAAAAGCUCAACAGAUUCCUCUCUUCUCCAAAGCGUUGCAUUACAUCAACUGUAGUGAAGGAAGGAAGGUAAUGGAUCAUCAACAGGAGCAGGAUCCUCCAACAUUCAACAGUAAAUCACUUGAGAAGAAGCCAGGAAUUCUCUUUAUUGGAUCUCCCAAUGUCGGCAAACGCGCCCUUAUCUCUCGUAAGUUCUCGAUGCUCUAUUUAUUUGGACAGAUUAGACACAGAUGAUGAUUCAUAUACAUCUCUUUUUCUCCGGGUGUGUAUUUGUGUUUAAUUGGGGUAAUCCCAAUUUGGGUCGAGUUCAACUUUGUUUAACAGUCUAAGGAAAUGGAAAUUGGGACAGUUUUAUGUAAAACCCUGUUAUAUUUGUGUUUAAUUGGGGUAGAUCCAAUUUGGAUCGAGUUCAGAUUUGUUAAAAUUUCUUUAAGGAAAUGGAAAGUGGGACAAUUUUAUAGGAAUACUGUUGUAUUUGUGUUUAAUUGUGGUAGUUCCAAUUUGGAUCGAGUUAAACGUUCUUGUGUAACAUAAUGGAAACUCGGAAUUGCGAAUUGAGAGGAGAGAAUAACAACCCCAUGUUUCCUUUGCUGCAAUUAGUAGUUAGUUGAAUAGAAUGAAAUGCAACUCAGUAUAAGUGGAAUGUAUACUGAUGAUUCAUGUGGGUGACCUAACUAAUUUGACAUUGAGAUGUUGAUUGAUGCAUAAAUUUGUAAUCUUUUGUGUGAAUUUGUGUUUAAUUGGGGUAAUCCAAAUUUGGGUCUAGUUCGACUUUAUUUAACAGUCUAAGGAAAUGGAAAUUCUGAAUAUUUUAUAUGAGUCCUGUUGUAUAUAUGUUAAAUUGGGGUAGUUCCAACUUGGGCUGAGUUCAACUUUGUUGUAACAGUCCAAGGAUAUGGAAAACUGGGAUAAUUUUUCUGGAUUUUCUAUUAAUUUAUCAAAUCAAAAUUAAAACUGAGUGGAGAAAAUGACAAACUAAUUAACUAACUGCAGAAUAGAAAUCACCAUUGUCGUCGACCUCUUAAUCUGCAGAAAUAGAAGAAAGGAGGAUUGAUGAUUGAGAGAAUAGAAGAGAGGAGUAGAAGGAAGGAACAUAUAAAGAAGGAAAUUACCAACUUCAUUAGUCUUUUCUUAGAAUCCAUUGAUUAUAUUCUAACCAAAUUUGGAUCUUAGCCCUCAAUCAGCUCUUAAUCUGGAUCAUAUGUAUUUCUGGAAAUGUAGCUCUGGUAUAAUCAAAAUCUUACCAUGUAGCAUCCUCCGCAGGCAAGUUAGACCAUUGUACCACGAUCUUAACAGCAGCAGCAUUGCACCUCUUAGCUAGCUGCCUCCUUAAUAUAAUUAGUGGCUUAAACUAAGAACUGGCAUCUUCUCUAACUCGAUUGACAACCUUCUUCAAUAAGGAUACAUGAAAUGUUGGAUGCGUCUUGGAAUUAGCCAGUAGUUCCAGCUUGUAGGCCAUCUUCCCUAUUCUUUCCAACAUCUUGUAGGGACCACAAAAUUUGUUACUGAGUUCUGAACGCCGCUGACAUCUGUUUGUAUAGUUGUAGUUUGAUGAAAACUAGGUCUCCAACUUGGAAUUAUCUCUAAUUUGUUAUUAUCAGCAUAGGAUUUCAUUCUAUCCCGAGCCUAAGUAACUGUUGCAUCUGUUUUUUCAUCACCCAAUCUUCAGCUGGUUGGACUGUGGAAUCAAGAUCAGGAGUAACAGAUAACUGAGGAGGGGGGUAACCAGACAGAGCUUCGAAUGGAGUACUCUUGUCGUGAGGCUGCAAGGUAGUUGGUAUUGUACCACCCUUCGUCCUAAAUGAGCCUAACUGAGCUACUGUUUCCACUGAGUAGGCCUAUUAUAAGUCAUGCAUGUCAUCAAGUAAGUCUGAAUGCAUCUUUUGACCCUUUCUGUCUGUCCAUAAGGUUGGGGGGGGGGGGUAGGAAGUGCUAAAUAGGAACUGAGGACGCACCAAUUUGAAGGUAACAGAGGGAAAAUGUAAGGCGAAUCGAAUACUUCAACUGUACCCUUGGUCUUUUCCUUUUAAAUUUUAAAAGAAGCUACUAAAGGAAUGCUAGUCAAACAGAAAAUGAGAUGAUGAGCUGGACCAAGUUGUGAAAAUUCAUUGGUGGUGGGUGGUUACCGUGCUAGGUAGAGAAUGUUUGGUUAUGAAUUGAUUCAUUGAGAAUAACUCACUCCACACCCUUCUGUUGAAUUAUCUAGUAUGAAUCUUAUUUCUGAUGUAAAAUGGAACUGUCUAAAGUUAGUGAAGUAAGUCACUUAAGAUGGAGCUAAUUCUCAAUUCGUGUUCAUAAUGCCAACUAAAAGUUGCCCUGAAGAGUCAAGAGGGCCAAAUCGUAGAGCAUCCAAGGGUAUGCUCUAGUGGUAAAUGAAGUAGGAGGAAAAUAUAAGGUUUCAAGUUUUAGUUUUUUUUGAAACUGGUAAGAUUGUAUUCUUCAGCAUUAAGGGCAUGCUGGUCACCACCAAAAAUUGUAGGUACAAGCUUCCUAUCGAAUCUACAAUCUGGUCUGUGUCUACUAUACACAACUUUUUACACCAAAAAAGUAAGGAUACUAUACAAUUCCAUUUGACCUUGUGAACGGAAUUGGAUCUAUUUUCAAAACAUUUACCGUUCCUUUUCUUCCAAACUGACCACCAUAUACAUGAUGGUAUUAACCUCCACCAUCUCCUUUGGCUCUUGCUGCCUCCUCUCCUUACCCAGCUCUUUAACAACUCUGAUGUAUGUUUCAAGUCUUAGUGCACAGAGUUACCGGUACUUGGAAUAGUCGUGUUCUAUGUUAGUUGACUCAGACACUACUGUCAUAAAAAAGAAAAGAGGUCAUACUAUUAAAUUUUUCUUUGAGAUUUUAGGAUAAAAUAAGAUUCCCCUUUUGCCUUAAUAGGACUCAUACCACAUUUGCACUGCCUAAGAUUGCAUGUUGAAUUUAGGCCCUUAUUUUUGACCUGUUCAUUUCGGCAGCGUCCAUGCCAAAUGGGGUCUUUUGCUAACUUUUCUAGGAGAUUUUUGUUACAAUGUAAAGAUUCCAUACUUGCCCUCCUAAGACUCAUAACACAUUUUCCCUCACAAGUGAGUUUGUGAGCCCUUAUUUUGUAUGGGACAAAUACUGGAACUAGGAUAAUAAUAUCUCCCAACAGUUUGAACUGAAAUAUUGAAAUGGAAUUUGGGCCGAGUUGGAAAUUGGAAAUUUGGGUCGAUUUUCACCGAAACAUAGUAGUGUGCUUAGGUGUAUUUUCUACUUCAUUCAAUAAAUUACUUGGUUCAAAAUGCAUCCACUAAGUAGUUAAUGAUUUAGAAAGUCUUCAUUAAUUAAUUGUUCAAGUCCAAAAGACACCAUUAUUGAUGCAAGUUGCUAAAUUAAUGUCCAGAGAAUUUCAAAAUUUCUAGAAACAACUAGAGGAUUGUUGGAAUAAGUGUUUCAAUAAAUUCGAAACAACGUAUUUGAUAAAAGACUCUUUCUAUAUUGAAAGAAUCUGAAAAGAUCUGUAAGUUUUAUUUACUAAAUAUGUUCUUUUUUUUUUUGCAAAUACAUCUUGACAUACUAAAUUCAUGAAGUUAUUCAUUACUGAGUACUAAUUAAUUGAAGUCUUUCAAUAAUUACUUAUCUUAUGCAUAAUGCUUAUAUUUCUUUGAGACUGCAAGUACUUCUACUACUUUUCUCUUGAAAAUAUUUGAGAGACAUUAAUCAAAAGGUGAAAUCACCGAUUGCCAAGGAAGAUUUAAAGCCUGUUUGGGUUAGCUGAUGUGCAUCAAGUGCUGAAUUCAUUUUGAUUGCUGAAACUGAUGUGUUUGUAUAGAUAUGUUGAAGCUGAUCAUAAGCCGUUAGUGUGUUUUGUAAAAUAGUUGUUAAUAAGCAGUUUUGUGUACUGAGAUAUCCUUAAAGCUAUUUAAAAAAAUAGUCUAAAAUUAUCUUUACAUAACAUGGAUGAAUGAAAGAAACAAAAUAGAGCGAUAGUUGUAAGUUAUGUUUGAUAAGAGUAUGUUGAAGAUUGCAAAAAUUUUUAGGGAUAAAGUCAUAAAAGAUUUGGUCAAACCAAAAGUGCUUGUAAGCUGGAAAACCAUUGGUUAGGGUGUGACCAAUUUAUGGCUUUAGGCUUAUAAGAACUUCUGAUGUUUAUCAAACACAUAGGUAAGGUAAAAAGUGCUUAUAAGCUACUUGGACCAACUUAUAAGCUUUAGCUAAACACCCUCUUAGUUUAAAUCCUUAAAAAUACUAAGUCCUGCCAAUAAUUUAUAAUACUAGUGUCAGAUAUAUACUAUAUAUAAAACGCAAACUGGAGUUCAUGUAAUAUAUAUAUAUAUAUAUAUAUAUAUAUAUAUAUAUAUAUAUAUGAAUUAAGAGGAUGAAAUAAAACAUUUUAAAGUUAGCAGCUGCAGUAGAACAGACCUGUUUUACAAGAAUAUUUUAAGAUAUUUAGAUAAUAAUUUCAUUAGAUGUCAUGAUUUUUUCAUUUUUUUAUCAUUCUCAAAAAAAUCCUGACAUCUAAUGAAAAAAUUAUCACAAUCAAUUGUAAGUUUCCAACCACCUUGGCCUGAGUCAACCAACAGAAAGGAAAAAAGAAAUGAAACAUUUCCGACUUUGCAAGUUUUUAUCAUACAAGACAAGUUUGAUGUGCGUCCAAAUUUGUUCCUUGUAAAGCUUCUUCCCAAGUUCUCAUUUUGAUUGAUGCAUAUGUGGAACUUACCUUUAGAUCUAGUAGUGUGCUUCUCUAAUAAGUUAUCCAUGUUCUACUUGAAAUGUAUUCGUGAUCUGUAACAGAUACCAGGCGCCUCUAACUUCAUCAGAGAAACAUGUUACAUUUGUUUUUAUAAUUUGUCCUGUAAGUAUAGUAUACUUUAUUUUGUUUUGGUCAAGUCCCUUUGGGUUUUCCUGGAAUUAUCUUGCUUUAGUUCUUUUGAUUUAUCUCAACACCAGGAGAAUUAAAAAGGAUCACGUGUAAAUCCUCUUUUAAUGUCCCAUUCCUUUCUUGGUUGUGAGUCAGGAAGAAUUUCGGCGUUCAUUUUUUAAUGUGUUAACAAUGCUGUUAUUUGGCUCGGGUACUCUGACCAAGUCUGCUGUAUCUGUGCCAUAUUUAGAAUAAAAAUAAUGGGUUGAAAGUUAAGAUACUGCAAAAGUAUAUUUUAUUCAUAGUACUUGUACAAUAUUUAUAGGAGAACAAGUAAAGACCAAUUAAACUAAUCAAUCCCUAAUUCUUGGGAAAUCCUUGAAUCAAGGGUUUUCCUUUAAACUAUUUUCCUAGAAUAAUAUAUUCUAAUCCUAUAUUUACACAAAUCUGCCAGCUUUAUUUGUGGAUCAGAUUAUAAUCAAAUCUGCCAACUCAACGGUGGAGCAGAUUUUGACUAGAAUGACAAAAAGUCCCACAUCGGUGGUUAAUGAGAUGGGUGGACUCCUUAUAAGGCUUGGGCAAUCUCCUCCCUUUCGAGCUAGCUUUUGGGGUGUGAGUUAGGCCUAAAACCUAAUUUCACAUGGUAUCAGAGCAGGGCCUGUCUCACCCGAUGUUGGGUCCCCCAAAAAUCAGGGUCCCAUAUCGGUGGUUAAUGAGAUGGGUGAACUCCUUAUAAGGCUUGGACAAUUCUCCUCCCUUUGAGCUAGCUUUUGGGGUGUGAGUUAAACCUAAAACCUAAUUUAACAUGGGUUAAUGACCUUAUUUGUGGAUGUGAAUUUAAUCUAUUUUACAUAGCCUGAUAAACUUCAACUUUUUGGCGUGCAGGACUACUUUCAGUAGAUUCUGAAGAUGCAUUUGAAUCAUCUUCUAACAUCCUAUCAUAUCCGUAAGUUGACAAAGUAUAUCCCCUCCCCUUUAAUUAGUUAUAUUGUUGCAAAAAAUUCUCUUAUAUCUAGAACUUCCUUUCUAUGUUAUCAUUAUGCAUCAUCGUUGUUGAUCAGGUGGGCAAUCAACACCAAGUAUUAUAAUGCUGAUGUUUCUGUUUGGAUGGCCCAUCUUCAUGAGGACUUCUCCAUUGGAGCCCUGCCAGCAUAUGAUCAGCUUGUUGCAUUGGUGAUGGUCUUUGACGUUACUGAUGUAAGCCAGACCCUUUUUCCCUAUUUGUUUCAUUUCCUACUCUACAAAAGCUUCUGUUAUCUACGAGACUAUAGACUGUACUUCAGAAAUCUGAUGACUUCUCUUCUGCUACCAUCUGCAGCUCUCAUCUUUUGUUGCGCUUAAAGAUUUUGUCUCCCGCACUGACAUCCUCAAGUUUGAGAUUUUGUUAUGCAUUGGCAACAAAGUGGACCUUCUUCCUGGUCAUUCGGCUCAUGUUGAAUACAGGCAGCUCCUGUUGAAAAGUGCAGACUCCUCUGGUAGCCCUUAUUCAGAAAUGGAUUCUGGAAUUUCUGAAACAGAAGGAAGCAGUCUACUAGGAGAUGAUGACUCAUCAUUUGAUGCUAAAAGGUCCUACUUGGAAUGGUGCCUCGAACACAGCAUAGAAUAUGUAGAAGCCUGUGCAUCAAAUGCUGAAUUUGACAAAUGUAUGUCUUAGUUUUUGUUAUGAUAUUUCUGUCCUUCUUUGUCACAACUUUCCUUAUUCCCGGUUUUUCAAUAUCCUCUUUUUUUUAAUUAGAAGAUAAAAUUCUUUUGCUGCAUCACUUAUAUACAGAAGCAAAAGAGUGAAAGGAAGAGAACUGAGAUGGUUAAGGUUAUCUAUUUCGCUUCUUGAUUCAUAUAAGUCUAAGGGGAGUGUCUGAAGGUUCCCAGUAGAGAAUUUUAUUUCUUUUAGUCCCAGUUAUUUUACUGUGCCACCAUUGAUGAGAUUUGUGGCAGCUCUAAUCAUUGUCUAUACACUGUAGGUUGUCAUAGUGUAGUUCCCAAUGGAGUCUUUUGUCACUCCAAGGUUGUCGGUUGGUAUUAUCUAUAUGCAGAAAGAUACUUACUCACAUGUCCCUGGAUAUGCCUUUGUAAUAAUCUGUAUAUUGGCAAUCUAUGGUAAUUGCAAAUGGGAGUAAAUCUGAAAUGUAGCUGAAUUAUGCCCAAUAGUUCACUCACUGACCCUAAAUGCCGACAUUAGUAUGAUUCAUGAUACACCACAUGUUGUGAUAUCAGUUACUGCAGAGCUUUGGGACCUGAUGCCCCAUUAUGGCAUGCCUGCUCCAUUUUGCAGCCAAUUAUGGUUCAUAACUUUUGUGUCUGCUUUUUAUUGUAUGCAUGAGCUGGUUCUAGUUUGUCUUUUCAAUGAUGCUUAAGCCGAAAUGGGAGAGUUCUUACCCCUUUUUUAACUUUUACCUUUUGGAUUACAGUAAUGAAAUUAAGAAUCUUUUUAUGGCAGGUCUUUCUAUGGAUGGUGAUUCUCAGGGCGCUGAACGGCUCUUUGGGGCACUUUCAGCUUAUAUGUGGCCUGGAAUGAUCUUGAAGUCUGGUGAUAAGAUUACUGAACCUUCAUUACCUGAACAUCAAGGUUUUACAAUAUCUGGUCAAUGAUGAAAUAUAUCUUUUUCUUUUUUGAGGGUCUAUUCAGUUGACAUAACGUUUUUAUUUCCACUUUUCAGAGUUGUCAGAUGAAGAAUCUGAUUAUGAACUUGAAUAUGAAAUCUUAUCUGCUGGCUCGGCUGAUCCCUGGGAUGACACAGAUGUAGGAUGGGUAUCUGCAGAUGCUACUGUUGUAACCACUGGAACCGAGGGAUCAGUUCCUAAUGGAAAAACCGAAAUCAGGUUAAUUAGAGGAGAAAUGCAACCCUCAUCUUCUACAUCUCAAUUGGAAGGAGAAAGUGACAGAAAAGAACUGCCCAGAGCGGAUGCAGAUGAUGGUGAUUCAGAGGAUGAUAAAGGAACAACAUAUGAUUUUGAGAAUUUGGAACAGUUAAUGUCCGAGAUUGGGAAUGUCCGAGACAGCUUAAGGUUAAUGCCAGACUUCCAAAGGAGGGAAAUGGCUGCAAAUUUGGCAAUGAAAAUGGCUGCCAUGUUUGGUGAUAGCAGUGGAGAUGAAGGAGGAUUGGAAUGAUAGGAGAAGCCCUUUAAAGUCGAUGAUCACGAAUGCCUCAGUUUCACUUCUUGUAGAGCUGAUCAUAGACUAAAGGAAUCUCAUAAGCACAUUGUGCAUUCAUGUCAAGUGAUAUCGACAAGAUAUUUUAUCAAAGAUAUCUGCUUUAAAAUUUACGGAUCUAAUUGUGUUUAUGAUGCAAACGCAGCAGUAUUUACAAGUCCUAACAGGUGAUUGGUGAUGAUAUAAAUGAUUUUAGCUUGUUCAGGCUUCUACAGAAGUUCUUUAGAUUUCCCUGGCAGUAGCAGUUUUGUGUAAUGCUAGCUAGAGUAAUAUAUAAUGUUAUGAGAAUCAGUUAUCGUUAUAUUUUGAACUUCUGAUUAUGUUAGGAGAAUCAGGUGUCUUCUCUUGUUGACACACCCAAGAACAAACACAGCGGUUCUGACUUCUGAGGCUGGUGGUACUUUCAAGUCCACUAUUGCUUUCACAUCAUGUAGAUGGCUUGGACAUUUCAAGAAUGGUCCUCGCAGAGAGGUUUGGCCUUGAGGGACACGAUAUUCUGAUGCAAGAAACAGGUACUACGCUGCUUCUUGCCUCAACUUAAGUUUUCCAUGCCUGCUUUUAUACAAACUCAUGAGUACUUUACAUGCAUUGUUAUCACUUAACAAUUGUUAGAUAGAACACAUUCGAAUUAUCAGACUAGUCAGGUAAACUAGUGUAGUUUUGUGUUAAACAUCGAGUGUAGGUAAGUUUUUCCAAUGGUCUCUGGUGUUGUGUGGAGUUCAAAACAAGAACCAUGAUUAUGAAUAGGGUAUGCGUCACUCAUUUCUAUCUUGCACGUUGCUAUAGAUACGUACUUUCUGCAACAGUUUUCUGUUUUGGAAGCUGUGAAACUGCCAUUAGUUGAUGAAGGUUUAAAAGUGAUGAGGAAGCCAUGAAAAGAAGCUUUAGUGCAGGUCUUAUUCACCCUGAUAAUAGGGUGGAACUGAUAUAUCUUCUUCACUUUUUCCAUCUUAUCUCCUAUCCCUUUUUACACAUGGAAUGUCUUCUACUUGUUCUAGUGAUUACUUUGCAAUAUUAGGAUUGUCAAACUACCCGGUAGAGCCGAAUUUGGGCGGGUCAAAAUAGAUCGAGUUAAUGACCUACCCAAAAGUUACUUCGACUGAAAUGAGCUAAACAAUGGAUUAUAACUCAAUGGCUCAACCCCAUUCAACUCUUACUGAAUUUUAAUUAAUUUGUUCAAGUAAAAUGGCCACUUUGUGCACCUCGACUUAGUGCCUGUUUGGUUUGACUUAUUUUAGGUGCUUUUAAGCUUAAAUAGUUUUUAAGCAGUUAUGAAGUUUUUGGGUAAAGUUAAAAAGUACUCAUAAGCACUUAUGUUAAAGCCAAAAUAAUAAAAAUAAUCUAAACAGUAAUAAGUUAGAAAUUCUAACUUAACGCUUCAUAAGCCAAAAGCCAAUCCAAACAGGCCCUAAUUCCACUGGGUAUUUGCCACCUCCAACGCAACAAAUAUGAACUUGAGAUUUAAUGAUUUUCAACUUACUUCAUUGAGCAUUAGGUCAUAUCUUUGGAUAAAACUAUCUCGUCUUUGUUACGACCAUAUAUAACAUAUUAUAUCAAAUAAAAAAAAAUGUUACAUUUUUUUAAUAAGAUUUUUAUGAGUCUAUUUGAGCUAGAUAUAAAUCAUAUGUUUAGAUUGGACCAGUUAAAAUGAACUGAAUUAAUUCUGUAUUUGAUUAAUAACGGAAAUUAUGUUUUCAAGGACUAAUUUUGUUAUUGAGAACUAUGCUUGUUGAUUUCUUACAACUCACCUAACCCAAGUUUAAUAAAGAAUUAACUAUUGACAUUAACAAAUAUAGAGUAUCCAUAUUUAGUUGCCUUUUACCCAAUUUGUGAUUUUUUAUAACAUAAAUGAUAGUAUUUGUGUUAAAUGGGUUUCUUCUCUAUCUAUACAUAUCCCUUUCAAAAUCGUAAAUUUUAAUUUUUGACACUCUAAAAGCGAGAGCAAACUACCUAUAUUUAAGCGAAGAAGAUAAAGGAAUAAUAAGCUUAUUAUUUAGUAAAUUUUAUAUCGCGUAUUAUAAGUCAUUCCACUAGAAUAGAAAUAAACUACCUAUAUACAACAUCAUCCUCUAAUAACUAUUAUUGCAGAUCGCAAAUAUUUAUCGAAUCAAUAUUCGCAACAUUAGACUAAAAAAUAUUUCUUUUAGUCAUUUUCAUUUAUGCUAGAAUGAAAAUAAAAUAAAAAUAGAUACAUAAAACAAAAAUGAAAAUGAUUUUUUUUUUAGAAAAAAAAAAAAAACUCAAUAUUCUUCGUUCCCCUCCAACAGCCAUAAUUUCAUUUUUGUCACUUUCUAACACUCCCAUCAUAAUCACAAGGAAAGUAUGCCUUAUCCCUCGACCUCAUGCGGGGCCCAUUUCCAUCACCGGAAAAUAACAACACCGUUACCAAUUUACACUUACCACGAUGCUCCGGCCGGCCACUUUUUCAUAUUAACCUCGUUUACCGUAAGUUGUAGACUAAACCGCCGUUAAAAUUUGACCUCCGUCGGAGGCUUCGCCGGAAAUUGCAGGAACUUCCCCGCACUUCCGGCACCGAGCACGAGCAACUACGAGAAUCUGCCGGCAGGAAGGGCACGACGAGUUCGUCAAAAGCCACGUGUCCACACACUGGAGGUGAAACCGAUGGCCACAAUUCGGCAACACUCGAAUUUCAUCUCCCUCUACAUACUCCACCAGACAAAUCGCGCACUCCGCCGCAAACGGCAGCUCACCGCUCGACGGAUCAUACUUGAAUUUCGGCAAAUACUUGAGAACUUUCUUCUUCAAUCCUUUAUUCUUCACCGGCGGUGGAUUUUCCGGCGGGUCCCUCCGGAGCCAAGUACAACGAGCUACUACGAUGAGUCCAGAAACACAGAUUACUGCACAGAGUAAAGCAGCAAGUAUAACAAUGAAGUCGGACUCCGCUGCCGUGGCUGACGGUGGCUCCGCUUCUUCCGCCGCCGGCGAAGUGGAGGAGGCGUUCGAAGUUAGCAGAAAUCUAAACCGGCGAGUCAUAGUUUAGAAAGAGAUAGUAAUAAUUGAGGUGUUAGGGUUUUCAAUUUCAUAAAAAAGGUUGAAAUGUCUGUAUAUAUAUGUUGAGUAUUUGGACUGUUUUGAAACUAAAAGUUAGUUAGAUAGGGUGAAUAUUGUCCAAAAUCAUAUAAGAAUUAAAUAGUUAAAUGAUAGUUUGUUACGAAUUUCGUUAAAAGCAUUUAAAAUGCUACUAUCUUCGUUUAAAAAAGAAUAUUUCUAAUUUUUUUUAGCCUGUUUAAAAAAGAACGAAUCUUUUUCUUUUUUGGUAACACUUUAAUUUUAAUUUUUUACGUGACAUAUUUAAGGCCACAAAAUUAAAGGGCAUUUUGAUACGUUUAACAUAAUUUUAAUUUAGAACUACAAGAUUAAAAAAUCUUCUUUCUUUUCUUAAAUUCCGUUUUAAGUUAAACUAGGUCAUUAUUUUUUAAAUGAAGGGACUAAUAUAAGUAGGGUGCUCGAGUGGAUGCACGUUUAAAGCUGAAUAUCAUAUAAGCAUAUUUUAUUUUUCUUUCUUCGUGAGACGAUGUUGAGCGUCUUAUUGUUAUGAGUAAGGUAAGGUAUAUUUUUUUCCUUUCAUAAAGAAUGUUUAAUUUGAUUAGAUAUGAAGUUUAAGAAAAUAAAAAAAAAAUUUGAUCAUGUGAUUUUAAAUUAAAGUUAUAUCAAACAUACAAAAUUAUCUUUUAAUUUUGUGGUUUUAAACAUGUCAUAAGAACAGUUGUUACAAAAAAAUGAAAGAAGUUAUUUUUUUAAAAUAGAUUAAAGAGGAAAAAGUGUUAUUCUUUUUUUAAUGGAGAAAAUAAGUUAAAGUUGAAGUUAAUAAAAAAAAAUGAAUGAGUCUGAUUUUGUUAUCAUAUAAAGAAAGUGAAUAUUAUGCCAGAUUUAAGAAUGUCUAAUUUGAUUAGAUAUGAAAUUUAAAAAAAUAAAGAAGACUUUUGAUAAAGAAUGUCUAAUUUGAUAAGAUAUGAAGUUUAAGAAAAUAAAGAAGAUUUUUGAUCAUUUGAUCCUAAAUUAAAGUUAUAUCAGUUUGUAGUCUUAAACAUGUCAUAUGAACAGUUAUUACAAAAAAAAAAUAUUUUUUUAAAACAGAUUAAGAAAAAAAAAUGUUAUUUCUUUUUAAACAGAGAAAAUAAAUUAAAGUUGAAGUUAAUAAAAAAAUAUGAAUUGAGUCUGAUUUUGUUAUCAUACAAAGAAAGUGAAUAAUUAAUGUCAAAUUUAAUGCUAAAAAUUAGUUCAUGGUUGAGUAUUGUUCAAUGUAAUGGUAGGAGGCAAAAUAAUAUUUUAAAAUAUGAGACAUUCUAACACUUCGAAGUUUUAUUAUUACCGUAAAAUUUUGUUGUAUACCAAAAGUUUUAAUUUGAUAAAAACAAAAUAAUCUUGUGCCAACAUUUAUAAUCUGAAAUAAUUUAAAUUUGAAGUCUUUUUCUGUUUAAAUAUUCUGCAUUUGGAAAUAUCAGUCUGGUUAAUUCAUAUAAAAUGUUUUCGUCAAUCAAGUUUGUUCAGUAAUUAAAAGCUUUUAGUUUGAUUCAUUUUUUUUUGUUUUAAUACAUAUUAAAACCUUUUAUUUUAUAGUAAAGAGCAAUUAAUCAUUAUGAUCUUAGAAAAAACUGUAAAAAGAAUUUCGUUCAAUGUUUUCGUUAAUCUAUUCGUGUCGUAAAAAGUUAAUUUAAAAAAUUUGCACUUGCUAUUAAUAAUAAGCUCAUUUUUAAGACUUGAACUCGACGUAAUUAAAAAUAAUGAAUUUCCAUUGUUUCCCACUACCUUUUGGUAGUAUAAAGUUUGAAAUAAUUUAUUUCAUAAUUUUAUUCAAAUCAAUUAUGAGAUAAAUUCAUUUUAAAAUUAAUUUUUAAAUUAGUUAUUUUUUAUAUUUCAUACCAAACGAGCCUAUCAAAUUGAUUCUUACAUCUAUUGUCCAAUAUGGAGGCAGGUGCUUAUCACCAACAAAACCAUUCUAAUAUUUUGUGGGAUUAGUUAUCCUACUAUUUUAUUCCAUCAUUUAUAUGAAAUAAUUAAUUUAUUAUUUAUACGAAAGAACCUCUUGAGUUAGAUAAAAUAAGAGAUAUUGAAGUUGUCUAUGUUAGAUAAUAUUUUAUUUUUAUUGUGAUAACUUUUUAUAUAAAUUUAAAUUUAGUUAGAUCUAAAUAUUGAUUGGAAAAACAAUAGGAGUUUGUAUUUUUGACUUUGUAUCAAUUCAAUUGUAUAUAUUUUUUGUUUUGCAUUCAGUAUUUGGUAUCCCUUUUGAAAUUUAAUUUCAUUUAAAUUUGUGGUGAAAUAUUUAUCAUAGAGCGUAGAUCAUUAACUAACAUAAAAAGAUAAAAUUAUAUUCAAAGUCCGAACUCAAAACCUCCAAUAUGAAACAAUUCAAUAUUAUGUUCCACCUCAAAGUAACAACAAUAACAACAUAUAUAGUGUAAUAUCGUAGUUACAUAGAUCAUUCAGCGAAAAAAAAAAACUUAUCAAAGUAGGUAAGAAAAAAAAUAAUGAAAGUAAAGAUAUCAUAAUAAGAUAUUAUAGAAAGCAAAACGAUAAAACAUUCCAUAAAAAGAACAAAAAACAACAGAUUUCACAAAAAUCGAAGGAUAUAAAUUACAAAAAGAAAUACUAUAACUACGAAUGUGAAAGGACAAACCAGGUAGCAUGAUAUUAUCUACUAAGCUUCUAUUCUAAAUUCUCCAUGACCUUUUAUCUGAAUAAAUAUAUAUAUAUAUAUGAAUUUUUGUUUUUUUAAAGAAUGAUGAAUUGAUUUCAAUUAAAUAAUUUUUAAUAUUUUAUCUAAAAUUAUUAAAUUCAAUCGAAAUAAAUAACGAACUCCCUACCAAAAAUAACCAACACAACUCAGUGGGGUUCACUUGUUACUUAACAAGUAGAUUUAUGGGUCCUCCUUGCUUGCUUCAAAACAUUAGAUUAAAAUAUAUAUAUAUAUAUCUUUCAAGUUUAUUUGUUUCCUAAUUAGGAUAAUUAAAAAAAUAAAUAGAAAAAGAACAUGUGAAAAAUCUACUAAGAGAGAAGUUAGAAUUUGCUCAUAUAUAUUAUUAAAUUAUACCAUCUUUUCACUCUCUUUUUUUCUUUAGCUUUUAAAAAAGGAAAAUCUUUUAUUAAAUAUCUUAAAUCAAGAGUCAGGACUUGAGACUUGCAAUUUUUGAUUUUGUAUUAAAGUAAGCAAGUAGGACCAAAUGGAUCCACUAGUCUAUCAAAUAGUAACAAAGAGUUAUUCACCAAAUAACUCUUUAAUAUGAUUGGGAUAUUGAGUUAAGGUCAUAAUUCAUUUCUUUAUGGUAUUGAAGGAAAAUGCGUGCCUCUCGAUUCUUGUUAUUCGAUGCUGGACCUUCAACCUAGCAUGACAUGAGGUGAGGUAUGAAAGAUGUUUCACAUCGAUGGUUUAUGAAAAGAGUUUUUUUAUAUAUAUAUAUAUAUAUGAGGGUCGACUCAAACUCGUUGAUAGUCUAAGGUCAAAAUCAAACUAGAGAUCUUAAAAAAUAUUUAAAAAUUAUAUAUGUUUUUAUUUUAUAUCUAUGUUUCUAAUUUUUGAGAUGUAAAAUUGUUAAUAAUUUGUGUAGCCAAUCUCUUUUAAUAAUUUUUUUCAAUUGAUAAUUUAGUCAAACCACUAAUCGUUCUUGAUUUUCUUGAAAAUCUACACCCGAUUGUUCACUAAUUUCCUCUACUUUUUCUUUUUGGUUUAUAUCAUUAUCUAACUCAACUUCAAUUAAGUUAGUGACUUAUUCUUCGAAAGAGCAUUCCGCUACCUUUUUUAUUUAAUUUUAACAUUGUUUUUCAAAAAAUUAUCACGAGCAUCUUUUUGUGAUUUCAUCAAGUUAUCAACUUUUCUUCUUUAUUAAAGUUUUGAAUGACCGGAUUCAUAUUUUUCAGUUAACAUACUAAAAUCCAACAAAUAUUUUAAACAUUAUUUACAAUAUCAAAUAAAAUAUUAUAAGCAUAAGACACAAAUAAAAAUUAAUAUUAAAAAUUAGAAUGAUAUUACCGAAUUCAAGAACUAUGAAGACUUGACUUUUGAAAAUGAAUUGAGCUACUGCGAUAUUUUUUUUCCAUAUUUAAGAUAUAAAAUAUAUUUUAAAAAAUAAAAAUUAUUAAGAGAAUAAGUUAUUCUUAAACUGUAAAUAAGAGAAAGAUGUAAGAUUAGAAAAGAGAAAGUGAAAAGAAAUUGAAGAGAGGAGGAUAUAAUAUAUAAAAAUAAAAUUAGAAAAAGAAUAAAAAUACACAUAAUUUUGAUGGGAAAGAUAACAAGUAAUAAUCAUAUUUAAAAAAGUUUAAUCUUAUCUAAUUAACUUAAAAAUUCAAAAAAAAAUGGGCCUAAGACCAAGGACUUUUUUUCAACUAUAUCGCGCCGCUUCUGUGUAUAGGCUUAUCUCUAAUCUCUAUGAUACCUUUUUUAUGAACACACCUUACAAAAGAAGAUGACAUUUAAGCUAGCAGUAACAACAUCAAAUGAAUAAAUUGAUCUAGAUUUUUCAACUAGUUUUUCCAUUUUCAUCGCCCAAUGAAAGCAUCUUUGUCAAUGACUCGAUAAAUAGAUGCAGACUUUGCAUGUACAUAUCUUAAGUCCUUUUCUAAGUUUGUUGACUUGUUCUCUAUUUUUUAUAGCAGAAUUGAUAAAUAUAAAAAAGUAAAUAGAUUUUCAUGACUUUACGUCUUUAGUCUUUAAGAAUUAGUACUUACAAAAGAAAAAUAUAUAAUUACUAUUACCAUGGUAAAAUAUUGAAUAAGGCUAAGAUGACUAGAAUAGAAAUUGAAGUAUGGUAACUCUUAACGAGUUAAUGAUAUACCCAAUAAGGAAAAUGAAUAGUCAAUUAUAAAAUUUUAAUCCAUUUCCAAUCAUUUAUUCGAUAAUUCAAUACUAAUAAGUCAAGUUUGCGAUUGAUUUAUUGGUUAUAGUUCAAUUUUGAACAUCCCUACGCAAACCCGCAUAGAAUCUCUUUCAGAAAAUCAACCCGCCCCGCAAGCCGCACAAGCCAAAACCUGCCCACCCCAUAGUCAUCCCUAUACGAAAUGUCAAAAUCUAACAUAAAAACCCUAUUUCUUAUCAUUUCUCUAUGAUAAACUAGUAAACUUAUAUAAGUGGGAUGACGACCACGGAGACAGCGGCAGUGUCAGUGACGAAAGUCGUGAAUUGUGAGUAUUUCAUAUCCUUUUAUUGCAAUAAAUAGAAAUCUUGCACAAAUUGAGCAAUUUGUUACCUCUUUUGUUAAAAAAAAUUCUCUUCUUCUAUGAUCUAUACCCUUUUCUUAUUUCUCCUUUUCUCCGUACUCAAUUUCUUAUAAAAUCUGAAUUCGUCGAUAAAUAGUAUAAUCGACCUGAAUCAAACACCUCGAAUAGGGUUAAGUUUUACGAACAUUUUUACUGAUUAAAUUGAAAAUCAAAUUGUUAAGGAACGAAAAUCAUAAAUCAACCAAUAAUACAUGAAAGGAACCAGUCAUAUUCACCCCUUUCUCUACUUACAAAUAUAUGCAUAAGAUUGAUCCAACUUUUACUAGUAGAAUGAUACGUUUUGAAGUAUAAUAAGUCCAUAAAAGAAGUGAAAAGGUCAUGACAUAAACUUAUUGUUUGAGUUCAUUUUGAAAUUUUCUGAUUGGUGAUAGUUUGAAACUUUUGCUUUGUGGGCAUAAUAAUAUCUUGACCUUUUUGCAUUUGAUGAAAGUUUCCUUCUUUGCUAAUAUAAUGCUUCAAAGAUAAAAUAGUUAAUAAUUUUCAUGAAAUUUUUUAGUAUUAGGGUUUCUUUGAACUCAGUUUGAAAAUUUCUGAUUCUUAAUUAAACUUCUCAACUUUUUUAGAUUUGUUAGCAAUAUCUGAUAUUUUCAUAAUUAAGAUGUUUGGUUAAUCCUCAUUCUUCUGAGUCCUUUUGUAUGGAUUGUAUUUUAGUACAUUCAUCUUUGAUAAGUGAUUCUAUUUUAUUUUAUUUUAUUUGUUGAUCAGGUUUUUAGUUUUCAAGAUUGUUACCUUUCUUUGUGGUCAUAUACACUAGUUUAUGAUGGGAAUUGAAGAUAAAACACUGCUUUAUUUCUGUCACUGGGGCGAAAGGAGUAAGGUUCUACCGAUGAAUCCAUUUUGUAUGGGGGAGGUAUUACUGAUCAGGUUAUUGUGAAGACAGGUGUAAAGUGUAAUGAUUUUGUGACUGCGAUUUUUUACCGUUUAGGUAUUGAUGCUUCAGAUAAGAUAUUGCUUUUUAUGGUGAAGUUUGAUAGGUCAGAAUUGAUACGACUGAGGGACCAAGAAGGUAUUGAUACUAUGCUGCAGUUUAAUGAUAGUUAUGCUCACAUUUAUGCAUCAAGUGUGGAGAAGGAGCCUGAUUCUAGGCCUCUAUCAGGUGGCACAAAAAAACAUUGAACAUACUAUUGCUUUUGAUAAACAACCAGAUACUACUCCGGUAGGUGCUGAUAUGAAUAGUAAUAACUGUAGAGUUCUAUCUGAAACUGUUGUAGGAAAGCUAUCACAUCAUUAGGGUAAUCAAGAACCAUUUUUCGAGCAAAAAAAAUUCAAAAUGAUCUCAAUGCUCUAUUUCUCUAUCGGAAUUACCAUCCACAUAAACAACUAACUUUAUUUGGAAGCCAGGAAACGUUUUGGAAAAAGUGUGACACUUGCGACACUAGGUACUUAUGUUACAGGAAAUUUACUACCUUUGAUUUAGAUACUCGGGGUGCUAAUUGUAUUCCGAAACAAAGUCAGCCUGGAAGCCAGGAUAAGCCCUUUGAAUCUAAGCUCAACGAGCCUUUAGAGCAGACAGAGCUUCCUAAGCAAGGAACCUCGAGAUUACUGGGGCCAGCGCUGGGUUUCACCCUACCCAAACAAGAUCUCAACAGGUUGCUGCAACGACAAAUAUGGGUCGCAAAAGCAGAAAAAGUUAUCGAAAGCAGACAGCUGAAUCGAGUGAAAAUGAUGAUACUUCAAUCAAUGUGGUUAUAGAAGAUGCAGAAAGUGAAAUGGAAAGACUUCUCCAGUUGGACAAAAUAGUUAGAGAUAGUAUACUUGAAAACGCAAGGUAGGGGUGAAUUGAUUCAUUUUUCUUUUCUUUAGUGGACUAGCUAUGCAAGUGCAUAGAAUGAAAGAAACACCAAAUGUUUUUAUAUUGGUUGAGAUUCGAAAUGGAUCUUAAUCCAGACCCUUUGGGUUGCAAGGUUGUUCUCUUCUAGACUUGAGUAUCUUGAUUUGUAGACAGAUGAUGAGUAUAGCUCCUAUGUCUGCACUCUAUUUUUCUCUCUUCUUUCUCUUUUGAUACAAUGUCUUAUCAGCUAUAUUUUGUUUUUCUCUUCUCGCUUCUUUGAGUACAUGAUAAAACUGCUAAGUAAUAUAAUGCUUAAUAAAAGUAGAGAAGAAAAGGUGAGAUGAUUCAGAUGAUUUGUAUAUGUUUUUCUUCCUUCAAUGGCCUUAGUAUACAUGUGCGGUUCAAACCUGUUGGUGACCAAAGGCCAAAAUCACACCAAAGGCCUUAAAAAAACAAAAAAUUAUAUAUGUUUUUUUAUUUCAAAUCUAUUUUUUCUAACUUUUUGAGAUGCAAAGUUGUUAAUAAUUUUUGUGUAGUCAAUCUCUUCUAAUAAUUCUUUUUCAAUCGAUAAUAAAGUCAGACCACUUAAUCUUUCUUGAGACAUUGUUGAUCUUAAAUAAAAUUUUAUUAUUUUAAUUUUGAAUAAUUUAUUUCUGCAAAGGCGACUAUUACAACAAUUGUUAACAUUAUUCUAUAAGUAAUGUAAGCAUUUAAAAAAUAGUCAAGUCUUUUUAUUUGAUUGAGUAUCUCAAUUAGGCUGUUGUCUUCUACUUAUAUGAUUUUAUAAAGUUAUCGACUUUUUCUUUCUCUUAAGUUUUAAAUGUUUGAAUUCAUAUUUCCUACUUGACAUAUUAAAAUCUAAAAAAUAUUUUAAACACUAUUUACUAUAUCAAAUAAAAAAUAUAAUAAACAUAAGACACAAAAAAAAAGUAAUAUUAGAAAUUAGAAUGAUAUUAUCAAAUUUAAAACUAUGAAGACUUGAUUUGCGAAAAUGAAUUGGACUGUUGUGAUAUAUUUUUCUUUAAAUUUUUAAAAAAAGUAUAUUUUUUUUUAAAAAUUGAAAUUAUUAAUAAAACAAGUAAUUUAUUAAGCUUUGAAUAAGAGAGAUGUAAGAUUAGAAAAGUGAAAGAGAGAAGAAAUAGACGAGAGGAAGAGAGAAUGAUAGAAUACAUAAAAAUAAAAUUAGAAAAAGAAUAAAGUUUUGUAUUAUUCUUUGGUAAUUUGUUCUCACUUAGUUCAUCCUUUGAUAACGUCAUAUUGAGUCUUUUUAUAGAGAAGAUAAAGGGGAUUACUUUGGUACCAAGAAUACUUGGUCACCAAGUAAAUCAAUACUUUGGCACCAAGUAAGUGAUUACUUUUGGCACCAAAGUAGAGCAAUACUUGGUCACCAAAUUGGAUGUCAAAGUAGUAAAAAGAUCACAUUUUAAAUGUUUUAUUUUGGCUCAAAGUAACUAAAUCUUUUGAAAUGAUUAUAAUAUUUCUAAAACUAUAUGGUCUUCAAUAAUCCUCCUUCCAAGAUGCAUUUGACGUUGAGUUAAGCUAACUUUUGAGGUUGAAUUAAGCCCAAGAUUCAUUUCUUUACACGGUAUCAGAGCAUGAUUAACUCAAUUCUUAUUUUCGAUAUUGAAUCCUCAUAUUAAACUUCUACCUUCGUUGUCGAGGGCGCAUCAAUAAAAUCUCUCAUAAUUUAAUAGUUAGAUUAGACCAUAAAAAAAGAUUAUAUAGUGAUACUAUAUGUGCGUGUAUAUAUGAGUGGUGACAUUAGGCUGAGCCUAUUUUGGAACCACAAUCUUUAGCAUUUUCCUUUUAUCUUUGCCUAAAUAAAAAUUAAAAUAAAAAAAUUGAUAUAUCAUGAUAUCAGAUGAUAUAGAUAAUUCAGUGAUUAAAAUUAAAAUGAAAAUACAUGUUGCAUAAAAACUUUCAUAGAUUAUUUUAUUUUCAUAUAAUUUAAUUCUCAAAAAUCAAAACGUGAUAUAACAGAAAAGCAUGUGCGUCUCAAAUGCAUAUAAGUAGAUAAUCCUUACCCUCUACCUCUUGAAUAGGUUAUAUGGAAAUAUAAUCAUUAUAUUUUAUCUUUUACCUCUUAUCAUUAUAUCAUAUCUUUGCCUAUAUUUUAAAAAGUUGAUAUAUCAUAUAUCAUAUGAUAGAGCAAAAUAAAGCUAAGAUUUUUCUUUUUUCUAAAGCAUGGGAAAUGACACAUCCAAUUGUUUUCAUUGCUUUUAAUUGGACUACUAAAACCAUACAUUCAGCAUGUGACAAUAUCUUUAGAGAUUUUAGCAGCCUAUACGUCAUCGUUCAUAUGUCAUAGUAUAUGCAUAUUCACUAUAUAAUAAGUGUAUUACUAAUAUAUACACAAAAUAUACACUAAUUAUAUAGUGAUUAUAUUUGCUCAAAUUUACAAACCCUCCCCCCCCCCUCUCCCCCACCCCACCCCCAAAUUUGCCUUUUGCAAGAAUGCAAUUAUUUUUGAGAUAUUUGUCCACCAGGAUUUUGAAAUACUAAAAAUAAACGCGGACAUAAGUUCAAUUUCAGAACAUUGUACCAUAAAAAAUUCAUACACUAAACUUGAUGCUUUAUAACACAUAAUUUGUGCCUUGAGAAUUUUUAUAAACGAUGUCACCUUUAAAAUUGGACUAUAUAUGUCCUAAAUCAUUCAGAUUUUUCCCAAUCUGAUACAAGUAGGACAACAUUUUUAGAGAGUCCAAGCAACAAAAUCAGCAAACUCAAUUAACAAACAAAAGGGAAAAGAGAACAUUCACCAAGAUUAAGAUGACAAAAAUGCACUGCAAUUAACCAGAUGCCACAAAUGGAUGGAGAAGAUAUUGUUCUAAAAGGAAAUGUUUACAGCAUAGUUCUACAUGAUGUACAAAGAUCCAGUUCUUUAGUAUAAUAGCUAAUUGAAAAGAAUAAUCCAGACAAAAAUCUGGCACAACAGAGCCAAAACAAGACAAGUACUCUUUUUCUUUUUUUUUUGAUAAUCGUGGUGUCUGAGCCAGCUUGCACACAACUCGACUAACUCCAGAGGAUACCUGCUACCUCCCAUCAACAAUAGCAAUAGACACAAGCUAACUCUAUGGGAAAGAAAUAACAUAGUGUUUUGUCUCUGCUAGGAUUUUAACCUGAAACCCCAUGGUUCUCAACCCACUUUGUUGACCACUACGCCACACCCUUGGGUGUGCGGUAUCCAUUUUCUUUUGAACUAUAUGCAUUAUUUGACAACAUUUCCAUUUAUUACUUCCAAAAAGCUCUAUAAAAAGGAAAGAAGUGUUUCGAUGGAUUUUAGAGUUUAGACAUAAAGACAUGCCUCAUGUUGUCAAGUAACUUUUCAGCAUAAAAGUAUGAAGGAUUUGACACAACAAUCAGUUUGAAAUUAGAUAUAGUCUCACACUUGUGUUCGUUUUCUUUCAUCAAGUCACCAAUGAAAAGCUACACUUAUACAACAGAUAUCAUGUAAGUGUUCAUAAGAUGAAACAACAAAUACUAUCACAAAUUCAGCAGCUAGUAGUAUAACAUCAUCAAUGGAGAUAAAGGACGAAAAGUGUAACCCGUGGGUAUGCAAGAUUCACUGCUCAGCAAUAGAGCUUCAAGUUGAAUAACAAGAUGGUAUACAAUUUUCUCCCUAACGUAUAGUUCAGAUCAUGAGCCAAUGUUAAUUGUAGGAACUAAUGUCAGAAUUAUGAACCCAUGUACAAGAUGCUAAGCCAAAUUGAAUCCAACACACAUUAUAACUCUGUUCCACAAGAACCUCAUGGACCAUGUUUCAUCACGAAAUAGCAAACGUGUGUCUGGUACACAAGUUUUAGGAUGUCCUUUGAAAACAAAACAGAAUAACAUCUUUUAAUUCUUCUUUCAUGACUGAAAUCUAGUCUUCCCAAUAUCUAGAUAGUAAGAAGCAUUCAACCUUUCAGAAGGUUAAGUGGAAACGAGAUGAAUACACAAAGCUUAAAGAAGGGAAAAGUAUUUCUCUUUAUAACUUUAUUCACCCCACUCUACAGUCUCCGGAUCUGAACCUCUUCUCUCUUGCUCUCUCUCCGUCGCCACUUUACUAUCACCAAACCAUCCCCACGAGGAUUGAUGAUAAGCAUACACUUCUGUGUCUCUUGUUUGUCAAUAUAAAGACAAAACCCAGUCCCUCUUGACUUGCAUUUGAAAUGCACUCACUUCUCAUCCAUUCCCCAAGAAUACCUCACCCACACCUGGACUUACUGAGUACUUGAAAAAUUAUUCUAUCUUGUUUGCCUUUCUCCCUCCAACCCUUUCCCAUCUGAAAACAUUAGGAGACCCAGGUGAACAAAUAAAUUCUUUUGAUAAGCUACCUCAUUAUCCCAUAUCCUUCCCCUUCAUCAGGACUCUUUCUCUGCAUCCUAAUCCUCUCACUCUCUCUCUCUCUCUCUUGCAUACCUCAUCUCGUAUUCAAAUAGAAAAUCAAUCUCCAAAUUUCUCCACAAAUCCAAAGCUCGCCUAAUUGUGUAUCAUCUAUGUGUCUAAUGUUCUAGCACACAUAAUUAGCAUAUGCCUUCAGGUAAAGAUAUACAGAAAAAUAGAAGCUGAUGCACUUCCUUUUUUUACUGAUAAGUAAACGAGAAAAAAGAAACCGGGGGAGGGAACUAUAUUCAAGUAACACAAAGGUCAGAAAACAUAAAUGAAAGAGAAGAAAUCAUCAAACAAGAACCAGGUAACUAAAUACUUGGCCAAAGCUAAGUUGCAAUCUCCUGAAUCCCAUGUCGAGAAGGUUUUAGGACACCAUUGCAGCAGUUUCAUCUUCUUCGGCCUCUCCGGCUGGCACUUCGUUAAACAUAUACUGGCUCUGAUACUCCAUCAAGUACUGUGUGGAUCUCUUCACAUCAUAAAACAGAUUAUAGACUCGAGUAAUAUCUUCCACUUCAACAGCCUUCCCUUUGCGCUUUUGGCAGGCCAAUGCUGCAGAAGUGAUAAGAUGGAUGGCGUAUCUCAAAGAAGUAUUAACCCCGAUCUUGGUCAAUAAAACUUUUGCAUCCUCAGACAUUUCUACAUCCUCCUCUUGGCAUCUGAUGUCCAGGAUUUUGCGAAUUUCUUCCUCUUUGUAAGGUUGUGUAGAGAUGAUGAGCAGGCGAUCAAGAAAGUCAAUUGGAAUCCCGUGUGGGGAUCUGUAGUUUGUUCCCCGGAUUGUAGUAAUGCCUCUAUUUGUAGCAACAACCAAUAUAGGUGCCAUGUCAUUCUCCAGAGCUCGGUUUAGGAAAGAGAAACACUCAAUGUCAAGCAUAUGUACUUCGUCAAUGAAGAGGACACCGGGCACAAUCUCUGCCUUCCCUUCCUCCCUCCACUCAGCAACCUUGGUAUCUAUUUGUUCUCUCACUUCAGCACGAAUCUCACCAGUAUCACCCGUAAAUAGUGCUAAAAAUCCCUGUGUUCUGAAAUUGAGAUGAGCUGAUUAACAUAUUUAAUCUAGUGAAGUAGGAAACAAGGAGAUACUUUUAAGAUGUCAGAUGUUUUCAGAGGCAACUCCAAAACUCAAAGCAUGAAACUUAAAAGUUCUGCAAAUACACUAAAUAGGAAAGACAUGAAACUGCGGAUGGCAAGUAGCAUCACUAAUUAGUAAUCUGAAUUGAAGCGGAGAAAAGGCCAAGGAAAGAGGAAGAUACAAAAUCUAAGACUAGUAACAAACAUAAAUAUUUGUUAAAAGUAGUCUAUCAAUCUCAGCACUUAGGAAGAUCAGUCUCCCAUUCAAAUGUUAUAGUCCAUCCCCCCUAUGAGGCCAAAAAAAAACUACCAUAAAAUGCAAAAACCAACCAAACAUAAUGCAGAAAAGAGAGGUUAAAAUACAGUUCACCAAGAGUGAAGGGAUUAGCAAGAAAGAAGUUGUCAUGUCAGUUCCUAGUCAAAACACACCUCAUUCAUUCUUUUGGCAACAUUUUACUACAUACAUGAAUGCUGUUUUUGAAGCCAAACCUGUCAAAUGAUCACCAAGAAAAGCUACUAAAUGAAUAUUCAUUGUAUCCCCGUGCAUUACUAGCAAAAUAUUUAUGAUAAUAUAAAAGCUAACUUAGCAAAAGUAUCUUAUAGGAGAUGAAUGAAGUAAGACUAUAUGGGAUAUAGUACUGCGCUUGACUUCUAAAACCUUUUGACAGAACACUUACUAUUCCAACGACAACAUACCUAGUGUACUCCCACAAUGUGGGGUUUGGGGAGGUAAAGUGUACAUAGACCUCACACCUACCUCAAAGGUAAGGAGGUUGUUUCCAUAGACAAUCGCCUCAAGGAAAAGCACUCCAAAGCAGUUCAGAAAUAAAAGCAACAGAAUUACAAGAAUCAACCGAUAAUAACAAAACAGCACAGAGUAGCCGUUGACACUUACUCUUAUUCCUAUUAAAGAACAAUUACCUAGGGUAAUGCAGAAAGGAACAAUUAAGUAAGCAAUCAUAGAUAAAUCAAAAUCAUUCCUUUCCAACAACACAACAAGUGUAGUCCUGUCAGCUCAAGGAAAAACAGUCCAAAGCAGUCCAGAAAAAGAAGUAAGGGGAGAACAAGUAUCAACAGAUAAUAACAAAACAACAAACAGAAGCUGCAACAAAACAAUAUGAUAAUCGAGCUACAAGGAAUCAAAAAAAUCAUUUCUUUCCAUAAACACAUAACAUUAGCAGCAAAUUAAUACCUGCUAUUUAUGACAUCGAUUUCGUGAAGGGUAACGCAAUGAACAAUCUCCUUGCGCUUCUGCAGCUCCCCUUCAGGACAUUGUACAAACUUAGUCUGAGGUCCCAUAGCAUCAUAAUCCCUCGACCUUGAAAACGACCUCCCCAACUUCGUAAUCUUCCCAGAAGCCUUGUCAAUAGCAAUAACAUCCCCACUCUGUACUUUCUCCUUCCCCAAAGCCUCAAUCAUCUUCGCCCCCAAAUCAUAAACCGUCUCCAUAUCAGUAGUCUUCAACGUCAGUUUUCCUGUUUUUGACGCAGCUCCAGCUACCGCCGGCCUAUCAAUAUGUACUUCCACAACUUCACCUUCAAUAACUUCAGCUUCUUCUUUAAUUCUCACACCAAUUGCUUUACGAAAAGCCUGCAUUAACGCUUCAGUUUUCGACAUAUCAAGUGAAUAAAGUUCGCUACCAGCAAGCAUAGCAAAAGGGGUUUCUUGCCCUAACGAUUUAGCCAUACCCAUAGCUAUAGCUGUCUUCCCAGUUCCGGGUUGACCCGCAAGGAGCAGUGCACGACCCGCAAUUUUACCUUGUUGAACCAUUUUAACAAUGAUUCCGGCAGCUUUUCGAGCUGGAAUUUGACCUACCAUACCUUCAGAGCUUAAUCGAGGUUCGAGUGAAGAAUCAAGGCCAAGACCUCUGAUAUGAGAGUGUGCCCCUAUGCGUUCUAUACGGGUUAGGUCACGCAUCUCUGAGAUUUUCAACUCCCCCAUUGCCAUUGAUGAAGCAGAGGAGAAAGAGAGACAGAGAAGGUAGCAAAAGAAAUUAGGGUUUAGGGUUUACGGAGGAUCGAUCCUAUAACAAUAAUGUGAGUAACAUGAAAAUCAUGCGAGUAGGGUAUUCAGGUCGGGUCGGUUAUCCAUCAAAAUUCAAACAAACCAAAUGAAAUAGGAAAAAUUGUAUAUAAUAGCAAACUAAUAACCUAAAAUAAAUGGACUAGCUAGGGUUUGAUUUAAUUGUGCUCCAUAGCAAACGUUUGCAAAAAAUUGUCAGGUGCCUCUCUUCCAAAUAUCUCGUUCGUCACUCUCUUCCAAUCUCUCGCUCGCUUCCUCACUUUUGAUACAAACACAAGUGUAUAAAAAUUGUUUCUAAUUGUAUAAAGCAAAGAAAAUUGUAUAAAUACAUAUAUUUUUGUUCCGCUCUUCCAGAUCUCGCUCGCCACUCUCCCAAAUCUCGCUCGCCACCCUCGCCUUUCUCGCUUAUACAAAUAGAAGCGUAAUGUAUAAAUUGUGUUUCUGUUUGUGUAAAGCGUGAGAAAAUUGUAUAUACACAUGCAAGUACAUAUAUUUUCGUCCUAUACACUUAUAAUUAUACAAUAAAAAUACUCCCCUGCCCAGUUUCUUUUGUCUUUCUCUCUUUCUCGUUUUAUACAAUUUUCAAAUUCUAUCUAAUUUCUCUCUUUCUCGUUUUAUACAAUUCGAUUCAAUUAUAUAUUCCUUGUCAAGUCUCUUUGUCUUUCUCUCUUUCUCAUUUUAUACAAAUUAAAAUUGUAUAUAAUCAUUCUAUACACGUAAAAUAAUAUAAUUUGUUUUAUACACUUCAUUUUUAUACAGUUCUCUGCCCAAGUGUCUUUUUCUUUCUUGUUUUAUACACUUCGUUUUAUACAAUUUGCUUCAACUUUAUAUUGUAUAGCGAAUUAUACAGUUUCUAUGUUUGCUAUAGAGCGCAAUUAUGCAAACUUUGUUAUAGCAUACAAAUAUAAAUUUUUUAUUUGCUAUAUGUAAAAGUUGCCCAUCUUUUAUUGUUUUUCUUCAUUUUCCAACUAAUCAUUUUCUUUAGUUGAAUUUUAAUAUUCAUUAGAAUUUGAAUAUUAAAUAUCCUUUUUGUCGAGUUUUCUCUGUUAAAUAGUUUAUCAUAUUUAUCAAUGUUUUUGUUAUUGAUUUUGAUUUGUUUCAUUCAGUUAUUAGUGAUACAUAAAAAUUUAAAAAAAUAAUUCAUUCAAAAAGAAAGAAAAAAGACGAAAAUUAAUUCAAAAGGAUAUGUAUUAUCCUCGUACUAUUUUGGAUUUUAUAAUUUCUUUUUAUAUAUGUACUGUAAAUUAUAUUUUAACUUUCUAAUUAUAUUGUUAGGCAAUUCAAUGUACCGAAUAAUAUAAACUUACCGAAUAAUGCAUAAGCUAUCGAUUUUGCGCCACAAAUAAAAAAGAAUGCAUCAUAUCAAACAAAAUCAAAAUCAAAAUAAAAAUUGUCUAAUUCUAAAAAUGUAAAAAAUUCAACCCAAAUAAAAACCAAAGUAUUUAGUUUUUAUGGUUUGAAUUAGUUUUUACCUAAAUUAUGAACGUUCCUAACAAUCAUUUUUACUGUCAUUAACAAUGUCCAUUAUCACUAUCAAUCUCUAUAGUUAGUCAUUAUCACACGUAUCACUUCUAUCAUUAUAAUUAUAUCUAAUAAUAAUAACUGAAUUUAAAGGAUGAGAAACUACAAGAAUAAAUAGUUUGACUAAUGAUACAAAAUAAUGAUCGCGAGAAUACACUUAAAUAUCUAGCUAACAUUCUCCCUAUUUCGUGUCUUUCAAAACCUCCUAUCUAAGGUUUAGAAUAAACUGAAUUUUUAUCAUGUUCUGUCUAAUCAUUUGCUCUAAUAUUUUUUUAUUUUAUUUCUAUCUCUCUUAAAAUCAUGCAUAGUAAACCUUUUAAAAUUUUGUAUGGGGACGAUGCAAGUAAAAUAAAUUUGUUAAUAUAACAAUAAAACAUAUGAUUUUAUGAUCUGCUACUAUAUUUAAUAUUUUUAAAUGCAUAUUAAAUAUCAUUAAUAGUGAAAUUGUGUUAUACGAAAAAUUGAUUUCGAUAUUAAUUAAAAUUAUUGAAUUAUCAAUAUAUUUUAAAAUACAUAACAAAUACUAAUAUGUUGAAACCACAAUAUCAAAAAAAAUUGAUUUCAUUUUUGAUAUCAAAUUCAAAAUCUAUGAGCUGGGCUUCAAAAGAUAAGGCCCAAUAUCCAGCUCCAUCUCUAAGCCCAAGCUCAUGUGGCCCAAUAUCCUCCUUCAUCUUAAUUUUUGUUUUACUCUUUUGUUUGUGGCAAAGCUUCUAGCUCUAAAUAAUAUGAAUUUUGAUAUGAACUAUUGAUAAGUUCAUUAUUAUAAAUUUUAAAGGUUGCAUUCGUCAAAUUUAAAAUUUAAAAUUUAAAUUUGCCUCUAUCGAAAUAUCAUGAGAUUACACAACGUUUUUUUAAUUUUCUAUCAAUUUUUUGCAUUAGGGUAACCAUAUAUAGGAUCAAUUUAAGGGGAAAUUGCUUCACAAAUAAUCCUGAAUUGUGUCAUGUAAGUUCAAUUUAAGGGAGAAAUGCUCCUGUCUAACAAUAUUGUUUUUUAUAUUAAAAUCUCGAAUCAGAGAAAUUCGAUUAAAGAAAGAAGAACAAUAGUAGAGGAGUUCCCUCUAAUGGAUAUUGUACUUGACUUUAACAUCAAUUUGUGGAGACAAUAAUGAAGUUAUAUAUCAAGGCGAGUAGUAUAUAUUUGUAAAGUGUGGAUUAAUGAUAAAAUUCAUAACUAAUUAACUUUUUAUAGUGAUUUAAAAUAUUAUAUUUGAUUGUGAUAUCACAUGAAAGAGUUUGAGUAUACAACUCAAAUUUUUAAUGUAAUAGCUACCUAGGGGUUCAUAUAUAUAUAUAUAUAUAUAUAUAUAUAUAUAUAUAUUACAAUUAUUUUUUUUAGAAAAGAGCAGCUAUGUGGAGUUACAGGGUGUGCGUGCCAUAUAAGUUAAAAUGUGUAUAAAAUUUUAAAAAAUAAAUAAUUAUACUGAGCGUUCACACGAGCAGAAUAAUUAUGUAUUUAUUUAUUUUAAUUGAUUGUUCUAUAUAUAAAGGAAUCAAAGAAUGUUCGAACAUAAGACAAAUGAAGUAGAUAAAAUUAUUAGAACUAUUACUUUUAUUUGUAAUGUUAGAGCUUCUUCCAUGACUAGGCCUUUAGUCCAGUCUUGAUUGGUAUAAGAGUGAAGGCGAGGUUUUAUAUGUAUAGCGUGUAGAGGAGAGUGAGAGUAGUGUCUAUUCAGGAUCUAGCUAACUAUCACGAUCCAAAUCGAGUCGUGAGUGGCACCCACAUUUAUCCUCCUAUGUGAGCGAACCAACCAAUCUAAACCCCAACAUUUUCAAACAUAGUAAACAGAAUAAACAAUGCGGAAGACUUAAAACUCAAUAAUAACUUCUAAAACUCAAAACUCAUCAUUAUCCCCAAAAUCUGGAAGUCAUCAUCACAAGAACAUCUGUCCUCAAAUUACUAAAGCUAAGAGUAUCUAAGAAACUAAACAUAAAUAAUAACUAGUCUAUGCCAGAACUUCAAGGCAUCAAGACAUGAAGAAGAAGAUCCAGUCCAAGCUAGAAGCUUUAGCUCACCCUGAAAUCUGGUGUGAUGAAGAUUGGCUAGAGUUGCGGUUGGGUUGAGACGACGGUACGUUUGCUGUACUCCACAAUGAACAAAAAGAAAACAUACAAGUAGGGGUCAGUACAAAACACGAGUACUGAGUAGAUAUCAUCGGCCAACUCAAAAUAGAAAACAGUAUAUAUCAGAUAAUAUCAUAAAAUCAACUACAAUACUCAACAUGCGGCAUUUACAAUUACCAUAACCCUUGGUCACAACACCAAGCACAUCAAUGAGGACUCACGCCUCCCCAUCAUACUCAUUUGGGAAAAUAGGUUCAUUAAAUCUGAGUAUAUUACCAUAGUUCAAGAUUCACUCUCUUUAUUCCUCUUGUGUCGGAACGUGACACUCCGAUCCCCCAAUACUACGUGUCGGUUCGUGACACCCGAUCCCCCUAAUACUACGUGUCGGUUCGUGACACCCGAUUCCCCUAAUACUACGUGUCGGUUCGUGACACCCGAUCCCCCUAUUUCUACGUGUCGGUUCGUGACACCUUAUCCCCCUAUUACUACGUGUCGGUUCGUGACACCCGAUCCCCUAACCUCAUUCUUUUAGUUCAUCAAGUCUUCUCUUAUACCAAGGCAUCAUCAUUAACAAGAGGUUUUCAAGAUUUAGGAUUCAAUAGCUUCAUCAUGCUUAUUUCAUCACAAUUAUAUCAUCACAUCAUGCAAACACACAAUUAAGCAUAUAGAAGGGUUUACAACACUAUCCAAUACAUAUCAUUCGCUAUUAAGAGUUUACUACGAAUAGCAUAAAAACCAUAACCUACCUUCACUGAAGAUUAGUAAUCAAGCAAGCAAAUUCUCCAAGCUUUGUUUUCCUCUUCGUUUCUCCUCUCUCUUGAUCGUUCUUCUCCCUCUCUCUGUUCUUUCUAUUUUUCUUAUUCAAACCCUCUUUCUUUUACCCUAAUUAUAAUUAAGUAUAAAAGAUGAUGAAUUAACCCAUUAAUUAAUUCAAGGUUAUCUCCUUUAACCCCCAAGUAAUUAAAUUAUUAACAUUAACCCACUAAAUUUAUUAUUAUAGCAGGGAUAGUCCAAAAUGCCCCUUAAAACAUUUAACAGAAAUCCGACCCAGCCUGGGAUUACGCAGUCUGUGACGGCCAGUUGUGCCUGCGACGGUCCGUCCUGCUGCUUCCGUCACAAAGUUCAGAGACUAAAUUUCACUAAAGGAUCUGUGACGGCCCGUCACGACUGUGACGGUCCGUCCUGCCAUUCCGUCACGAAGUUCAGAGAAUCGAUUUCAGUACCCAAAUUUCAGAAUUCUAAGUGUUUUGGAACGAGACCCCCUUGACGGUCCGUCGUGCCCAUAACGGUCCGUCGUGGGAUCCGUCGUCUCAGCCAGUUUUUCCAGAAAUAAAAUCUGUUGCUCAAAACGACUAAACAGGUCGUUACAGAUGUUGACCGCUAUGUAUUGUUUCACGGGUGGUUAAUGGAAAUAAGCUAGUCACCUUUAAAAAAAAAGUCAUUUGUAAAAGGUUGUUUGGUAGCUAAUCACAAAUGCGUGAAUGUCUAUAUUAUAUUAUACAAGUAUUAAUUACGUAAGAUUCAGCUAUUCACGUAUUUGUUAUUUCAUCUUAUAUCAUGUAUAAUAUAAUGCAUAGAUUCCUUCAUAACUUAUACAUAUAUUAAUUAUGUAGAUUUCUAAGUUUUCAAUCAAACAUAAUGUUAAUUUUCUAUUAUAUAUGCCUACCAAACGUUGUAUAAGUUAUAUAAAUAUGAAUAACAGCUACCAAAAGGUCUUGAGAUUUGAUCAAUCGAUGGAUCUAAACUCUUCUAUAUUGUUUUAUACAAGUAUUAGUUACGUAGAAAUUAUUAUUUACGUAUUUAUUUCUAUCUUAUAUCAUGUAUAUUAUAAGACAUAGAUUCCUUCAUCACUUAUACAUAUAUAUAUAUUAUACAAAAAAAUUUAAAUUAUCAAUCAAAUACUAUAUAUAUCUAUCAAAUAUCGUAUAAGUUAUAUAAAUAUGAACAAUCGAGAAAUCUGAAUCGAUGGAUCUAACUUUUGAAAAGAAAAGUGAAAAGUAACUUUUCGUAUGAAUAAAGAAUUUGUAGUGCUUAAUUGUCCAAACACAUUAUAAGUGAUCUAACAUUAAUAUAAUAAAUUAUUUUUUUAAGUAGUAUGAUUUAACUUUUGCUUUAAUAAUUAAUUUUUGGUCCAAUUUUUAAAUAAAAAGUAACUUUUUAUUCUAGACUCCAGUAUGGUGCACAAGCUUUUCUUUUCUUAAUUAAUUCAAGAUAUUUACAGUAACUUUUCAGAAUAGUUGUAGUACUAACAAAUAUAAAAUUUAUGCAUUAUAAAAAUAAAAAGAUUUUUUGGGAUGAGCUUCAGAGUGAGGUAUAUAAAAAAAUGUUUUAAAAUAUAAUUGAAAAGUAUAAAUUCAUAGGACAUUAAAGUUUUAAAACUUACAAUAAUCAGUGAUGAAUAAAAAAAAAUGCAUUAGCUAUGGAAUUCUAUGAUUCAUAUUUCAUCAUUAUUCGUGGUGUUCAUGAGACAAGUCAUUUCACAUGGAAUCCAUAGGCCAUGAUAUUUAUAUUUAUUUUCUUCCAAAAAUUUUGAUCAUUUUAUUUGAAAAUCAAGUGUUUGAAUAUGUAAAUUUUUAAAUAUAAUUUGAAAAAUAUCGGAAAUUCUAUUUUCACUUUUACUAUAUAAAUAUUCUUAAAAAAAAUCUUUAUUUUUCAUUUUUUAUACAAAAAUAAUCCCACUUAUAUUUGAUUUCAUAUUUAAAUCACACAUUUAUUUUUUAAAAAAUACAUUUAAACAAUUAAAUAUGGUUUAUCUUCAUCUUUAAUUUGCUCAAAGUUAAAAAAAAUUAAAUACAUUACGUAGUUAUUAAUUUUGAAAUAUUACUUUUAAGAGAAAAACUGAUUGAAUAUUUCAGAUAAGUUAAUUAAGUUGAGUGAUUUUGGCGACUUCUAAAUAUUAAGAGGUAUAAAUUUAUUUAUUUUUUUAAAAGAACACGUUCACAUUGUAAAUAUUAGAGGGUUUGAGCAUUUAAAAAAUAUGAUGCUAUUAAAAAUAAUAAAUAAUAUUUAAAAUCAAGUUAAAAAAUAACAUUUCAAAAUUAAAAUUAUGUAUUUAAACAUAUUUUUUUUAAAAUAAAUUGAAAGUACAUUAAUAUUAUUAAGCGCUACAACUGACUUAAAGAGUUUUUACAUUAUUUAUUUCUUCUAAGAGUUUCUUUUCUUCUAUAAAAGGACUCUAUUCAUUAUUAUUCUCAUUUAUGUUCCAGGUUUAUUUCUUCUCCAUCUUCUUCUUCUUUCUUUCUUUUUUGAUUGGUUAAUAGUUAAUACUAUAAAUAAUUAAAAAUAAAAUUUAGAAUUUAGGAAAAUUUUGUUGCGUUCGACUAUUUUCUUGAUUUUGAAUUUCUUUAAUGGAUUCAAGAUUUUAAGUUUUUAUUUUUCUAGAUUUUAGGAUAGCAUAUGUAAGAUUUGAACUAUAUUAUGAGUUCCUACAAUACUAAUAUCAAGUAAGUAUUAUAUUAAUGAUAAUUAAACUCUUAGCCAAACAUUUUUUUCAUAUAUAUUUAAAAAAAAACUAUAGAUUUCACGUGAGCUAGUGAUUAUAAUUUCUAAUUGAAUCAUAAAUGAAGAAUGUAUCUUGCGAUUUUAAUUAAAUUCAUUAUUUUUGUUCGAAGUUGAUUUAUUUCACUAAUUGUUAUACUUUUACUAAAAAAAAAAUCAUUUCAACUCUUAACUAAUUAUAUGAUACUUUUUAUUGAAAUUAUAUUUUCUAACUUUAAUUUAUAUUACUUUACACCUUAUAUGGAGUUUGUUAGUGGAGAGAAGCAUAUUAUUUUAUAAUUGAUCUAUUUCCAUUUAUAUAUAUAUAUAUAUAUAUAUAAAAGCAUAUAGUUAAAAAGAAAAGAAAGAGCAUAAAUGCUACAUUAUCUUUUGUCCCUUUCAAUAAAAUUAUACUUAAUUAUUCUGAAUUAAUUUAUUCUAAAUUCUGAACUCACACUUAUUCUUUUGUAUAGCCUUAGUUUAGGAACUUGUCCAUUCUAUUAAUUUUCUUUUUAUUAGUUUAAUUAAUUAAUUUUUAUUUAUGUUUUCAGGAUAUCACACUUUUAUCUUUCUAUAAACAUAAUUAUAUUGUUAGAAUUUUCUAACAAAUUAAGAAGAAAGAUGGAGUUUUGGACAUUAUUUGAGGUGGCAUCUAUGCCAAUAUUACAAAUGCUUCUUAUAAGUGUUUUAGGUGCUUUAAUGGCAACUAAUUAUUUCAAUAUUCUUCACUCUGAUACUCGAAAGUCCCUUAACAAAGUAAGAUAUAUUUUUUUCAUUAUUUUUCCAAGUAUACUAUAAAUUUUUUUCCAAGUAUAUUAUAAAAUAUAUGUUAAUAUUACUUGUAAAAUAGUUCAUGCACCACUAGAAUCUAUAUAAUUAGUUAUGAAAUUUAUUAGUAAUCCUCAGCUAAUUAAUUUAUCGCUAAAAUAUUUUUAGCUAAUUAAAUUUUUCAAUAAUUUUUGUUUAUGUAGAUUGUGUUUGUGGUAUUUACACCCUCCAUAACGUUUGCAAGUUUGACUAGGACAGUCACCUUGAACGACAUCAUCUCAUGGUACUAUCAAAUACUUCUAAUCAUGUAAUAUAAUCUUUUUUUUAAAAAAAAAAAUCAUGAUACUUUUUAUAUUUAUUAAUUAACUCGUUUAACUUAAAUAUCAUGAUUAAUUCAUAUUAUAUUUAUGAUUACAAAAUUUAAAAAUAUUAUAAUAUUAUAUAUAUAUAUAUAUAUAUAUAUAUAUAUUCAUUUAAAGUUAUAGGAUUAAAAAAGCCUCAUUUUUUUUUAAAAAAAAACUUUGAGUUUGAUCAAACUCUGAUACAUAAUAUUGAAAUCGAGGGAAUACCAACCCUUUUAGCUCGUUUAAUAUGAGGAAUACGUGAUUAUGAUCUAUCAGGUGAUUUUACUUAAAUAAGUUGAAAUAUAUAUCAUAAACAAUAAAAAUUUAUAUAGUCGACUCCAAUCGAUUUAGGCUAUAUCUAAACUUGUUAAUUAUGAUCUAUCAGGUGGUUUAUGCCCAUUAAUAUAGGGAUAACUUUUUUAAUUGGAGGAAUUCUUGGAUGGCUAGUUGUAAAAAUACUUAAGCCAGAGCUACAUUUAGAGGGACUUAUUAUUGCUACAUGCUCAACAGGUAUAUAUCUUCCUACGAUCUUCCGUUUCAUUUUACGUGGUACUAUUGCGAUUAUUCAAAUAAUCAAAUAAAAUUUUCUUUGAGAUUAUGUUCAUUUUUUGAGUACAUUGUUAUAUUUUGAAUUGUUAGUUAUAUAAUACUAAUUUAGAGUAUUUUACUUUAUUCUUUAUUCUUUAUGUAAUUAAUUUUUAGAUGCAAGUUCUAUUGCAAAAUGAUCGAAGAAUAUUUUCUUAAGGGGACACUGUAUAUGUUAGGAUCAAAUUCACGCACACACACUAGAUGAAUGAAGAACACAAGAACUUUCAAGAGAAAGAGAUGAGAAAUCUAGAGAGAGAGAGAAAACCCAAUAUUUCGUGGUAAAACCCUGUGAGUAAACUUCCACGGUGGUGAGGUAUAUUUAUAUUAAUAAAUCAGAGUAUUUUUGGUUACAGAGAAUAAAUAGGAAAAUCUAAAAUAGAGAAUAAAUAGGAAAAACUAAAAUAGAGAAUAAAUAGGAAAACCUAAAAUUAAUCAGGCUCCACUACCUAACAAUUCUCCCACUUGGAGACUGACUCAGUCAUCCAAAAAAUACAUUCUCAAAAAAAAAAUCUCUUCAUCAUCAACAUCUUUACCGCACCGCAACAUCUGUAGCAACAACUACAGAAGACCAACCGAGGUUUUACAUAACCUCAGUUUCCCAACAUCAACACAUUUCGUCAACAUGUCUGCCGGGUUCUUUGCACCCUCUAUCUUCUCCAAGCACAUAUCACCAUCCUCCACUGCCCUGCGAGUGAAAUGGUAUUGCCUUCUGAUGUGCUUUGUCUUCGAAUGAUAGACUGGAUUUUUCACCAACUGUAUGGCACUUUGGCUAUCUGAGUAGAGAAUCUUCUCGCUCUGCUUCUUGCCCAAUUCCUCAAGAUAAUCUGCCAGCCAUAUCAUCUCUUUCCCAACUUCAGCAAUUUCCACAUACUCAGCUCCAGUAGAUGAAAGAGAAACACACUUCUGAAGCCUGGACAUCCAACUCACUGCUGUUCCACCUAUGGUGUAAAUGUACCCGAAUGUACUCUUGCUCGAGUCAACAUCCCCACCAAGAUCAGCAUCCACAAAACCCUGUAGAGUCACCUUGCCUUUGCCAAAACAAAGUGAAGUACUAGAUGUACCUCUCAGAUAUCUCAGAAGCCACUUCACAGCUUCCCAAUGCUCUUUCCCAGGGUUCGCCAUGUACCUGCUAACAACUCCCACUGCAUGUGCUAUAUCAGGUCUAGUGCAGACCAUAGCAUACAUCAAACUACCAACUGCUGAAGCAUAUGGAACAAGUGUCAUGUGAUCACGCUCCUCGGCAGUCUUAGGUGACUGCUCCUUUGACAAUUUAAAGUGAUUUGCCAAUGGAGUAGUCCUGGGUUUAGCAUCAUUAACCCUGAAUCUGCUCAGCACCUUCUCAAUAUACAACUCUUGAGAUAGACUUAAAGUGCCAGCAGAUCUAUCCCGAGAAAUCUUUAUCCCCAAAAUCUGCUUUGCUGGACCCAAAUCUUUCAUCUCAAAUGCUGCAGAUAACCUUGUCUUCAGAUUGUUAAUUUCCCUCAUACUAAAUCCUGCAAUCAACAUAUCAUCCACAUACAAGAGUAGAAAGACAUAUAAAUCAGUGUAUUUCUUGAAGUAACAACAAGGAUCCUUUUCAGCUUUGCAGAAUCCACUCUUGGUCAUGAAGGAGUCAAAACUUCUUGUACCACUGCCUUGGUGCUUGCUUUAGUCCAUACAAGCUCCUGGUGAGCUUGCACACCAUGUGUUCCUUGCCUGGAACCACAAAUCCUUCCGGUUGCUGCAUAUAGAUCUCUUUGUCCAGAUCUCCAUGUAAAAACGCUGUUUUUACAUCCAUUUGCUCUAGAAGUAAAUUUUCCGAUGCAGCAAUACUCAACAGAAUUCGAAUAGAGGUUAACUUCACAACAGGAGACAAUAUUUCAGCAUAAUCAAUACCUUUCCUUUGUGAAUAUCCUUUAACAACUAAACGAGCCUUGAACCUUCUUUUGUCAUCUGGUUCAGUCUUGAUUCUGAACACCCACUUGUUCAGCAAAGCUCUCUUCCCUGCAGGUAACUCAGUCAACACCCAUGUGUCAUUCUUCUCAAGUGACCUCAUCUCAUCAUCCAUGGCUUGCUCCCACUUGAUUGAAUCCUCCACCUGUAGGGCCUCAUCAAAAGACUCUGGUUCCCCCUCAUCAGUCAGCAAUAGAUAGUGUAAUGAAGGUGAAUAUCUAUCUGGUGCCCUGAUGGAUCUGGAUGAUCUCCUUAACACCUGCUCAGGUGUAACUUGCUCCACUUCAGAUUCUUCAGUAGGAGUUGGUUGAGUAUCUGCUUCGACAUCUCUGGGGUUACUCUUCUCCAACUCAACCUCAACUCCCACUUGCUUUGUAAUCUCUAAAACAUUCUGCUCUCUGUCCUUGUACAGGACAGACUCAUCAAAUUUCACGUCACAAUGUCUCAGGAUCUUUCUGUUCUUGUCAUCCCAAAACCUGUAGCCAAACAAAUCAGAACCAUAUCCUAUGAAGUAACACUUCACAGCCUUGGCAUCAAGCUUGUCUCUCUUUUCUGGAUCAACAUGAACAUAAGCAGUGCAACCAAAAGUCCUCAAGUGUGAGUACUUGAGUUCUUUUCCUGUCCACACCUCUUCUGGAAUCUUGAACCCUAAAGAAACUGAUGGUCCCCUGUUGAUCAAGUAUGCAGCUGUGCUCAUAGCAUCCAUCCAAAGUGUUUUGGGCAGCCCACAGUGUAUCCUCAUACUCCUUGCACGCUCAUUCAAUGUUCUGUUUAUCCUCUCAGCAAUUCCAUUCUGCCUUGCCUUACCAGGAACUGUUCUCAUCAAUCUGAUUCCCUCAGCUGCACAGAAUGCCUUGAACUCUGAUUUGUCAUACUCUCCUCCAUUGUCAAACCUUAGGCAUUUGACUUUCAAACCGGUCUGAUUCUCAACUUCAGCUUUCCACUUCUUGAAAGUUUCAAACACAUCUGACUUAUGCUUCAAGAAGUAAACCCAUACCUUCCUGCUGAAAUCAUCAAUAAAGGUAACAUAGAAUCUGGAUCCUCCAAGUGAUGAUACUGGAGAUGGUCCCCAAACAUCUGUAUGGACCAUUUCCAACCGCACUUUCUUUGGAUCUCUAGGAGUCUUUGUGAAGCUUACUCUUUUCUGUUUGCCCAUAACACAGCUCUCGCAAAGACCCAUAUCAACAGACUUCAGACCCUCUAAUGCUCCUUUUGCAACCAGCAUCUUCAUUCCUUUAGUAACUCUUGUGUCCAAGUCUGUUAUGCCACAGACAUGAAUCGGAAGCACCUUCAGCAACAGCGGCCAUGUUUAUACACCCGCAGUGGUGUACAAGGUUCCAGAUUUGGAGCCACGAGCUACUACCAUAGCACCUUUCACGAUCUUCCAUGAACCUUUCUCAAACUCUGUUGCAUAUCCCGUGCUAUCCAACUGACCAACAGAGAUAAGAUUUUUCUUGAUCCCAGAAAUAUAUCUGACAUCCUCCAAUGUCCACUGGUUUCCCGAGGUGAUCUUUAUGCAAACAUUCCCCUUUCCUUCAAUCUCUAAGGCUUUAUUGUCAGCAAGAUAUACUUUUCCAAAAUUUCCAAAUUUAAAAUUUUGGAACAACUCCUUGCUUGGAGACGAAUGGAAAGAUGCACCAGAAUCCAAGAUCCAUGAUCCAACCGGGCUGUUCACGCUAAGGAUUAGAGCAUCCCCAAUGUCCUCUGCUGAAUUUACAGAAUCAUUGUCAUCUCCAAAUUUCUGAUUCUGUUUCUUCUUUGGCUUUGUACAGUUCGUCCGAAAGUAUCCUUUUUUCUCCACAGUUCCAACAAGUCACGUUUGAUCUGUUCGGUGAUUUUUCUCGAUUCAUUGAUUUUGAUCGACCAUGUUGAUUUUGGCCUUUCAUCUUACUUCUCCCCCUUCGAUCAACGCUGAGAGCACUGCCCGAUGAAUCUCCCACUUCUCUUUUGCGAAUACUUUCUCUAAGAACAACAUCACGGAUUUCAUCAAACUUCAGUUUCUCAGAUCCACGGGAACUGCUAAUCGCAGCAACAACAGUAUCCCAAGACUCGGGCAGAGAUGACAUCAAAAUCAACGCCUUAAUUUCAUCUUCGGAAUUAAUAUCCACAGAAUUGAGUUGACUCACAAUCAUAUUGGACUCGUUUAUAUGAUCAGAAACGGAUACAUUCUCAGACAUCUGUAAAUUGAACAAUCUACGCAUUAAAUAUACCUUGUUCAUAGCCGAUGAUUUUUCAUAUAUGUUUGACAGUGCCUUCAAUAGACCGGACGUAGUCUUCUCCUUCACGAUGUUGAACGCCACGUUUCUUGACAAAGUCAACCGGAUUAACCUUAGAGCCUGACGAUCCUUGAGUUUCCACUUCUCCUCCGUCAUGGAUUCCGGCUUCACCCCGGUCAACGGUUCGUAAAGAUCUUUCUGGUACAGAUAAUCUUCGAACUGCAUCUUCCAGAAACUGAAAUCGGAUCCAUCAAACUUCUCGAUUCCAAGCUUCGAACUAUCCAUCUUCUAUGAUCGUGUUGAAUCUCCUUAGCUCUGAUACCAGUUGUUAGGAUCGAUUUCACGCGCACACACUAGAUUAAUGAAGAACACAAGAACUUUCAAGAGAAAGAGAUGAGAAAUCUAGAGAGAGAGAGAGAGAAAAUCCAAUAUUUCGUGGUAAAACCCCGUGAGUAAACUUCCACGCCGGUAAGGUAAAUUUAUAUUAAUAAAUCAGAAUAUUUUUUGUUACAGAGAAUAAAUAGGAAAACCUAAAAUAGAGAAUAAAUAUAAAAAUCUAAAAUAGAGAAUAAAUAGGAAAACCUAAAAUUAAUCAGGCUCCACUACCUAAUAGUAUAUUUAUUGGAUUCCAUUUUCUUCUUUAAGAAAAAUAUUUUGUAUAUAUUGUUUUUAAUCUGUUUUUUAUUCUAUUUUCUUUAUUGGUUUUAAUUUUCUGAUUUUGAAAAUGCUCAAUAAAUUCUUUUGUUUCUUAUCACGUUCUUCAAAGUUUUUGUUCUAAAUAUCUUAGAAACACAAGAUGAACAAUAAGUGCAUGUGACCCUCAUAUAUAGUCCAAUUAAAUCAAACAAAUUAAAACAGAAAAAAUAUUUCAUUUCAAAUAAUUUUUAAAAGAUCUCAGAGACGACAUGUUUAAAAUUCAAAUUCACACGAAAUAUUAGUCAUUUUAACUCUCGUAUCCCGAAACACGUGACCUCUAAUUAUGUUAAAUCACCUCUAAUUAUGUUAAAUUAAAACAGGUAAUUUGGGAAACCUUCCAUUGAUAGUAAUUCCAGCAAUUUGCAAAGAGGAUGGCAGCCCAUUUGGAG